rnacentral:lncRNA from 1 species
GCCCUCGGCGGCGCCCUCGAAGUACCCGAUCCUCCUCACGGCAUCCUCCUCGCCGGACGAGCUGGUGGCCGCGUCGUCAUCGGAGCUCUCGUCGUCGUCCUCGCCGUCGCCGUCGGAGUCGGACUCGUCGUCCCCGGAGGAGUAGUAGGUGGAGAUGUGCGAGGAGAUGACCUCCUUCCCGCGGGAGCGGAGGCGGAGGAUGAGCACCUGCAGCCUGCCGAGCAGGCUGGGCAGCGUCGCGAGCGCCGCCAGCGCCACGGCCAGCGGCGCCCACAUCUCCGCCAGCAGCGCCGCGAGGCUCGGCCCCCGGAACCGCCCNNNNNNNNNNNNNNNNNNNNNNNNNNNNNNNNNNNNNNNNNNNNNNNNNNNNNNNNNNNNNNNNNNNNNNNNNNNNNNNNNNNNNNNNNNNNNNNNNNNNGAAGGGGUUCCGGGAUUUCACGSGGGGGGGGGGGCAACCCACCCCGGGGAAGCCCAUAGGCCUUGAGGGUGGCACACCAGCCCUUAGUGGUCUGGUGGGACAGCCCAAAAGGGCCCUAUGUGCAUUGGAAGAAAAAUCAAAGGGAAAAAAAGGAGGAGGUGGGAAAGGAAAGAAGGACUCCACCCACCAAACCAAGUAGGACUCGGUUUGGGGGGGAGUCCUUCCCCCCUUUGGCUCGGCCGACCCCCUUGGGGCUCCUUGAGCCCCAAGGCAAGGUCCCCUCUCUCACACCUAUAUAUACGGAGGUUUUAGGGCUGAUUUGAGACGACUUUUCCACGGCAGCCCGACCACAUACCUCCACGGGUUUUCCUCUAGAUCGCGUUUCUGCGGAGCUCGGGCAGAGCCCUGCUGAGACGAGAUCAUCACCAACCUCCGGAGUACCGUCACGCUGCCGGAGAACUCUUCUACCUCUCCGUCUCUCUUGCUGGAUCAAGAAGGCCGAGAUCAUCGUCGAGCUGUACGUGUGCUGAACGCGGAGGUGCCGUCCGUUCGGUACUAGAUCGUGGGACUGAUCGCAGGAUUGUUCGCGGGGCAGAUCGAGGGACGUGAGGACGUUCCACUACAUCAACCGCGUUCACUAACGCUUCUGCUGUAUGGUCUACAAGGGUACGUAGAUCACUCAUCCCCUCUCGUAGAUGGACAUCACCAUGAUAGGUCUUCGUGCGCGUAGGAAAUUUUUUGUUUCCCAUGCGACGUUCCCCAACAGUGGUAUCAGAGCUAGGUUCAUGCUAGAUGUCUUCUCGAGUAGAACACAAAAGUUUUUGUGGGCGGUGAUGUGCGUUUUGCUGCCCUCCUUAGUAUUUUCUUGAUUCCGCGGUAUUGUUGGAUUGAAGCGGCUUGGACCGGCAUUACUCGUACGCUUACGAGAGACUGGUUUCAUCGCUACGAGUAACCCCGUUGCUCAAAGAUGACUGGCAAGUGUCGGUUUCUCCAACUUUAGUUGAAUCGGAUUUGACCGAGGAGGUCCUUGGAUGAGGUUAAAUAGCAACUCAUAUAUCUCCGUUGUGGUGUUUGCGUAAGUAAGAUGCGAUCCUACUAGAUACCCAAGGUCACCACAUAAAACAUGCAACAACAAAAUUAGAGCACGUCUCACUUGUUUUUGCAGGGUAUGCUUGUGAUGUGAUAUGGCCAACAAUGUGAUGUGAUAUAUUGGAUGUAUGAGAUGAUCAUGUUGUAAUAGAUAAUAUCGACUUGCACGUCGAUGGUACGGCAACCGGCAGGAGCCAUAGGGUUGUCUUUAUACUAAUGUUUGUGCUUGCAGAUGCGUUUACUAUUUUGCUAGGAUGUAGCUUUAGUAGUAAUAGCUUGAGUAGCACGACAACCCCGAUGGCGACACGUUGAUGGAGAUCAUGGUGUGGCGCCGGUGACAAGAAGAUCGUACCGGUGCUUUGGUGAUGGAGAUCAAGGAGCACGUGAUGAUGGCCAUAUCAUGUCACCUAUGAAUUGCAUGUGAUGUUAAUCCUUUUAUGCACCUUAUUUUGCUUAGAACGACGGUAGCAUUAUGAGGUGAUCUAUCACUAAAAUUUCAAGAUGAAAUUGUGUUCUCCCCGACUGUGCACCGUUGCUACAGUUCGUCGUUUCGAGACACCACGUGAUGAUCGGGUGUGAUAGACUCAACGUUCACAUACAACGGGUGCAAAACAGUUGCGCACGCGGAACACUCGGGUUAAACUUGACGAGCCUAGCAUGUGCAGACAUGGCCUCGGAACACAUGAGACCGAAAGGUCGAUCAUGAAUCAUAUAGAUGAUAUGAUUAGCAUAGGGAUGCUUACCACUGAAACUAUACUCAACUCACGUGAUGAUCGGACUUGAGCUAGUGUAAGUGGAUCAUGAACCACUGAAAUGACUAGAGAGAUGUACUUUUUGAGUGGGAGUUUAGCGAAUAAUUUGAUUAAGUUAAACUCUAAUUAUAUUGAACAUAGUCUAAGUCCACUUUGAAUAUAUUUGUGUUGUAGAUCAUGGCUCACGCGACAGUCACCCUGAAUUUUAAUACGUUCCUAGAGAAAGCUAAGUUGAAAGAUGAUGGAAGCAACUUUGUAGACUGGGCUCGUAAUCUUAAGCUAAUCUUACAAGCUGGGAAGAAGGAUUAUGUCCUUAAUGCUGCGCUAGGAGAUGAACCACCCGCUACGGCUGAUCAGGAUGUUAAGAACGCUUGGUUAGCACGUAAGGAGGACUACUCAGUAGUUCAAUGUGCAGUCUUGUAUGGCUUAGAACCGGGACUCCAACGUCGCUUUGAGCGUCAUGGAGCAUUUGAGAUGUUCCAGGAGUUGAAGUUUAUCUUUCAGAAGAACGCCCGGAUCGAGAGGUAUGAGACCUCCGAUAAAUUCUAUGCUUGCAAGAUGGAGGAGAACUCGUGUGUUAGUGAACAUGUGCUCAAAAUGUCUGGGUACUCAAACCGUCUAGCUGAGCUGGGGAUUGAACUCCCGCAAGAGGCUAUCACUGACAGAAUCCUUCAAUCACUGCCGCCAAGCUAUAAAGGCUUUGUGUUGAACUACAACAUGCAAGGGAUGAACAAGUCUCCCGGCGAGUUGUUUGCGAUGCUGAAAGUCGCAGAGUCUGAACUCCGUAAAGAGCACCUAGUGUUGAUGGUGAAUAAGACCACUAGUUUCAAGAGAAACGGCAAAGGCAAGAAGGGUAAUUCAAAGAAGAGCGGCAAGCCUGUUGCCAAUCUGACGAAGAAACCCAAAGCUGGACCUAAGCCUGAAACAGAGUGUUACUAUUGCAAGGGUAUGGGUCACUGGAAGUGCAAUUGCCCCAAGUAUCUGGCAGAUAAGAAGGCGGCCGAAGAAAAAUCAGGUAUAUUUGAUAUACAUGUUGUUGAUGUGUACUUAACCGACUCUCGUAGUAGUGCCUGGGUAUUCGAUACCGGUUCUGUUGCUCAUAUUUGCAACUCGAAACAGGAACUGCGGAAUAGACGAAGGCUGGAGAAAGAUGAAGUGACGAUGCGCGUAGGAAAUGGUUCCAAGGUUGAUGCAAUCGCCGUCGGCACAACUUCACUUCAGUUACCAUCAGGAUUAGUUAUGAACUUGAAUCAUUGUUAUUUAGUGCCUGCGUUGAGCAUGAACAUUAUAUCUGGAUCUUGUUUAUUGCGAGAUGGUUACUCUUUUAAGUCAGAGAAUAAUGGUUGUUCUAUUUCUAUGAGUAACAUCUUUUAUGGUCAUGCACCCAAUGUGAGAGGAUUGUUCAUAUUGAAUCUUGAUGGCGAUACACACAUACAUAAGAAUGAGACCAAAAGAGUUAGAGUUAACAAUGAUAGCGCCAUGUUUUUGUGGCACUGCCGCUUAGGUCAUAUUGGUGUAAAGCGCAUGAAGAAACUCCAUGCCGAUGGACUUUUGGAGUCACUUGACUUUGAUUCACUUGACACGUGCGAACCAUGCCUCAUGGGCAAGAUGACUAAGACUCCGUUCUCCGGAACAAUGGAGCGUGCAAGUGACUUGUUGGAAAUCAUACAUACCGAUGUGUGUGGUCCGAUGAGCGUAGAGGCACGCGGCGGAUAUCGUUAUUUUCUCACCUUCACUGACGAUUUGAGUAGAUAUGGUUAUGUCUACUUAAUGAAGCACAAGUCUGAAACAUUUGAAAAGUUCAAGCAAUUUCAGAGUGAAGUUGAAAAUCAUCGCAACAAUAAGAUCAAGUUCCCACGGUCUGAUCGUGGGGGUGAAUAUCUGAGUUUCGAGUUUGGUGCUCACUUAAGACAAUGUGGAAUUGUUUCACAGUUGACACCGCUUGGAACACCACAGCGUAAUGGUGUGUCCGAACGUCGUAAUCGUACUUUAUUAGAGAUGGUGCGAUAUAUGAUGUCUCUUACCGAUUUGCCAUUAUCGUUUUGGGGUUAUGCAUUAGAAACAACUGCAUUCACUUUAAAUAGGGCACCAUCAAAUUCCGUUGAGACGACACCAUACGAACUUGUUGGGGAACGUCGCAUGGGAAACAAAAAAUUUCCUACGCGCACGAAGACCUAUCAUGGUGAUGUCCAUCUACGAGAGGGGAUGAGUGAUCUACGUACCCUUGUAGACCGUACAGCAGAAGCGUUAGAGAACGCGGUUGAUGUAGUCGAAUGUCCUCACGUCCCUCGAUCCGCCCCGCGAACAAUCCCGCGAUCAGUCCCACGAUCUAGUACCGAACGGACGGCACCUCCGCGUUCAGCACACGUACAGCUCGACGAUGAUCUCGGCCUUCUUGAUCCAGCAAGAGAGACGGAGAGGUAGAAGAGUUCUCCGGCAGCGUGACGGCGCUCCGGAGGUUGGUGAUGACCUUGUCUGAGCAGGGCUCCGCCCGAGCUCCGCAGAAACGCGAUCUAGAGGAAAAACCGUGGAGGUAUGUGGUCGGGCUGCCGUGGAAAAAUCGUCUCAAAUCAGCCCUAAAACCUCCGUAUAUAUAGGUGGGAGGGAGGGGGCCUUGCCUUGGGGCUCAAGGAGCCCCAAGGGGGUCGGCCGAGUCCAAGGGGGAGGACUCUCCCCCCCAAACCGAGUUGGACUAGGUUUGGUGGGAGGGAGUCCCCCUACCUUCCCACCUCCUCCUUUUUUUUUCUUUCUCUCUUGAUUUUCUUCUCCUUGGCGCAUAGGGCACUUGUGGGCUGUCCCACCAGCCCACUAAGGGCUGGUGUGUCUCCCCCAAGGCCUAUGGGCUUCCCCGAGGUGGGUUGCCCCCCCGGUAAACUCCCGGAACCCAUUCGUCAUUCCCGGUACAUUCCCGGUAACUCCGAAAACCUUCCGGUAAUCAAAUGAGGUCAUCCUAUAUAUCAAUCUUCGUUUCCGGACCAUUCCAAAAACCCUCGUGACGUCCGUGAUCUCAUCCGGGACUCCGAACAACAUUCGGUAACCAACCAUAUAACUCAAAUAUGCAUAAAACAACGUCGAACCUUAAGUGUGCAGACCCUGCGGGUUCGAGAACUAUGUAGACAUGACCCGAGAGACUCCUCGGUCAAUAUCCAAUAGCGGGACCUGGAUGCCCAUAUUGGAUCCUACAUAUUCUACGAAGAUCUUAUCGUUUGAACCUCAGUGCCAAGGAUUCGUAUAAUCCCGUAUGUCAUUCCCUUUGUCCUUCGGUAUGUUACUUGCCCGAGAUUCGAUCGUCAGUAUCCGCAUACCUAUUUCAAUCUCGUUUACCGGCAAGUCUCUUUACUCGUUCCGUAAUACAAGAUCCCGCAACUUACACUAAGUUACAUUGCUUGCAAGGCUUGUGUGUGAUGUUGUAUUACCGAGUGGGCCCCGAGAUACCUCUCCGUCACACGGAGUGACAAAUCCCAGUCUUGAUCCAUACUAACUCAACUAACACCUUCGGGGAUACCUGUAGAGCAUCUUUAUAGUCACCCAGUUACGUUGCGACGUUUGAUACACACAAAGCAUUCCUCCGGUGUCAGUGAGUUAUAUGAUCUCAUGGUCAUAGGAAUAAAUACUUGACACGCAGAAAACAGUAGCAACAAAAUGACACGAUCAACGUGCUACGUCUAUUAGUUUGGGUCUAGUCCAUCACGUGAUUCUCCCAAUGACGUGAUCCAGUUAUCAAGCAACAACACCUUGUUCAUAAUCAGAAGACACUGACUAUCAUCGAUCAACUGGCUAGCCAACUAGAGGCAUGCUAGGGACGGUGUUUUGUCUAUGUAUCCACACAUGUAAAUGAGUCUUCAUUCAAUACAAUUAUAGCAUGGAUAAUAAACUAUUAUCUUGAUACAGGAAUUAUAAUAAUAACUAUAUUUAUUAUUGCCUCUAGGGAAAAAUUCCAACAGAACUGUGGUAUGGCAAAAGGCCAAAGUUGUCGUUUCUUAAAGUUUGGGGAUGUGAUGCUUAUGUCAAAAAGCUUCAGCCUGAAAAGCUGGAACCCAAAGCGGAAAGGUGCAUCUUCAUAGGUUACCCAAAAGAGACAGUUGGGUACACCUUCGAUCUCAAAUCCGAGGGCAAAGUGUUUGUUGCUAAAAAUGGAGCUUUUCUCGCGAAGGAGUUUCUCUCGAGAGAAUUGAGUGGGAGGAAGAUAUAACUUGACGAGGUUGUCGAACCUCUCAUCCCUCUGGAUGGUGGCGCAGGGCAAGGGGAAACCUCUAUCGUUGCGACGCCGGUUGAGGAGGAAGUUAAUGAUGAUGAUCAUGAAACUCCGGUUCAAGUUUCUGUCGAACCACGCAGGUCGACGAGACCACGUGCUGCUCUAGAGUGGUACGGUAAUCCUGUCUUAUCAAUCAUGUUGUUGGACAACAAUGAACCUACAAAUUAUGAAGAAGCAAUGGUGGGCCCAGAUUCCAACAAAUGGCUCGAGGCCAUGAAGUCCGAGAUAGGAUCCAUGUAUGAAAACAAAGUGUGGACUUUGGAAGUACUACCUGAGGGCCGCAAGGCUAUUCAGAACAAGUGGAUCAUUAAGAAGAAGACGGACGCUGACGGAAAUGUGACCGUUUAUAAAGCUCGACUUGUGGCAAAAGGUUUUUCACAAGUUCAAGGAGUUGACUACGAUGAGACAUUCUCACCCGUAGCGAUGCUUAAGUCCGUCAGAAUCAUGUUAGCAAUAGCUGCAUUUUUCGAUUAUGAAAUCUGGGAGAUGGAUGUCAAAACGGCAUUCCUUAACGGUUUCCUUAAGGAAGAGUUGUAUAUGAUGCAACCCGAAGGUUUUGUCGAUCCUAAGAAUGCUAACAAGGUGUGCAAGCUCCAGCGAUCCAUUUAUGGACAGGUGCAAGCAUCUCGGAGUUGGAACAAACGCUUUGAUGAGGUGAUCAAAGCAUUUGGGUUUAUACAAGUGGUUGGAGAAUCUUGUAUUUACAAGAAAGUGAGUGGGAGCUCUGUGGCGUUUCUAAUAUUAUAUGUAGAUGACAUAUUGCUGAUUGGAAACAAUGUAGAGUUUUUGGAAAGCAUAAAGGAUUACUUGAAUAAAAGUUUCUCUAUGAAGGACCUAGGAGAAGCUGCUUACAUUCUAGGCAUUAAGAUCUACAGGGAUAGAUCGAAACUCCUAAUAGGACUUUCACAAAGCACAUACCUUGAUAAAGUUUUGAAAAGGUUCAAAAUGGAACAGUCCAAGAAAGGGUUCUUGCCAGUUUUACAAGGUACGAGAUUGAGUAAGACUCAGUGCCCAGCAACUGAUAAAGAUAGAGAGCAUAUGAGCACCGUCCCCUAUGCUUCAGCCAUAGGAUCUAUCAUGUAUGCAAUGUUGUGCACUAGACCGGACGUUAGCCUGGCCAUAAGUAUGGCAGGCAGGUUCCAGAGUAAUCCAGGAGUGGAUCACUAGACGGCGGUCAAGAAUAUCCUGAAGUACCUGAAAAGGACUAAGGAGAUGUUUCUCGUGUAUGGAGGUGACGAAGAGCUCGCCGUAAAAGGUUACGUCGAUGCAAGCUUUGACACAGAUCCGGACGACUCUAAGUCGCAAACCGGAUACGUAUUUAUUCUUAAUGGGGGUGCGGUAAGCUGGUGCAGUUCCAAGCAAAGCGUCGUAGCAGAUUCUACAUGUGAAGCGGAGUACGUGGCUGCCUCAGAGGCGGCUAAGGAGGGUGUCUGGAUGAAGCAGUUCAUGACGGAUCUUGGAGUGGUGCCAAGCGCACUGAAUCCAAUAACCUUGUUCUGUGACAACACGGGUGCCAUUGCCUUAGCAAAGGAACCACGGUUUCACAAGAAGCCCAGACACAUCAAACGACGCUUCAACCUCAUCCGCGACUACGUCGAAGGGGAGGACGUAAAUAUAUGCAAAGUACACACGGAUCUGAAUGUAGCAGAACCGCUGACUAAACCUCUUCCACGGCCAAAGCAUGAUCAACACCAGAACUGUAUGGGUGUUAGAUUUAUUACAAUGUAAUUUGCAUGAUGAUGUGAGGGCUAGAUUAUUGACUCUAGUGCAAGUGGGAGACNNNNNNNNNNNNNNNNNNNNNNNNNNNNNNNNNNNNNNNNNNNNNNNNNNNNNNNNNNNNNNNNNNNNNNNNNNNNNNNNNNNNNNNNNNNNNNNNNNNNUUAUGGGAAGUGAUGGAUUCACAUAUAAAAAUAAUGAUGAUUGAAACUUGUUGAGGGUAGACAAACAUAGACCUUGGUCAUUGUUGCAAUUAAUAGGAAGUGAUGAAGAAGGAGAGGUUCACAUAUAAAUAUAUCAUCUUUGACACCAUCUAUGAUUAUGAACACUCACUAAACUAUUGCAUGCUUAGAAGUAGAUGUUAGACAAGGAAGACAACAUAAUGAAUUAUGCUUGCUUGGUUUUGAAAAUGAUUAUAUGACUAGAGAUCCCUUAGCAUGUGACGAUUGCUUCCACCUCAUAUCAGCCAAAACUCCGCACUAAGUAGAGAUACUACUUGUGCAUGCACAAACCUUCAACCCCAGUUUUGCCAUGAGAGUCCACCAUACCUACCUAUGGAUUGAAUAAGAUCCCUCAAGUAAGUUGUCAUCGGUGCAAGCAAUAAAAAUUGCUCCCUAAUAUGUAUGAUCUAUUAGUUUGUGGAAAAUAAGCUUUGUAAGAACCUGUGAUGAGGAAGACAUAAAAGCGACAGACUGCAUAAUAAAGUUCUUUGUCACAGGAGGCAAUAUAAAGUGACGUUCCUCCACGCUAAGAGGACACACAUCCAAACCUCAAAAGCGCAUGACAACCUCUGCUUCCCUCUGCGAAGGGCCUAUCUUUUACCUUUACUUUUUGCCCCUAAAAGAGUCAUGGUGAUCUUCACUAAUUCCUUAUUUUGCCUUUAUCUUGGCUAACGUCAUAUGCUAGGGAAAGAUCUAUAUUCAUAUGUCAACUUGGAAGUAAGUAUUCAUGAAUUAUUAUUGUUGACAUUACCCUUGAGGUAAACAGUUGGGAGGCGAAACUAUAAGCCCCUAUCUUUCUCUGUGUCCGACUAAAACUUUGAUCUCAUGAGUACCACGUGAGUUGUAGCAAUUGUAGAAGACGAAAGGAUGAUUGAGUAGGUGGAUUUGAUUUACAAGCUCUUACUUGACUCUUUCCGAUGUUACGAUAAAUUGCAAUUGCUUCAAUGACUAAAGGCUAUUGGUUGUUAAUUCUCAGUAAGGUUCUUGAUUCAUACUUUACUUUGUGAAGGAAUUGUCACUUUAGCAUGAGAAAUUAUAUGAUGUUAUUGCUGUUCUGACCAUGAUAAUGAUGCCUGCAUAUCUGUAUCUUGUUUUGUCGACACCUCUCUCUCUAAACAUGUGGCAUAUUUAUUGAUCUCGGCCUUCGCUUGAGGACAAGCGAGGUCUAAGCUUGGGGGAGUUGAUACGUCCAUUUUGCGUCAUGCUUUCAUGUUGAUAUUUAUCGCUUUAUGGGCUGUUAUUACACUUCACGGUACAAUACUUAUGCCUUUUCUCUCUUAUUUUGCAAGGUUUACAUGAAGAGGGAGAAUGCCGAGAGCUGGAAUUCUGGCCUGAAAAAGGAGCAAGUUUGAGAUACCUAUUCCGCGCAACUCCAAAAGCCGUGAAAAUCAACGAGGAUUUAUUUUGGAAUUUAUAAAAAAUACUGGGCCAAAGAUGUUGGGGAACGUCGCAUGGGAAACAAAAAUUUUCCUACGCGCACGAAGACCUAUCAUGGUGAUGUCCAUCUACGAGAGGGGAUUUCUGAUCUACGUACCCUUGUAGAUCGCACAGCAGAAGCGUUAGUGAACGCGGUUGAUGUAGUGGAACGUCCUCACGUCCCUCGAUCCGCCCCGCGAACCGUCCCACGAACCGUCCCGCGACCCGUCCCACGAUCUAGUGCCGAACGGACGGCACCUCCGCGUUCAGCACACGUACAGCUCAACGAUGAUCUCAGCCUUCUUGAUCCAGCAAGAGAGACGGAGAGGUAGAUGAGUUCUCCGGCAGCGUGACGGCGCUCCGGAGGUUGGUGGUGAUCUAAUCUCAGCAGGGCUCCGCCCGAGCUCCGCAGAAACGCGAUCUAGAGGUAAAACCGUGGAGGUAUGUGGUCGGGCUGCCUUGAAAAAGUUGUCUCAAAUCAGCCCUAAUAGCUCCAUAUAUAUAGGAGGAGGGAGGGGAGGUUUUCCUUGAGGCUCAAGGAGCCCCAAGGGCUGCGCACCAAGGGGAGGAGGAGUCCUCCUCCAAUCCUAGUCCAACUAGGAUUGGAAGGUGGAGUCCUUCUCUCCCUUCCCACCUCCUUUUUUCUCUUUGAUUUUCUAUCUAUGGCGCAUAGCGCCUUCUUGGGCUGUCCCACUAGUCCACCAAGGGCUGGUGCGCCACCCCCAAGGCCUAUGGGCUCCCCCGGGGUGGGCUGCCCCCCCGGUGAACACCCGGGACCCAUUCGUCAUUCCCGGUACAUUCCCGGUAACUCCGAAAACCUUCCGGUAAUCAAAUGAGGUCAUCCUAUAUAUCAAUCUUCGUUUCCAGACCAUUUCGGAAACCCUCGUGAUGUCCGUGAUCUCAUCCGGGACUCCGAACAACAUUCGGUAACCAACCAUAUAACUCAAAUACACAUAAAACAACGUCGAACCUUAAGUGUGCAGACCCUGCGGGUUCGAGAACUAUGUAGACAUGACCCGAGUGACUCCUCGAUCAAUACCCAAUAGCGGGACCUGGAUGCCCAUAUUGGAUCCCACAUAUUCUACGAAGAUCUUAUCGUUUGAACCUCAGUGCCAAGGAUUCAUAUAAUCCCGUAUAUCAUUCCCUUUGUCCUUCGGUAUGUUACUUGCCCGAGAUUCGAUCGUCAGUAUCCGCAUACCUAUUUCAAUCUCGUUUACCGGCAAGUCUCUUUACUCGUUCCGUAAUACAAGAUCCCGCAACUUACACUAAGUCACAUUGCUUGCAAGGCUUGUGUGUGAUGUUGUAUUACCGAGUGGGCCCCAAGAUACCUCUCCGUCACACGGAGUGAUAAAUCCCAGUCUCGAUCCAUACUAACUCAAUGAACACCUUCGGAGAUACCUGUAGAGCAUCUUUAUAGUCACCCAGUUACGUUGCGACGUUUGAUACACACAAAGCAUUCCUCCGGUGUCAGUGAGUUAUAUGAUCUCAUGGUCAUAGGAACAAAUACUUGACACGCAGAAAACAGUAGCAACAAAAUGACAUGAUCAACAUGUUACGUCUAUUAGUUUGGGUCUAGUCCAUCACGUGAUUCUCCUAAUGACGUGAUCCAGUUAUCAAGCAACAACACCUUGUACAUAGUCAGAAGACCCUAACUAUCUUUGAUGAACUGGCUAGCCAACUAGAGGCUUGCUAGGGACAGUGUUUUCUCUAUGUAUCCACACAUGUAUAUAAGUCUUCAUUCAAUACAAUUAUAGCACGGAUAAUAAAUGAUUAUCUUGAUAAAGGAAUUAUAAUAAUAACUAUAUUUAUUAUUGCCUCUAGGGCAUAAUUCCAACAGUGUCCCACUUGCACUAGAGUCAAUAAUCUAGCCCUCACAUCACCAUGUGAAUUACAUUGUAAUAAAUCUAACUCGCAUACAGUUCUGGUGUUGAUCAUGCUUUGCCCGUGGAAGAGGUUUAGUCAACGGGUCUGCUAUAUUCAGAUACGUGUGUACUUUGCAUAUAUUUACGUCCUCCCCUUCGACGUAGUCGCGGAUGAGGUUGAAGCGUCGUUUGAUGUGUCUGGUCUUCUUGUGAAACCGUGGUUCCUUUGCUAAGGCAAUGGCACCCGUGUUGUCACAGAACAAGGUUAUUGGAUUCAGUGCGCUUGGCACCACUCCAAGAUCCGUCAUGAACUGCUUCAUCCAGACACCCUCCUUAGUCGCCUCCGAGGCAGCCAUGUACUCCGCUUCACAUGUAGAAUCAGCUACGACGCUUUGCUUGGAACUGCACCAGCUUACCGCACCCCCAUUAAGAAUAAAUACGUAUCCGGUCUGCGACUUAGAGUCGUCCGGAUCUGUGUCAAGGCUUGCAUCGACGUAACCCUUUACGAAGAGCUCUUCGUCACCUCCAUACACGAGAAACAUCUCCUUAGUCCUUUUCAGGUACUUCAGGAUAUUCUUGACCGCCGUCCAGUGAUCCACUCCUGGAUUACUCUGGAACCUGCCUGCCAUACUUAUGGCCAGGCUAACGUCCGGUCUAGUGCACAACAUUGCAUACAUGAUAGAUCCUAUGGCUGAAGCAUAGGGGACGUGCUCAUAUGCUCUCUAUCUUUAUCAGUUGCUGGGCACUGAGUCUUACUCAAUCUCGUACCUUGUAAAACUGGCNUUGUAAUAAAUCUAACUCGCAUACAGUUCUGGUGUUGAUCAUGCUUUGCCCGUGGAAGAGGUUUAGUCAACGGGUCUGCUAUAUUCAGAUACGUGUGUACUUUGCAUAUAUUUACGUCCUCCCCUUCGACGUAGUCGCGGAUGAGGUUGAAGCGCGUUUGAUGUGUCUGGUCUUCUUGUGAAACCGUGGUUCCUUUGCUAAGGCAAUGGCACCCGUGUUGUCACAGAACAAGGUUAUUGGAUUCAGUGCGCUUGGCACCACUCCAAGAUCCGUCAUGAACUGCUUCAUCCAGACACCCUCCUUAGUCGCCUCCGAGGCAGCCAUGUACUCCGCUUCACAUGUAGAAUCAGCUACGACGCUUUGCUUGGAACUGCACCAGCUUACCGCACCCCCAUUAAGAAUAAAUACGUAUCCGGUCUGCGACUUAGAGUCGUCCGGAUCUGUGUCAAGGCUUGCAUCGACGUAACCCUUUACGAAGAGCUCUUCGUCACCUCCAUACACGAGAAACAUCUCCUUAGUCCUUUUCAGGUACUUCAGGAUAUUCUUGACCGCCGUCCAGUGAUCCACUCCUGGAUUACUCUGGAACCUGCCUGCCAUACUUAUGGCCAGGCUAACGUCCGGUCUAGUGCACAACAUUGCAUACAUGAUAGAUCCUAUGGCUGAAGCAUAGGGGACGGUGCUCAUAUGCUCUCUAUCUUUAUCAGUUGCUGGGCACUGAGUCUUACUCAAUCUCGUACCUUGUAAAACUGGCAAUAACCCUUUCUUGGACUGUUCCAUUUUGAACCUCUUCAAAACUUUAUCAAGGUAUGUGCUUUGUGAAAUUCCUAUCAAGCGUUUCGAACUAUCCCUAUAGAUCUUAAUGCCUAGAAUGUAAGCAGCUUCUCCUAGGUCCUUCAUAGAGAAACUUUUAUUCAAGUAAUCCUUUACGCUCUCGAAAAACUCUACGUUGUUUUCAAUCAGCAAUAUGUCAUCCACAUAUAAUAUUAGAAACGCCACAGAGCUCCCACUCACUUUCUUGUAAAUACAAGAUUCUCCAACCACUUGUAUAAACCCAAAUGCUUUGAUCACCUCAUCAAAGCGUUUGUUCCAACUCCGAGAUGCUUGCACCAGUCCAUAAAUGGAUCGCUGGAGCUUGCAUACCUUGUUUGCAUUUUUAGGAUCGACAAAACCUUCGGGUUGCAUCAUAUACAACUCUUCCUUAAGGAAACCGUUAAGGAACGCCGUUUUGACAUCCAUCUGCCAGAUUUCAUAAUCGAAAAAUGCAGCUAUUGCUAACAUGAUUCUGACGGGCUUAAGCAUCGCUACAGGUGAGAAUGUCUCAUCGUAGUCAACUCCUUGAACUUGUGAAAAACCCUUUGCCACAAGUCGAGCUUUAUUAUAAAUGGUCACAUUCCCGUCUGCGUCCGUCUUCUUCUUAAAGAUCCAUUUGUUCUGAAUAGUCUUGUGGCCCUCAGGUAGUACUUCCAAAGUCCACACUUUGUUUUCAUACAUGGAUCCUAUCUCGGACUUCAUGGCCUCCAGCCAUUUGUUGGAAUCUGGGCCCACCAUUGCUUCUUCAUAAUUUGCAGGUUCAUUGUUGUCUAACAACUUGAUUGACAAAACGGGAUUACUGUACCACUCUGGAGCAGCACGUGGUCUCGUCGACCUGUGUGGUUCGAUAGGAACUUGAACCGAAGUUUCAUGAUCAUCAUCAUUAACUUCCUCCUCAACCGGCGUCGCAACGACACGGGUUUCUCCUUGCCCUGCGCCACCAUCCAGAGGGAUCAGAGGUUUGACAACCUCAUCAAGUUCUAUAUUCCUCCCACUCAAUUCUCUCGAGAGAAACUCCUUCUCGAGAAAAGCUCCGUUUUUAGCAACAAACACUUUGCCCUCGGAUUUGAGAUAGAAGGUGUACCCAACUGUCUCUUUUGGGUAACCUAUGAAGAUGCACUUUUCCGCUUUGGGUUCCAGCUUUUCAGGCUGAAGCUUUUUGACAUAAGCAUCACAUCCCCAAACUUUAAGAAACGACAACUUUGGCCUUUUGCCAUACCACAAUUCGUAUGGUGUCGUCUCAAUGGAUUUUGAUGGUGCCCUAUUUAAAGUGAAUGCAGCUGUGUCUAAUGCAUAACCCCAAAACGAUAACGGCAAAUCGGUAAGAGACAUCAUAGAUUGCACCAUCUCUAAUAAAGUACGAUUACGGCGUUCGGACACACCAUUACGCUGUGGUGUUCGAGGCGGUGUCAACUGUGAAACAAUUCCACAUUGUCUUAAGUGAGCACCAAACUCAAAACUCAGAUAUUCACCCCCACGAUCAGACCGUAGGAACUUGAUCUUCUUGUUACGAUGAUUUUCAACUUCACUAUGAAAUUGCUUGAACUUUUCAAAUGUUUCAGACUUGUGCUUCAUUAAGUAGACAUAACCAUAUCUACUCAAAUCGUCAGUGAAGGUGAGAAAAUAACGAUAUCCGCCGCGUGCCUCCACGCUCAUCGGACCGCACACAUCGGUAUGUAUGAUUUCCAACAAGUCACUGGCACGCUCCAUUGUUCCAGAGAACGGAGUUUUAGUCAUCUUUUCCAUGAGGCAUGGUUCGCACGUGUCAAGUGAAUCAAAGUCAAGUGACUCCAAAAGUCCAUCGGUAUGGAGUUUCUUCAUGCGCUUUACACCAAUAUGACCUAAGCAGCAGUGCCACAAAAACAUGGCGCUAUCAUUGUUAACUCUAACUCUUUUUGUCUCAAUGUUAUGUAUAUGUGUAUUAUCACUAUCAAGAUUCAAUAUGAACAAUCCUCUCACAUUGGGUGCAUGACCAUAAAAGAUGUUACUCAUAGAAAUAGAACAACCAUUAUUCUCUGACUUAAAAGAGUAACCGUCUCGCAAUAAACAAGAUCCAGAUAUAAUGUUCAUGCUCAACGCAGGCACUAAAUAACAAUUAUUCAAGUUCAUAACUAAUCCUGAUGGUAACUGAAGUGAAACUAUGCCGACGACGAUUGCAUCAACCUUGGAACAUUUCCUACGCGCAUCGUCACUUCAUCUUUCGCCAGCCUUCGCCUAUUCCGCAGUUCUUGUUUCGAGUUGCAAAUAUGAGCAACAAAACCGGUAUCGAAUACCCAGGCACUACUACGAGAGACGGUUAAGUACACAUCAAUAACAUGUAUAUCAAACAUACCUGAUUUUUCUUUGGCUGCCUUCUUAUCAGUCAGACACUUGGGGCAGUUGCGCUUCCAGUGACCCAUACACUUGCAAUAGUAGCACUCUGUUUCAGGCUUAGGUCCAGCUUUGGAUUUCUUCGUCGGAUUGGCAACAGGCUUGCCGCUCUUCUUUGAAUUACCCUUCUUCCCUUUGCCGUUUCUCUUGAAACUAGUGGUCUUAUUCACCAUCAACACUUGAUGCUCUUUACGGAGUUCUGACUCUGCGACUUUCAGCAUCGCAAACAACUUGCCGGGUGAUUUGUUCAUCCCUUGCACGUUGUAGUUCAACACAAAGCCCUUAUAGCUUGCGGCAGUGAUUGAAGAAUUCUGUCAGUGAUAGCCUCUUGCGGGAGUUCAAUCCCCAGCUCAGCUAGACGGUUUGAGUACCCAGACAUUUUGAGCACAUGUUCACUGACAGACGAAUUCUCCUCCAUCUUGCAAGCAUAGAAUUUAUCGGAGGUCUCAUACCUCUCGAACCGGGCAUUCAUCUGAAAGAUAAACUUCAACUCCUGGAACAUCUCAUAUGCUCCAUGACGCUCAAAGAAACGUUGAAGUCUCGGCUCUAAGCCAUACAAGACUGCACAUUGAACUACUGAGUAGUCCUCCUUACGUGUUAACCAAGCGUUCUUAACAUCUUGGUCAGCCGUAGCGGGUUGUUCAUCUCCUAGCGCAGCAUUAAGGACAUAAUCCUUCUUCCCAGCUUGUAGGAUCAACUUAAGAUUACGAGCCCAGUCUACAAAGUUGCUUCCAUCAUCUUUCAACUUAGCUUUCUCUAGGAACGUAUUAAAAUUCAGGGUGACUAUCGCGUGAGCCAUGAUCUACAACACAAAUAUAUUCAAAGUGGACUUAGACUAUGUUCAAGAUAAUUAGAGUUUAACUUAAUCAAAUUACUUGCUAAACUCCCACUCAAAAAAUACAUCUCUCUAGUCAUUUGAGUGGUUCAUGACCCACUUACACUAGCUCAAGUCCGAUCAUCACCUGAGUUGAGUAUAGUUUCAGUGGUAAGCAUCCCUAUGCUAAACAUAUGAACUAUAUGAUUCAUGAUCGACCUUUCGGUCUCAUGUGUUCCGAGGCCAUGUCUGCACAUGCUAGGCUCGUCAAGCUUAACUCGAGUGUUCCGCGUGUGCAACUGUUUUGCACCCAUUGUAUGUGAACGUUGAGUCUAUCACACCCGAUCAUCACGUGGUGUCUCGAAACGACGAACUGUAGCAACGGUGCACAGUCAGUGAGAACACAAUUUCGUCUUGAAAUUUUAGUGAGAGAUCACCUCAUAAUGCUACCGUCGUUCUAAGCAAAAUAAGGUGCAUAAAAGGAUUAACAUCACAUGCAAUUCAUAAGUGACAUGAUAUGGCCAUCAUCACGUGCUUCUUGAUCUCCAUCACCAAAGCACCGGCAUGAUCUUCUUUGUCACCAGCGCCACACCAUGAUCUCCAUCAACGUGUCGCCAUCGGGGUUGUCGUGCUACUCAUGCUAUUACUACUAAAGCUACAUCCUAGCAAUAUAGUAAACGCAUCUGCAAGCACAAACGUUAGUUUAAAGACAACCGUAUGGCUCCUGCCGGUUGCCGUACCAUCGACGUGAAAGUCGAAAUUAUCUAUUACAACAUGAUCAUCUCAUACAUCCAAUAUAUCACAUCACAUUGUUGGCCAUAUCACAUCACAAGCAUACCCUGCAAAAACAAGUUAGACGUCCUCUAAUUUGUUGUUGCAUGUUUUACGUGGUGACCAUGAGUAUCUAGUAGGAUCGCAUCUUACUUACGCAAACACCACAACGGAGAUAUAUGAAUUGCUAUUUAACCUAAUCCAAGGACCUCCUCGGUCAAAUCUAAUUCAACUAAAGUUGGAGAAACCGACACUUGCCAGUCAUCUUUGAGCAACGGAGUUACUCGUAGCGAUGAAACCAAUCUCUCGUAAGCGUACGAGUAAUGUCGGUCCAAGCCGCUUCAAUCCAACAAUACCGCGAAAUCAAGAAAAGACUAAGGAGGGUAGCAAGACGCACAUCACCGCCCACAAAAACUUUUGUGUUCUACUCGAGAUUACAUCUACGCAUGAACCUAGCUCAUGAUGCCACUGUUGGGGAACGUCGCAUGGGAAACACAAAUUCUCCUACGCGCACGAAGACCUAUCAUGGUGAUGUCCAUCUACGAGAGGCGAUUUCCGAUCUACGUACCCUUGUAGAUCGCACAGCAGAAGCGUUAGUGAACGCGGUUGAUGUAGUGGAACGUCCUCACGUCCCUCGAUCCGCCCCGCGAACCGUCCCACAAACUGUCCCGCGAUCCGUCCCACGAUCUAGUGCCGAACGAAAGGCACCUCCGCGUUCAGCACACGUACAGCUCGACGAUGAUCUCGGCCUUCUUGAUCCAGCAAGAGAGACGGAUAGGUAGAUGAGUUCUCCGGCAGCAUGACGGCGCUCCGGAGGUUGGUGGUGAACUAAUCUCAGCAGGGCUCCGCCCGAGCUCCGCAGAAACGCGAUCAAGAGGUAAAACCGUGGAGGUAUGUGGUCAGGCUGCCUUGAAAAAGUUGUCUCAAAUCAGCCCUAAUAGCUCCGUAUAUAUAGGAGGAGGGAGGGGAGGCUUGCCUUGAGGCUCAAGGAGCCCCAAGGGCUGCGCACCAAGGGGAGGAGGAGUCCUCCUCAAUCCUAGUCCAACUAGGAUUGGAAGGUGGAGUCCUUCUCUCCCUUCCCACCUCCUUUUUUUCUUUUCUCUUUGAUUUUCUAUCUAUGGCGCAUCGGGCCUUCUUGGGCUGUCCCACCAGCCCACCAAGGGCUGGUGCACCACCCCCAAGGCCUAUGGGCUUCCCGGGGUGGGCUGCCCCCCCCGGUGAACAUCUGGAACCCAUUCGUCAUUCCCGGUACAUUCCCGGUAACUCCGAAAACCUUCCGAUAAUCAAAUGAGCUCAUCCUAUAUAUCAAUCUUCCUUUCCGGACCAUUCCGGAAACCCUCGUGACGUCCGUGAUCUCAUCCGGGACUCCGAACAACAUUCGGUAACCAACCAUAUAACUCAAAUACGCAUAAAACAACGUCGUACCUUAAGUGUGCAGACCCUGCGGGUUCGAGAACUAUGUAGACAUGACCCGAUUGACUCCUCGGUCAAUAGCCAAUAGCGGGACCUGGAUGCCCAUAUUAGAUCCCACAUAUUCGACGAAGAUCUUAUCGUUUGAACCUCAGUGCCACGGAUUCAUACAAUCCCGUAUGUCAUUCCCUUUGUCCUCGGUAUGUUACUUGCCCGAGAUUCGAUCGUCAGUAUCCGCAUACCUAUUUCAAUCUCGUUUACCGGCAAGUCUCUUUACUCGUUCCGCAAUACAAGAUCCCGCAACUUACACUAAGUUACAUUGCUUGCAAGGCUUGUGUGUGAUGUUGUAUUACCGAGUGGGCCCCAAGAUACCUCUCCGUCACACGGAGUGACAAAUCCCAGUCUCGAUCCAUACUAACUCAACGAACACCUUCGGAGAUACCUGUAGAGCAUCUUUAUAGUCACCCAGUUACGUCGCGACGUUUGAUACACACAAAGCAUUCCUCCGGUGUCAGUGAGUUAUAUGAUCUCAUGGUCAUAGGAACAAAUACUUGACAUGCAGAAAACAGUAGCAACAAAAUGACACGAUCAACAUGCUACGUCUAUUAGUUUGGGUCUAGUCCAUCACGUGAUUCUCCUAAUGACGUGAUCCAGUUAUCAAGCAACAACACCUUGUACAUAGUCAGAAGACCCUGACUAUCUUUGAUCAACUGGCUAGCCAACUAGAGGCUUGCUAGGGACAGUGUUUUGUCUAUGUAUCCACACAUGUAUAUAAGUCUUCAUUCAAUACAAUUAUAGCACGGAUAAUAAACGAUUAUCUUGAUACAGGAAUUAUAAUAAUAACGAUAUUUAUUAUUGCCUCUAGGGCAUAAUUCCAACAAAAGAAGUACCAGAGGGGAGCCAGUAAGAGGCCACAAGCCUGCUAGGCGUGACCUACCCCCCUGGCCGCGCCUAGGGGGCUCGUGGGCUCUCUGCUGGCCCUCUGGCCCCCCUCUUUUGCUAUAAGGAGGGUUUCGUUCCAGAAAAAAUCAGGAGGAGGCUUUCGGGAGGAAUCGCCGCCGCCACGAGGCGGAACUUGAGCAGAACCAAUCUAGAGCUCCGGCAGUGUCCUCCUGCCGGGGAAACUUCCCUCCCAGAGGGGGAAAUCGUCGCCAUCGUCAUGACCAACACUCCUCUCAUCGGAGGGGACUCGUCACCAUCAACAUCUUCAUCAGCACCAUCUCAUCUCCAAACCCUAGUUCAUCUCUUGUAACCAAUCUUCGUCUCGCGACUCCGAUUGGUACUUGUAAGGUUGCUAGUAGUGUUAAUUACUCUUUGUAGUUGAUGCUAGUUGGAUUACUUGGUGGAAGAUUAUAUGUUCAGAUCUUUGAUGCUAUUCAAUAUCUCUCUGGUCAUGCAUAUUAUUAUGCUUUGUGAGUAGUCACUUUUGUUCCCGAGGACACGGGAUAAGUCUUGCUAUAAAUAGUCAUGUGAAUUUGGUAUUCGUUCGAUAUUUUGAUGUGUUGUAUGUUGUCUCUCCUCUAGUGGUGUUAUGUGAACGUCGACUACAUAACACUUCACCAUUAUUUGGGCCUAGAGGAAGGCAUUGGGAAGUAGUAAGUAGAUGAUGGGUUGCUAGAGUGACAGAAGCUUAAACCCUAGCUUAUGUGUUGCUUCGUAAGGGGCUGAUUUGGAUCCACUAGUUUAAUGCUAUGGUUAGACUUUGUCUUAAUUCUACUUUCGUAGUUGCGGAUGCUUGCGAGAGGGGUUAAUCAUAAGUGGGAUUCUUGUCGAAGUAAGGACAGUACCCAAGCGCCGGUCCACCCACAUAUCAAACUAUCAAAGUAGCGAACGCGAAUCAUAUGAACAUGAUGAAAACUAGCUUGACAGAAAUUCCCGUUUGUCCUCGGGAGCGGUUUACCUCCUAUAAGAGUUUGUCCUGGCUUGUCCCUUGCUACAAAAUGGAUUGGGCCACUUUGCUGCACCUUUGUUACUGUUGUUACUUGCUACUUUCUCCGAAUCAUCUUGUCACACAACUGCAUGUUACUGACAAUUUCAGUGCUUGCAGAGAUUACCUUGCUGAAAACCACUUGUCAGAUCCUUCUGCUCCUCGUUGGUUCGACACUCUUACUUAUCGAAAGGACUACAAUAGAUCCCCUACACUUGUGGGUCAUCAAUCAUUGACAUGAAAUAAGGGACCAUUAAAUUCCAAUUUCCCCUUAAAAAUGGAAUGGAACACUUCCCUUGUAAGAAGAUUAAGUUACCUUAUGAGUCCGUUACUCGGGUAAGUUAUUAUUUUGGAGUUGAUAAUACUUGAUCUUUUUUGCAUUAUGCCUAGCUCAAAGGCAUAAAAGAAAGCGCUUGUUGGGAGGUAACCCAAUUUGUUUUUACUUUCAGUUUAAGUUGUCUUGAUGCUUGUUACUACUGUGGCAACAUCAUUGUAUCUUUAUUUUCAAGAUUUGUACCAAGUUUUAGCCUCCGAUUGCAAGAAAGUUCAAAAGUUGUGACAUCCUGUCGAGAAACAGAUUCUGUAUGCUUGACAAAAAAAUUUGCCUCAUAUCACGAGGUAAUCUUUUUUAUCUGAAUUUUUUUGACACGAUGCUCUAUAUAAUUAUCUUUCCGGCGUAUGUUCUGAGUUUUUUUAUUUGAGUUGCAGAAGUGCCUCGAAAAAAUUAUUUACUACCUGCUGUUUUGUUUUUCACAGAUUCUGCCACGUUUUGCGUUUUCAUCAUUUUGCAAAUCUUAAGCUUUGUUUUUAUUUGCAAAAACCUUUUGGCAAUCUUGAUAAACAGUAGCUCUUAAUGAAUUUUUUUAUUUCAGUAGAGAAUAAGUUAUUUAUUAUGGGCACUAACCACUCUAAUCAGCUUAUGAUGAGUUUCGUAUGAAGGGAGUUUUCAAGUAUGCUAUGGAAGAUGAUGAAAGAAGAUCCAGGAGUGUCAAGCGCUCAAGCUUGGGGAUGCCCCCAUGCACCCCAAGAAAUAUUCAAGGAGACUCAAGCGUCUAAGCUUGGGGAUGCCCCCAUGCAUCCCCUUCUCCAUCAACAAUCAUCAGUUCGUCCAUCUCUAUGCUAUAUUUUUCUCACUUCAUAUGUUAUGUGCUAUGCUUGGAGCGUCUCACUCUUUACUUUUUAGUUUGUUUUAGUUUUUCUUGCUGUUCAUAACAAGUUGGAACCUAGCCUUCUUUGUUUGGGAGAGAAACACGCUCCACUCCACCUUAGAACACAACAUAGGUUUUCAUGCUUAUCUUUUUGUGUGUUCUUUAUCUUUCCAUAGCUACUGUCAUGCUUAGCUAUUACUCCCUCCGUUUCUAAAUAUAAGUCUUUUUAGAUGUUUCACUAAUAGACUACAUACGGAUGAAUGUAGACAUAUUUUAGAGUAUAGGUUCAUUCUAUUUUACUUCGAAUGUAGUCUUUUAGUGAAAUCUCUAAAAAGACUUAUAUUUAGGAACGGAGGGAGUAGUUUUCAUGCUUUAUCUUUUUAAGAGAUUUUAUUUAGGUUGCUUUUGAAACUCUCUUGAGUUAUCAUGCUUAUCUUGUUUAGAGAGUUGGCUUGUUGCACUGAGUUGGGUGUCUUGCAUGUGUAGGUAAUUGAGGUUGCUAUUUAAGUAUAGUAGUAACUUGCAACAAUUUUGAGGUAUUGUUUUGAGAAAUGUUUGGACUAUUGGUGCCAAGAGCUUGAGCCUAUUAGUGAUAGGUGUCGUAUUUUGGGAAAUCCGUGUGUUUUUCAAAACAAAAAAAUUAGUUGAGAACUCUAGCUACUAGAUGAAUCGCUAACCUCUGGUUGGGUUGGAAUAUAUAGAGUACCCUCACGUUACCGUAGGUCGAGGAUGCACAAGGAUAACCAAACCCCCAAACACUCCUCCUCGGGGUGCUUGUCUCUUUGUAAAUCUCCUAACAAGAUAGAGACUUACCGAUAACAAGUGCAUGAGUUCUUCAGACUAAUGUGAGUAUUCGAUUGUUGCCACUUCCACCACCAUAUUUUGCUAGCCUCUUUGGUACCGUGUAUUACCUUUUCUCAUCUUGAGAGUUGGUGCAAACUCCGCCGGUGCAUCCAAACCCUUGGCAUGAUACGCACUGCCAUCAUAAGCCUCAUUAUAUCUUUCCUCAAAACAACCACCAUACCUACCUAUUAAGGCAUUUCCAUAGCCUUUCUGAGAUACAUUGCCAUGCAACAUCCACGACCUCAUGACUUGAUCUUCAUGUCAUACAUGCUUUUGCUUGAUCGAGGAGCCGCAUGCUAGUUGGGCCUUGCCCUUGUUAUUGCUACAUGACGCGCUAGUUUCAUUGCAUAUCCUGCUACACUCGCACAUGCAUACAUUUGCAUACAUCAUGAUAGUUUUCAUUUGUCUUUAUGUUGAGUAUUUCUUAUAAAGUGUGAAGAUCUUCCUUUUACUCUUGUAAAACAUAGAGUGUUUCCCUUAAGUGAGGAAAGGAUCCCAAAGAGGACAAAUGAAAAGAUCCCAAAGAGGACAAAUGAAAAGAUCCCAAAGAGGACAAAUGAGAGAUAAAUAUAAAGAGCCAAAGAGGCCACAAAAAAAGAAAUAAAAAGAGAGAAGGGAGGAAACACUACUAUUCCUUUUGAAAGAUCCACACUCGUACUCCAUUGUUAUAUUUGUACUCCAUAGAGAUUAUCAUUCAUGCAUGACUAUGUGGGGACCCAUACACUAUAGAACUUGGCUUGUAUAUUCCAAUGAUGAGCCUCCUCAAAUGAGCUCUAGGUCUUCAUGAGGAAGAAAGUUGGAUGCACCCCCACUAGUUCCAUUGGAGGGCUUACCUUAGCUCAUAUGUGCAUCCGUUGCAUGGCAAUCCCUACUCCUCACAACAUAUCUAUCAUUUGGCUUUCUCUCGCCUAUGGUUGUCCUCAUUGAUGUGAGCCUUUCACUACUUUUUUUUGUCUUCCUUCUCCAUAAAUAUUCUCUUUGUCAUCCUAAGUACCAACAUAUCUUUCUUGCGCUUAUCCAUUGCAUGAGUGCUCAAAGUCGAAAGGGAGAGGAUCAUUUUGACUUGUGCCUGACUAGUGGUCUGGGGAUGAGUCAAAAUAAGAUUCCGGAGGAGACCAAGUGUGAAGUUUUAGUAGAUUGAGUUCUUAAUUAAAAACUAUUUUUAUGCUCUAAACCCAUCUCCCACUUCUUGCACGCAAACACCAUUUGGAUACAUUCGAGUCACGAACAGCGAGGGCUCUUGCACCUUUAUGUUCUUACUUUGCUAUUUUCAAUACUAAAUAUAGACUCUUGCUUGUUAUUGUCUUGACUUGAAUUGCAUAUCUCACUUGCUUUACUUUGAAGUUCUUAUAUGUGUGUUAGCAUGUCACCAUAGAAAUUAUUUGUGUUAUCAUUUACCUACUCGAGGACGAGCAGGAAUUAAGCUUGGGGAUGUUGAUAUCCCAAACGUAUCUAUAAUUUCUGCUUGUUCCAUGAUCUUUUUGGUGAAAUUGUUAUAUGUUUUGCUACACUUUCAUACCUUUUUACACAUAUUUGGACUAACCUACUAACUGAGUGCACCCAGUGCCAGUUUCUGUCUGCUGAUGUCUUUUUUCCAGGGACUUUUACCCCAAUUUAUAGAGUCCCAAAAAUCCCGAGAAAAAUAUAUAAAAAUCAGCAUGACGGAAGCUUUCAGAACACCGAAGAUGGGCCAGAGGGGAGCCAGGGCCUGCCCAGGCGUCCUCGCUGUGCGGCUUGCCCCUGGUCGCGCCCACAGGUCGGCUCGGUGGGGUCCACCUCCUCUGACGCCCUCCUUUGGCCUAUAUUUACCCCUCCGAUCGAAAACCCUUCCAUCAUAUCCAGAAUCACGAAUUUCUCCAUCGUUCUGCCGCCGCAGCGCUUCAGAGAUCGGGAGCGUCACAAGAUCUCUUCCCGGCACCCUGUCGGAGGGAGGAUUGACCUCCAGGAGCUCGUCCACCGCCAUAGACGCUUCCCGGAUGUGCCGUGAGUAGUCCUCCUUGGACCAUGAGUCCAUGACCAGUAGUUAUGUGAUGUCUUCUCUCCAAUCUUGUGCUUCAAUGAUUAGCCCUUGUGAGCUGCCCUACAUGAUCAAGGCAUCUAUGUAAUUUUCCUGAUAUUCCUAUGCUUGGUUUCUGGGAACCGAUGGAUUAUGAGAUUAUAUUCAGAUCAUGAUGAGUUAUAUAUUUGAUUAUCCUUUUAUAUGAUGUUCUUUUGUGAUUCAUGCAUGUUCUCCGUUGCUUUUUAUUGCUUUGGCCGAGUAGUAGAUUGUAACUCCAAGAGGGAGCGUUAUGCAUGAUUGUGGGUUCAUGGCCCCUCAUGUCUAGCUUGAGUGACAGAAACAUGAGACUAGGGGAUGUGUUGUUGCCAUAAGGGAGAAAACAACGGUGCUUGUGACCAGGUUGCAUGUAUUGUUUACCUUACGCAAAGUUCGUUAAUGCAGUUGUCCGUUGCUUUGAGUUUACACUUUGGGUGGGGCUCGCAACUUAAUACCAGCGAGAUGUUCUGGAUAGAUAACUCAAGGUGGAUGAUUAGUAAGUAGAUGCUGAUGAAUAAACAGUCUACUUGUCUUGGCGUACUGCCCAUUACUUUUGAGCCACUAACUUUCUAGUAGCAUAAUUAGCAUUGUGGUACGUUUAUAAUUUUGGCAAUUGCCCAGCUGUAAUUUGUUUACCCAUGCAUAGUUGUUUAUCGUCUUUUGGGAGAGAGACAUCACUAGUGAACAUCAUGUGAUUCCGGCCCAUAUUACCACCAUUGCUUACACCUCCACCAUUUACUGCUUUUAUUUACUUUUUCGUUGCAAUCACUAUCACUAUUCCUUCUUGUGUUUUGAUCCUUUGCAAACUACAAGGCUGGAGAGAUUGACAACCUCUCUGUACUCGUUGGGAGCAAAGUUAUAUGUUGUGUGUGUGAGAAAAGUUAUUUGUUGUGUGUGCAGGUCCACGUCUUCUGCUAGCGCCAGAGCAGCGGACACCUACUGGUUAAUCCUCGGAGUCCUCCCGGUUCGAUAAAUCUUACAGUCCCUGUGUAAGGGAAAUCUGCCGCUGACUACAUCUCCACCUUCCACUUUGGGUAACCAACGAGGGGUGAGAAGUAUAUCCAUCAACUCGUCAUCAAUAAUCAAUUGUCUCAUCGUUUCCACCGAACACAUAAGAUUUGUUACCUGACCAUUCUAUAUUCAGCAAGUUGUCUUUUAUGAGAAUACUUCUCCUAGUCAUCGGCCAAGUAAAAACUUUGAUUUUAGGAGGUACUUAUUUUUCGCAAAUACAUAGAAGGAAAAUUAACAUCAUUUACAAUCAGUUGGUUAUAAAAGGAUUUCACAGAAUAUCUGCCACAGGCAUUCAGGGUCCAUAUACUUCUAUAUUUUCUAUAGAUAAAGUAAUUUAUGCACAAACAUUUUAAUCCCCUCCAAUUGUGCCAAAAUGUCCCCCACAAGGUUCUUCUGAACUGAAAUACACCCCACCAUUUAUUCAUCACAUCAGCCAUCUUAAUGUUCUUCUUGAAACAUAAAUUAUACGGCCUGGGGUGUGAUUGAUUCAGUAGCUUAUCAUCCCCCCACCAAUCCUCCCAGAAUCUAGUAUUCAGCCCAUCUCCCACUACUCUUUUUAUAUAUUUAUAAAAAAGGUUUUUAGCAACUAGAGUCCCAAACAAAAACUGAGAAUCCCAACCUCUAGGUUUAGCCUCACCCAAACAUUUCCCCCUCGAAUAUUUUGAUUUCAAAACAUAUUGUCAUAGGCCAUCUUCAGUUUCUAGUUUUUAUGGCCAUUUAGCAAAGAAAACCUUGUUCAUGAGGUCUAGGUUAAGGAUCCCCCAACCCCCUUAACUUUAGGUUGGCACAGCUCUCACCAUCUAACUAGUUGAUAUUUAUUUUUCUUUUUAUCUCCUUGCCAUACAAUCCUGGCUCUAUAAAAACCCAUGUUUUUCCUAACCCCAACUAGAAUUGAAAAAAAAUCAUCAUACACAUUGGUAUGCUGGUCAAAGAUGACUGCGCCAAAGCAACCCUCCCAGAAAUGUUCAUCAUGUUGGAAAAUUAGGCAAGUUCAUGAUUAAUUAUAAUAAAUAAUUCAUGACCAAAACAUAAGAUAGCAUGCAAUACUCUAGCAAUCUAGAAGAGCAACCGACCAUGCACAUCAUCACCGCGCAAGAAGCAACAACUACAGCGAGAAACAUUAACACAUUACGAGUAACACACUGUUCGUUAGUUGCAGCAGGAGUGAGUGUGUUGAUGAUGAUGUUGGAGACGAUCCUUUGUUGAUGGAGAUGAAGACGACGAUGAGUAGCACCACCCAACUUGGACGGUAGACGACCCGUGGUGAAGAAUUUGAGCACUCGCACAAAGCGCUUUCCAAAAACCUAAUUUGUUCUCUCCCGGUGCAUGAUCGCAAAGACGAACGGUUCCGUAGACGUGCUCUCUCGCACGCCGAUGCAGGCCGGCAUUCGAGAUGAGGUAGAUUACAACGGCAUCGCAAGUUGUGAGAUGAAGCAAAACCCUAGGUGUUUUUGGUGUGUCUUUGGCCGACCACGGUAAGCAAUAUAUAUAGGAGGACCAAAGUCGAUACCGUGUCGCGAUCAUGAUCUCAAACCGACUUGGUUUCCAAGUCGUAUACUUAUUGGACAAGAAAUUCUCAACUUGUUUGUCAAGACAUAAAAAUAAAACGGCAAAAGGAAGACGUGCCCCCGCAAGGCAACGAACCGGAAUUUGGUGGACCAUUCACGCGCAGGUCGCAUGUACAUCUGGCCCAGAACGGUGAGCAAGCGCACGCGUGUGGUCUUCUCCUUUCUCUUUGCAACACACACUUAAAAUGAUGGGGAGAACUCACUAUAUAAAGAGGUCCAACUCUUCCUCAACUAGCGGUAUGAGACUAAACUUUAACACCACCACACCACCACUUGCCAAUUUACUCAUGGGAUCAUUCGAGAUUUCAGAAUUUUGUAGUUGGGCCAAGCCCAUUGAUUCUAACACAUCAAUCCCCCCCUCCCCCACCAAUAGGCACAUUUCUUCUCAAUUUUGGUUUCAUAAGGUUUCCAAUCAGGAUUUCACAAUCUGGCUUUAUUAAUAGGCAUCCCCAAGUAUUUAAUGGCUACUUUGCCCAAUUGGCAAGUGAAAUCUGCCUAGACUCCAUUUCUUUCCCAAUUGCCUACCCAAAAAGAAAUAAUUCACUUUUGUGGAAACUGAUUUUCAACCCAGACAUUUGCUCAAAGGAAUAUUUUUUUUUCAAAUCUCUAGCACUUCUCUACAUCAUCAAGUAUCAGGAAGAUAAUAUCAUCUGCAUAUUAUAACAAGUUUAUUCCAUUGUCACUAUAUCCGUCUAGCAGUCCUUUAACAAAUCCUGUUUUCUCUUAGUAUUCAUGAUAAUAGCGAGUGCAUCCACUGUCGAAUCUGGCUUCUUCUUCACAACGGAGUCAAUCAAAGAAAUCUUUUAAAAAAGAAAUCCAUGUAAGAGUGUUAUAACUAUGUUUUCGGCAAUGAAAAUGUUAGGAAACGACAUUGUUGCAUCUUUUAUUAAUAUAUAAAAUACCAUAGAACAAAUUGUUCUAUGGUUGUUGGCCUAAAAAACCCUUAUACAUGGCAAUGUUUUACAAUUACAAAACUAGUGUACAUGCCCCAACGCGCUUAAAAAACAUCAGUCUUCCGGAUUUUAUCUUCCGAUCCAUUAGGUUCAUUGGCCAGCAAGCAAGAGAUUAUUCUCGCAUCAUAAUUACCUGUUUUCGCCUUCUCUCUCUCUCUCUCUUUUUUUUGCAGGGGAGCAUUCGCCUUCUCACAAAGUCAUAAGACUCCGGCCGUAACGCGUCGUUGUUCAGAACAUGGUGCACGAGGGAAAAAAACUGCUUGAAAUGCAUUUUCAUUUGAUCUUGUCGAAAGAGACACCGUUCGAAUUUUCCGUGGUGAGCAAAGCACACCAUCUGACGUGCCAUACAUCGGGAAGACGAAGACACUGCGAGAAGAAUACAAAAUACGGCAGUCACAUCUCAACUAUUUACAGUGAACGUCGCCAAAAACACUUCUGUCGCCUUGCCAAAUGGAGAGGUAAUAUCAUGCACGACUCCAGACGCCAAAGCAUCCUAAUCUUCAUAGGGCUGCCAGGUCAUGCGGACAGGAUAAUGCCUUUGUCGACGUGAAAACAGAGUAAAACAUUGACCUCUAUAAUCAAGGUGAAAUUGUUGGUCAUCUUUUUGUUCUCCUGCCCGCCUGCCAUCGUACUUUGGCCAGGGGCGAACCCACUUUUAUUUGACUGGGGGCCAUGGCCCCUACUCAAGUUUUUUAAAUCCUGUAGGAUUUAGUUAUAUUUUUAGAAAAUAAAUACCAAAACUCUAUAAAUUUAUACAAAAUAUCAAAAUAUGCCCCAUUCAAGUAUUUUGCCCCCGGUCAAAAAUGUUUCUAGGUCCGCCCCUGACUUGGCCGUACCAUUUUUUUUACUUUUAACUUAGGACCAUAAUAAGUAUCAUAUGUGUGGCAUGAAGCAAUUUUUUCCUGAAUUUUUUUAUGACAAAUUUAGUUAUUCAAGAAUGACAAUUUUAUUGUAAAGCAUGAUGAUUUUCUGUUUGAAUGACAACUUUCAGUUUAUUUUAUUUUUAUUUUUAUUUCUCAGAUGGUAAUUUCAGUUAUAAAAACGUCAUAGUGAUAUUGCUUCAUGUCACACGUGUGACACUUAUUAUUUGAGUUAACUUAUCUCCACGUACUAGUACAGCUAAUUUGUUUGAAAACUGAUUGGGCGAGUUUAAUCUUAAAGUUAACCAACAUUUUUUUUAGAAAAUGAGGAUAUACCCCCGGCCUCUGCAUCUAGACGAUGCAUACAACCAUUUUAUUAAUUAUUCACAGAGACCAUACAAAGUAAUACAUCAGUUAGCCUGAAGCCACCAUCUAGGCAACACAUGUUGCUACUCCUAUUCCUUGAUGAAGGUGUGCUAAAUAUCUGGGCCAAAUACCAAAGAGAUAUCGCACCAAAUCCUAACAUCUAUAGUCUGAUGCUCAAGCCCAGCCACCACUGAGACUGGAUCCCAAACUGGCCGGCGCAGAGGCCGCCUCCACCAUCUAUCACCGUGCCCUCUCCAGAGCUAGAACAAACACAUCAUCCUUGCGAGGUCUGCCGUCGACGCCACCACGGUGCCAGACAGCGCCACCAUCCUGCACAUAUCCGCCUACACGUGCCUGUCGACGAACCACCGCAGCGCCAUGCCGUCGGGCUACACCGUAGGGCUCACGGUAGAUCAAACACCGCUCCUCCUCUUGUCCCGUCCACCCAGCACGUGCUCCAAAACGAUGCCCUCAGGAGAGAAACGACAUCGAAGAUGACAUCAUCGUCCGACCGGUAGAUCCAGAUCUAAGGUUUCCCUCGGAGCAUCACGAGUGUGGUGCCACGACCAGCAACAACGAUGCCAUGGGCUGGUAACGACGUCCUAGACGCCGCCAUCGUCCGCCAUGACCGAGGUCGGCGCGGUUUUCACCGAAAGUCGCGACCCCCGAUCUCGUGGCUGGAUGGAACUGAGGGAGGCACGUCAUGUAGACGAAGACCGCCGUCGGCAUGCCGGCAGGGGCCUCCAGCCGCCCCACACCGAUCCUCCUCGCGCCACGGGCCGAAGAAGUCCAAGCCGUGACGGAUCUGGGCAUGAUACGCCAGAUCCGCAGCCCUCGAUGACCGCCCUUGCGCGCAGCCGCUGCCCUCGCCGGAUGGAGCGCCUCACCGCCGCCAUCCAACCCGACCACGGCAUAUGUGGGUGAGAGUUUGUGAUGGGCUCUCGAUCUUAUGAGAUUGUCCGAACGACUCUGUUUCCAACAAAGUUUAAAUACUAAAAAAAUGCAGAUCAUUUUUUUAAGGCUAAAGCAUGGUUCUGUACGUGGUGCUUCACCACGCGAAGAUACAAGAGCUUAUGAAUAAUAGAUGCCAUAGAUGGAAAACGGUCUCAUGUAUGUUCAUAUUUAUUUCUAAAUGUAUUUUAAUAUUUUUUGGUGAUGCAUGUUCAGUAUUUUCUCUGUAAAGUAAUAUAAAAAUAUUUAGAUAACUAAAAUAAUAAUUUAAAUGCUUUUAUAUUAAUUUAUGGAGGGAGUAGAAAGAGAUGCACCCGUCGUACAUCAAGCGUUUUGAUGACUUCAUCAAUCUCAACUCGAUAUGUGACUUAAUUUUUUAAAAAUGUAUACAAGGAUAGGAUGUAUACAUAUGUGUGUUUAUAUGAUUAAGUAUAUAUGCAUAUGUAUAAGCAUGUGAGCGUUUGUAGUAGGUUAAAAAAAUCACGACCCAGCAUCAAAGAUUGCAUAUUAUUGUUGAGAAACAAAAACGCAAAUGAUGGAUUGUGUGGAGCCGAAAGCGCACAGCUGGACCCCAUGGCGUAGCGGCAACAACCGGCGAAGCACAUCAUCCAGCGCGGUGACACCGACGGCAAACCUCUCCACGAACAGUAGACACCGAAAUUAGACUGCAAUUAUGCUGUUUUGCUGUUUCCCAAUAGCCGGAGAACCGGAACACCAUGAGGCUUUUGCAACCACAAAUUAUUGUUUAUACUGAAACAAGAUACGCUUGACAGGUGACAGCCACUUGUAGCACCACCAUACCCCGAGACCCAGAAUUCGGGUUUUUUCACUCUUCUGACUCACUAACAAUAAAAAAUCACAUAACAAACUCGCCUCAAAAACAAUUUGACCCUUUUUAAAAACGUUAUAUACGGUGGCGUUGCAGGUAAACGAUGAAACGCCAGUCCAAUGUGGCGUUUGUGGCUUUGUGUCCAACGCGAGUCCACUGUGGCGUUGCUGGCCAUGUGUGCAACGCGAGGCAUAUUGAUGUUUCUAGCACUCAUAUCUGCCUAGCCCGACCCCGUCGCCCACCAACCACCUAUUCUUCUCUUCUUUCUUUCGACCUUUCGCGAAAAAUCUCUCCCUCCUCCUCCAGACCCCCCCCCUUCGAUCUUCGUCCUCCCUCAACCGUUUUGUUGGUUUUUGGGGCAAAUCAAAGAUGCCGGUAAGCUCUUCCAAUCUCUCCAAUUAGUUUUUGCAAUGCCUUUGUAUUUGUGUAUCUUUUUUUCCACUAGGUGUAACGUAUGUUUUGAAGUAAAAUCUAUUUUGUGAUGAUUAAUGCAUAGGUUUUUGGCAAUAGGUGUAGUUUACGGUGGCUCUAGGUAUAACCUAGGUUUUGUCCAUAUUAUUCGCACUAGGUUUAUGCCUAGGUUUAGUUCAUAUUGUUGGCACUAGAUGAAUGCCUAGGUUUAGUUCAUAUUAGUGGCACUAGGUGAAUGCCUAUAUUUAGUUCAUAUUAUUGACACUAGGUGAAUGUGUAGCUUUUUUGGCACUAGGUGUAGUGUGUUUGUUUUUCACACUAGGUUAAUGCCUAAAAGAAUUUUGUUCAUAUUAUGUAGGAUGUUUUAGUCGGAUAAAUAUCCGGGCCUUGAUGAGUUCUACGAGCAGAAGCAUCGUGCGGUGCUAGUGGAAAGAGGAGAGGUAAUUAUGAUGGCCUUGAUGAUUAUUUUUCUAUAUUCCAUGAUUUUCAUAUUGUGACAAGUUGAGACAACUAACGAAUUAUGCGUUUGUUGGUUUAGGUUCCUCCACUACUUCGUUUGAGGGGGCACAACCCGAAUGAAUCUCUCUUAUAUGACCCUCGGUACGAGCCUUAUUUUAGAAGAAUGGAUCUUCUUCAGUUUGUGCUCAACUUUAAAGGCACACCACCAUGGUUGAACGCCACGACCCUUACCGCCCUUACGGACCGUUGGAGGCCGGAGACGCACUCUUUUCACCUUCCUCUUGGUGAGAUGACCAUAACUCUGGAGGAUAUUGCUAUGAUCACCGGACUUCCGAUCGAGGGCAGGGCUCUUACACGGAAGGUUAUGUCCGAUGGGUGGCGACAACGGGUUGCAGCAUUGGUUGGUGUUGAACCCGAGCCAUGGAUUCAUGAAACCAGGAAGGAUCCUAGGCCAUCUGGUGUGUUGUUCUCUUGGAUACAGAGACAUUUUCGCAAGUGCCCAAGGGAUGCUAGUCCGACUGUUGUGGAGAGGUUCGCCAGGGCUUACCUCUGGAAUCUUUUGACCCAAGUGGUGUUUCCGGAUGGCACGGGGGACACAGCCUCAUGGAUGUUUUUGGAUCCUCUUCGUGACUGGGAUGUUAAGUGGAGUUGGGGUUCGGUGGCACUAACCUUCUUGUACCGUCAGGUAUGGCUUAAUAUCAUGCAUUUUCGUUUUAUUCAAUGGGUAUAUGAUGCAUUUUCGUUAUAUUGAAUGGGUAUAUGUUGCAUUUUCAUUUUAUUAAAUCUGUAGUUGGAUGGAGCAUGUAUGAGGAGCAAGCCGACGUCCACUCUUGGAGGUUUUGUUUGGGCCCUACAAGUUUGGAUGUGGGAGCGUAUCCCUGUUGGUCGUAACCUCAGCCUUCCUCCGGAAGAACCUUGGAUGUACCCUUUUGACGGAGAUGAGUUGCGGCACCCCACUAUCGCACACACAUGGGCUAAUGUCCAAUGGACGAGUAUCGCAGCUAUGGGGCGGUAUAAGGCAUACAUAAGCGAGCUAGACAUGCUCACUUAUGAACAAGUAAAUGCUUUCACAAAUUUUCUGGAAAAUUUUCAUGGAUGGUCGAGUGACUUGUUGUUAUGUAGGUGAAUUGGAGGCCGUACACGGUACUUAGGUAGUUCCCUCUUAGCAACAUGUGCCUUCGUGACCAACAUCUUUGGCGUGUCGGCUACGUCAUCCUCCAUCCUUGCGUUAUACUCCUCUUCCUUCUUCUUCCGCGCUUCGGCUGCGUCCUCCUCUCUCAACUUCUUUGCAUCCCUCUCCCUCAACCCCUGGUCCUCACCGGAUGCAUCCUUCUCCUCCCCCACUCCGUUGUUGCCUUGUUGGGUUGAGACGCCGCCAUACCUACAUAAAAACAUCAAGGCUCGGAGUUAGUACAAUAACAUGAUAAAGAUAAGUGAAAUAUGUGACAACAAAAAAUGCACAACAUGACAAAAAUAAUGAAAUAUAUCAAACUUACGGAAAUGGUCCUUAUAGGUAUCCGAACAUUCCUCUACCACCACCCGAACCUCUACCCAUAAAACCUCCUCUACGACCAGCACUACCACGAGCACUUGAACGGCCACGUCUACUAUCGUCGGAUCCUCGGCCCACAACACGGCCACCACUUGAACCACCACGUCUACCAUCACCGGAUCCUCGGCCCACAUCAAGGCCACCACUUGAACCACCACGUCUACCACCGCCGGAUCCUCGGCCCACAGCAAGGUCACCAGUGGAACCACCUUCACCACCAACACUUGAACCACCUCUGCCACCCACAUCACUAGUAGAUGCAUUGUGACCUUUUGAAGUUUUGUUUGUUUUGCAAGUCCUCUUAUUAUGUCUUGUUUCAUUGCAAUCACCGCAUUGGUUCCUAUCACGUGGCUCCAUGAAAUGUCCACUACCAAACUCUCUCGUGCUCAUGAGGUCGUCCAUAUCAUUCCUAUAUCGUUUUGUUCUCCUUCUACCCUUCGGUUGAACCAUCAUCUCUGGAUCUGGCCUAAUAUUAGGGCUGUGAUACUAUGGCCACUGUGAUGGGUCAAGAAAAGGGUGGAAUCUCCAAGCCCAUGUUAACUUAUGAGUUUGCAAGUUGAAUUCAUGCAACCUCACAACUACACCAUCAGAGAAGGGAAAAUUCCUCAUGCGACAUGUCGUCAUCAUGUGCGAGCAUGUCCAGUGGUACUUAGUAGGCCGGUCACAAGUGAAAUGCCACGUCCGAAGGGAUACCGUAAAUGAGCGACCACCAUAUGAUUGCCCAUCUCUCGUUGUACCGCUUGGCUCAUCCACUUGGUAUUUCAUUUUAGCAUUACCGAAACAAGUGGCUCGCUGCAUGGCUGACUUCUCUUUUUGAAACUCUAGCCACUCGGCAACCUUCUUCGGAUAGAUCUCAUUAGGAGGCUUCUCACUCUCACCAAUCAACUUGUCGAUUUAUUCGGAGUGCUUCAGAAAAUACUCAUUGAGCUUGUAAAAGGUAUAUUCAGCUAUUGCCGUCACCGGCAACUGAUGUGCCCCCUUCAAGACAAAGUUGAAGCACUCAACAAGAUUGCUUGUCAUAUCGCCAUAUCUCAUGCCUCCUUCUUCACAUGCCCGUGACCACUUAUGUUUCUCAUCUAUAUUCAUUUCUAGGAAUUCGCCCUANNNNNNNNNNNNNNNNNNNNNNNNNNNNNNNNNNNNNNNNNNNNNNNNNNNNNNNNNNNNNNNNNNNNNNNNNNNNNNNNNNNNNNNNNNNNNNNNNNNNAGGAUCAUUCUAUGGACAGGAGCAAGCAUCUCGGAGUUGGAAUAUACGCUUUGAUGAGAUGAUCAAAGUUUUUGGUUUUAUACAAAGUUUAUGAGAAACUUGUAUUUCCAAAGAAGUGAGUGGGAGCGUUAUAGAAUUUUUGAUUAGAAUAUGUGAUUGAUAUAUUGUUGAUCGGAAAUAAUGUAGAAUUUAUGGAAAUCAUAAAGGGUUGUUUUAAUGGGGUUUUCAAAGGAAAACCUGGAUUGAGCUACUUGAACAUUGAGCACCAAGAUCUAUGGAGAUAGAUCAAGACGCUUGAUAAAACUUUCAAAUGAAUACAUACCGUAACAAGAUUUUUGAAGGAGUUCAAAAUGGACCAGGUAAAGAAGGAGUUGUUGACUGUAUUGUAAGGUGUGAUUUCGAGUAAGACUGAAAAGACCGACCACAACAUAAGAAAUAUAAAGGACGAAGCUCGUCCCCUGUGCCUUAGCCGCACUCUCUAAAGUAUGCCACGUUGUGUACCACACCUGAUGUGUGGCUUGCCAUGAGUCUGUCAAGGGGUACAAAGAGUGAUCCAGGAUUGAAUCACUGAACAAGGGUCAAAGUUAUCCUUAGUAACUAGUGGACUAAGGAAUUUUUUAUCGAUUAUGGAGGUGAUUAAAGAGUUCAUCGUAAAGGGUUGCGUCAAUGCAAGCUCCGACACUAAUUCGGAUAACUCUGAGUAGCAAACCGGAUUCGUAUGGUGGAGCAGUCAUUUGGAAUAGUUCCAAAUGGAGCGUGGUAGCAGCAUCUAUUGGGACAUAGAGAUUUGUAAAGCACUCACGGAUGUGAAAGAUUUAGACCCGUCGACUAAAAAGCUCUCUCACAAGCAAGAUAUGAUCAAACCCCAUAACUGUAUGGGUGUUAGAUUCAUUACAAUCACAUAGUGAGGUGAACUAGAUUAUUGAGUCUAGUGCAAGUGGGAGACUAUUGGAAAUAUGCCCUAGAGGUAAUAAUAAAUUGGUCAUUAUUAUAUUGUCUGGACACAUAGACAACACACUGUCCCUAGUGAGCCUCUAGUUGACUAACUCAUUGCUCAAAGAUGGUCAAGGUUUCCUGGCCAUAGACAACUGUUGUAACUUUAUAACGGGAUCACAUCAUUAGGAGAAUGAUGUGAUGGACAAGACCCAAACUAUGAACGUAGCAUAUGAUCGUGUUAGUUUAUUGCUAUUGUUUUUUGCAUGUCAAUGUAUCUGUUCCUAUGACCAUGAGAUCAUGCAACUCCCGCACACCGGAGGAAUACCUUGUGUGUAUCAAAUGAAGCAACGUUACUGGGUGACUAUAAAGGUGCUCUACAGGUAUCUCCGAAGGUGUUUGUUGGGUUGUCAUGGAUCAAGACUGGGAUUUGUCACUCCAUGUAACGAAGAGGUAUCUCGGGGCCCACUCGGUAAUAAAACAUCACAACAAGCCUUGCAAGCAAUGUGACUAAGGAGUUAGUCACGAGAUCUUGUAUUACGGAAUGAGUAAAGAGACUUGCCGGUAACGAGAUUGAACUAGGUAUAGAGAUACCGAUGAUCGAAUCUUUGGCAAGUAACAUACCGAAGGACAAAGGGAACAACAUACGAGAUUAACUCAAUCCUUGACAUAGAGGUUCAAUCGAUAGAGAUCUUCGUAGAAUAUGUAGGAGCCAAUAUGGGCAUCCAGGCCUCGCUAUUGGUUAUUGACCGGGGAAUGUCUCAGGUCAUGUGUGCAUAGUUCUCGAACCCACAGGGUGUGCACACUUAAGGUUCGGUGACGUUUCGGUAUAGUUGAGUUAUGGUUGUUGGUUACUGAAGGUUGUUCGAAGUCCUAGAUGAGAUCCUGGACAUCACGAGGAGCUCCAGAAUGGUCUGGGGGGGGGGGGUAAAUAUUGAUAUAUAGGAAGUCCUGCUUUGGUCACCGGAAAAGUUUCGGGCUCAUCGGUAGUGUGCCGGGAGUGCCGGGAGGGUGCCGGGGGACCACCAGCAGGGGUGUGACGACCUAAGAGCCUUAUGGGUUGUGAGAGGAGGUAGACCAGCCCUUGGUGGGCUGGCUGAAGCCUCUCUCAAAAGCCCAUGCGGCUAGGAGUAGAGACAAAAGGCAAAAGUCAUUUAAAAGGAAAGGAAGGAGGAGUCCUCCCAAAGUAGACCACCUCGCUUGUGGGAAGGUGGACUCUUCCUUUAGGGUUCGGCCGACCCCUUCUCCUUGGAGUAGGGGCCAAGACUGCCUCCUCUCCCCCCUACUAUAUUUGCUAGAGGUAUUGAGGGGUUUUGGACAACAUAGAAAUCAACCACGGCUGCCUCUCUCUCUAGAUCUGUUUCUCCUUUAGUCUAGAAUGACAGUGCUUAGGCGAAGCCCUGCUGGAUUAGUUCACGACCACCACCACCAUGCCACCAUGCUGGAGAACUCAUCUACCUCUCCGCCCCCUCUUGCUGGUUCAAGAAGGCGGGGAUCGUGAUCGAGUUGUACGUGUGUUGAACAUGGAGGUGCUGUCCGUUCGGCACUAGAUCGGGAUGGAUCGUGGUGGGAUCACGGGACGGGUUGUGAUGAGAUCGUGUGACGGGCUGAGAUUUGGAUAGCGAAGAUGUUCCACUACAUCAACCGCGUUAUAUACGCUUCCGUUUAGCAAUCUAAAAGGGUAUGUAGAUUCACUCUCCCCUCUCGUAGAUGAUCAUCACCAUGGAUAGGUAUUGCGUGUACGUAGGAAUUUUUUUGUUUCCCAUGCAAUGUUCCCAACAGUUGGAGGCCCGUCCGGUUGCCUGCUGGAGACCUGUUUGGCUGUCGGCCCCCGGCUAUCCGGUUGUCGGCUACCGGUUGGGACCCGUCCAACUAGAACGCGUCUGGCUCGAGACCUAUCCGGGUGGAGCUGAGUGAAGUCAACUGCAAGGUCCCAUCAGACACGACGCAAGGAUGCUACAGCAUGCAUCACUGCGCCCCAGCAGUCCAGUCUGCAUCACUGCGCACCCGUCACCUCCAAUAGUGAAGUUAGUCCAUGCGCCCCCACACCCAUCAUGUCCAAUAGUAAAGUUAGGCCACGUGGGCCACCCUUUCUCCCCUAGGCACCCCUUUAAAAGGUGAUCCAAGGAGCCAGCCCAAGGACAGACACACACGAUGGGGAGGAGUCUCCAUGGCUCCCCCAUUCUCUUGUUCCCCACUCUACACGAGAAGAGGAGAGAUCCCAGCCUCCUUCUUCUUCCUCCAGACAGCUCAAGGAACACCAUGUACAACCAUAUACUCUCCAUAUACACCACACAUGCACGAGUAGGGGUGUUACCUCUACAUGAGGGCCCCGAACCUAGGUAAACCACCGCGUGUUGUUGCCCAACCCAUUCCGGAUCUCCACGGGGUCCCUGAUCUCACCUCUCUAAGCCACCACUCGCAUAUGUCGUGCGAAACUACCAGGACAUGUCGGCUGGCGGCCGCUGAACCGUCUGGUCCUCACGCUGCUAGCCGUCUGGCGAUAGCCGACCCGUAUGGCUAGCCCCAACGGCAACUGGCGGGUCAACACUCGUUCCAUCCAUACCAGCGUAUGACGACAAGACCAGACUCCUGAUGCAGAGGUGCUAGUGCUAAUAGUGUGCGCUAACAAGCCCGGCGUGGCCACGGGCGUACCGAUGCGAGGGUGACCGGGCGAGGUGGCCCUAUAGCCAUUCAUAUCCCUACCUACUCAAUGAUGACGGCGUGCUAACCACUAUCGCGCUCGGCCGGCGGGCCCCACGGCGAACAAGACUCGACAACCGACGAGCCUCUCAGCCAGCCGGAGAGAGGCUCACAGCCGGGCCCUGCCCCGGUUCCCCCCCACUACUGUACACUCCUGGCUAGACUAUAAACACAAACCCCAGCCCCUCAAGAGAGGGCUUGCGAACUCUCGGUCCACAGAUCCCCACAUAGCACACCGGAGAGGCAGUGAGGCGGGCACCGACAACUCUGUCUCCUCCCUCGCGAAUAGCUCGAGGAGCACCAUUGUACGGUGAUCACAUAUAGUCAUACCGGUAGGGCUAGGGGUUUUACCUCACUGGAGGGUCCUAAACCUGGGUAGAUCGGCGUCAUGUGUCUCUCGCCUACACCCAUUCCCAAACGAUGUUGGCGCCCAUCGUCCGCAAACCACGAUCUAAGCCAUCCAGUGGCAUCUCCCAUGGAAAUACCAUGAUAGUUGGCGCCCAUCAUGGGGUUGGCAGCAACGCCGGUCGGAGUAAUGUUCCAGGAAGGACCUUUCACCCCUUUUGGCGAGCACGUGGCGCACGACUUGGUUGUCCUCUAUGGCAUGCUCGACUGCAUCAACGACAACGCAUGCCACCUCAAGGACGCGGACGUCCCCGUCGAUGGCUCCAUCGUCUCCUUUGGCUCGCAUUGCAUCUACGUCGCGGUCGUCCCCGACGAGUACCCCGCCGAGGUGCUCAGCUACGAUGAACUGCCGCCGUACGACAAUAGCAACCUCUGCACCGGCGUAGAGGUAUGGACUGCUACCUCGUUAGGCGGUACGUCAGGGCACUGAACCCCGCUUCGCGUCGUAGUGGACACACUGCGCACACCCAUCCCUGUGGUAGCCGACCCUGCGGCCGAAACCGAGGAGCUGGACGGCUGAUGACUGAUACGUCUCUGUCGUAUCUACUUUUUCAACCUCUUUUGCCCUUGUUUUGGACUCUACUUUGCAUGAUUUCAAUGGAACUAACCCAGACUAACGCUGUUUUCAGCAGAAUUGCCAUGGUGUUGUUUUUGCGCAGAAAUAAAAGUUCUCGGAAUGACCUAGAAAUUUAUGAGGAUUUUUUGUGGAAUAUAUAAAAAAUACUGGUGCAAGAAUCAACCGGAGGAGUGGAGCGAGGAGCCCACAAGCACACCGGGAGCGACCCCCCUGGCCGCGCCUAGCAGGCUUGUGGGGCCCUCGGAGCUCCACCGCCUCCAACUCCAGCUCUAUUUAGUCCCUUUCGUCCGGAAAACAAAUCAAGGAGGAGAGUUCAUCGCGUUUUACGAUAUGGAGGCGCCGCCACCACCUGUUAUUCCUCUAGAGGGCCGAUCUGGAGUCCGUUCUGGGCUCCGGAGAGGGGAGAUCGUCGCCAUCAUCAUCACCAACCUUCCUUCAUCGCUAAUUCCAUGAUGCUCUUCACCUUUCGUGAGUAAUCUCAUCGUAGGCUUGUUGGACGGUAAUGGGUUGGAUGAGAUCUAUCAUGUAAUCAAGUUAGUUUUGAUGGGGAUUGAUCCCUAGUAUCCACUAUGUUCUGAGAUUGAUGUUGCUAGUACUUUGCCAUGCUUAAUGCUUGUCACUAGGGCCCGAGUGCCAUGAUUUCAGAUCUGAACCUAUUAUGUUCUCGUCAAUAUAUGUGUGCUCUUGAUCCUAUCUUGCAAGUUGUAGUCACCUACUAUGUGUUAUGACCCGGCAAUCCCGGAGUGACAAUAGCCGAAACCACUCCCGGAGAUGACCAUAGUAUGAGGAGUUCAUGUAUUCACUAAGUGCUAAUGCUUUGUUCCAGUUCUCAAAAGGAGAACCUUAAUAUCCCAUAGUUUCCAUUAGGACCCCGCUGCCACGGGAGGGAUGGACAAUAGAUGUCAUGCAAGUUCUUUUCCCUAAGCACGACUACAUACGGAAUACAUGCCUACAUUACAUUGACGAACUGGAGCUAGUUACAUAUCUCUCCAUGUUAUAACUGUUGCAUGAUGAAUAUCAUCUGGCAUAAUUAUCCAUUACCGAUCCAAUGCCUACGAGUUUUUCCUACUUGUCCUUGUUACGUUACUUUGAUGCUACUGUUACUCUGUCGCUACUACUGUCACUGCUGCUACUGUUACUCUGUCGCUACUCCUGUCACUUCUGCUACUGUUACUCUGUCGCUACUGCUGUCACUGCUGCUACUAUUACUGUUGCUACUGUUGCUAUCCCACCACCUUGAUACUGAUACUUUGCUGCAGAUACUAAGUCUUUCAGAUGUGGUUGAAUUGACAACUCAACUGCCAAUACUCGAGAAUAUUCUUUGGUUUCCCCUUGUGUCGAAUCAACAAAUUUGGGUUGAAUACUCUACCCUCGAAAACUAUUGCGAUCCCCUAUACUUGUGGGUUAUCAAGACUAUUUUCUAGCGCCGUUGCUGGGGAGGCAUAGCUAUAUUCUCUGAGUCACUUGGGAUUUAUGUCUGCUAAUCACUAUGAGGAAUCCGAGAGAUCCAAAAACUAAAGUCUUGCCGUCAACUACGAGGACAUGUAAGGAACUGCCAUCUAGCUCUGCACUUGAUUCACCUUCAGUUAUGAGUAAGUUUGCGACACCACCUCCUGCUAAAAUUUUUGAUGUGUCGUCUGUGCUUGAUGAUGCUACUUCUGCUCUCCAUGAUGCUUGUGAUGAUGUUUUGCUUGGUACUGCUUUGCCACUAGGUGCAUUCCUAGGUGCACAAAUUGCUGGAGUUGCUGCUAGAUGUGAUGAUACUUCUGAAACUGCUGAGAUUAUUGAAGUAGAACCUGCUAUUUCGCCUGUUAGAACUAGCUCUCCUAGAUAUGAAUUGCCUGAUAUGCCUCAGGGUUAUGUUAUGGAGGGAGAGAUAGCUGAGGACUUUCUUGCUUGUAAGGAUAGCUAUGAUCUUCAGAAAUUACCGCGCAAGUGGAAAGAAAAAUCUUUGAACGCUAGGAUGAAAUACGACCCGAAGUUUUCUACUUCGCCUAUCUUUGUGACCGAUAAGGAUUAUGAAUUCUCUGUCGACCCUGAGUUAAUCACUCUUGUCGAAUCUGAUCCUUUUCAUGGUUAUGAGUCUGAAACGGUUGUAGCACAUCUUACUAAGCUGCACGAUAUAGCCACCCUAUUCACGAGUGAGGAAAAGAUCCGUCACUACUAUAUCCUUAAGUUGUUUCCUUUCUCGCUAAAGGAUGAUGCUAAGACUUGGUUCACUUCUCUUGCUCCUGGUUGUGUGUGUAGUCCCUAGGAUAUGAUCUACUACUUCUCUAAGAAAUAUUUCCCUGCCCAUAAGAAGCAAGCUGCCUUGCAGGAAAUUAAUAACUUUGCGCAAGUUGAAGAAGAGAGUCUCCCACAAGCUUGGGGGAGGCUUGUCCAACUACUGAAUGCUUUGCUCCAUCACCCUCUUAAGAAGAAUGAAAUACUUGAUAUAUUCUAUAAUGGACUAACCAAUGCUUCUAAGGACCACCUUGAUAGUUGUGUUGGUUGUGUUUUCAGGGAACAAACUAUAGAACAAGCUGAGAUCCUAUUGAACAAUAUCUUGUGCAAUGAGAAUGCUUGGACUAUUCCCGAACCACCUCCGAAGCCAACUCCAAAGAAAAGAGGUAUUCUAUUCCUCAGUCCUGAAGAUAUGCAAGAAGCUAAGAAAUCUAUGAAAGAGAAAGGCAUUAAAUCCGAAGAUGUCAAAAAUCUACCACCUGUCGAAGAGAUCCAUGGUCUUGAUAACCUGACACAUGUAGUAGAGGUAAAUUCUCUUCACAGAUUAAAUGAGAGUGAUAUUCCUUUUGAUAAACCUGCUAGCUUAUGCGUGGAUGAAUUUGAUAACUUUGUUGCCACACAACGAAGUUUCAAUGAUUAUGUUAGUAGACAAUUGGAACAUAAUGCUCGUAUGCUUAGUCAUUUAAGUGCUUGUGUGGACAGAAACGUCAAUGAUCUUAAGCUUUUGAGUAAACAUGCCUCUAUGCUUACUACUCAAGUAGAACAAGUACUUAAGGCUCAAAAUGACUUGCUCAAUGAGUUGAAUGACAAUUCUGUCAGAGUCGUCACUAGAGGCGGUAGACUGACCCAAGAACCUUUGUAUCCUGAGGGUCAUCCUAAGAGAAUUGAACAAUAUUCUCAAGGCAUUAGCACUGAUGCACCUAGUCAUCCUAGGAAGAAGAAGAAAUAUGAUAGGAACUUGCAUGCUAGCAACCCUGUUGCUGUUACACCCGAGAAUCCAAACGAUGUCUCUGUUUCUCAUGCCGAAACACAAUCUGGUGAUGAACAUGGGCCUAAUUAUAAUAUCGAUAGUGAUGUUCUUGAUGAUGCUCAACCUAGCAAUGAUAACGAUGUGGAGAUUGAACCAGUUGAUCUUGAUAACCCACAACCUAAGAAUAGGAGAUACGAUAAGAACGACUUCACUGCUAGAAAGCAUGGUAAAGAAAGGGAACCAUGGGUUCAGAAACCCAUGCCCUUUCCCCCCAAACCAUCCAAGAAAAAGGAUGAUGAGGAUUUUGAGCGAUUUGUUGAAAUAAUUAGACCUGUCUUUCUGCAAAUGCGUUUGACAGAUAUACUCAAAAUGUCUCCCUAUGCUAAGUACAUGAAGGAUAUUGUUACUAAUAAGAGGAGGAUACCUGAGGUUGAGAUUUCCACCAUGCUCGCUAAUUACACCUUCAAGGGUGAAACUCCUAAGAAACUAGGUGAUCCCGGAGUGCCCAGUAUACCUUGCUGCAUUAAAGGCAACUACGUUAGAACUGCUUUAUGCGACCUUGGAGCCGGUGAUAGUGUUAUGCCUCUCUUUCUUUAUCGUAGACUUGAACUGGAUAAGUUGACACCCACUGAAAUCUCUCUGCAAAUGGCCGACAAAUAAACAUCUUUCCCUAUCGGCAUUUGCGAGGAUGUGCCUGUUGUGGUUGCUAACGUUACUAUCUUAACGGACUUUGUUAUUCUGGACAUUCCCGAGGAUGAUGCCAUGGCAGUCAUCCUUGGAAGACCCAUUUUGAACACUGUAGGGGCUGUUAUUGAUUGCAAUAAAGGCAAUGUCACUUUCCAUGUCAAUGGUAAUGAGCAUACGGUGCACUUUCCAAAGAAAAAAUAUCGGGUACAUUGCAUCAAUGCUAUUGAAAAAACUUCAUCGAUUCUUAUUGGGAGCUUUGAAUGCCCUAUACCUACUUUUAAGAUGAAGUAUGAUUUGCUUGUUGGGGAUAUGCACAUCCCCAUUGAGGUAACCUAGUGACUAUUCUCCGUUUUUACGUGAUUCGAAAAAAGUUUGUCAAGGAGACUUGAUCAACUUCAUUGACGGAUUUCUUUUGAUGACCAUGAGAUGGAUGAAUCUAAGAGCCAUAACCCUCUGUUUCAAACCUUUACCUUCGGUAGCUUAGAAGAAAAAUGAUAGAUUUAGCUUUAGUGUCUCCUGUUUUCUGUUUUUUGUGUCCUGUAGAAAAGUGUCCGAAAAUAAAAUUUCUCCCAAUGUCGUGAAAAUCAAGUAUGAUUUUUUCUGGAUUUUUUGAAAAAUACUGAGACGGAGAGCUAGUCAGGGGGAUGCACCAGUGGGCCACAAGCCCAGGAGGCGUAGGCACCCCCUGGUCGCGCCUACCAGGCUUGUGGGGCCCACGUGUCCCCCCUCCACUUAUUCCAGCUCCCAUCUCCUUCUCCUACCUCGAGAAAAAUUCAUUCUACAGCUCAAACCCGUGUUCUUGCUCUUCUUGCUGCGAUUUUCAAUCUCCUUGUGCAAAGCCCCAUUCACGAAACUGUUUUGGGGGAAAUUGCUCCUUGGUAUGUGACUUCUUCAUUGGUCCAUUAGUUUUUGCUCUAGUGUCUUAUUCGUUGCGUAUUUUUGCUGCCUUGGUGACCCUGUUCUUGAGCUUUGCAUGCUAAUUUUAGCUGGUCCCAAGUAAUUUUGAUGCGUGAUAUGGCCUCUAGGCACUUGUAGGAGUAGUUGAUACGAGUUUCAUUGGGCCUUGUUCACUUUUCCUUAGAGUCACUAAAAAUUUCAGAAAUUUUCUAAGAAAGAAAAAGGAAAAGAUGAGGAGGUUCCUAAGAGGCUCUUCAAGCCGUGACCCCAAGGAUGAAGAAAAUGAGAAGAAGAAACCCAAGUUCGAGCGUGCGAGUGGCCAAGAGAUGUGUUCUUAUGCGCCACCGGACUUUAUGAGGACUUUUACUACUUGGUGGAGAACGCAGGCCUUACCGCCUUCGUUGAAGAUAAGUGUCCGCAAUAUUUUCGUGCAAAGCUUUAAUUUCUAUACAAGGAAGAGUCCUCCUAUGGUUGAGUUCAAGUUAUAUGAUAUCCCCCGGCGCAUGCCACUUCAAGAUUUUUGCAAUGUUUGCAAAUUACCUUAUGUUGGGGAUAUUCAUGAACCUCGUCCACGGGACUUGGAGGCUUUCAUAGAUACUAUUGUUGUAGGAGAGGAGAGAGGAGAGUCUUGCGCUAGAGCUGCUAGCAUACAUUUUCCCGUGCUUCGGUACUUCUCAUUAUUCGUGGGAAAAUGUUUGAUUGGCCGUGGGAAAGCUGGGGCCCUUAGCUCCCCAGAUCUUGGGGUUUUGCGCGAAGCCCUUUAUAAUGAUAAAACUUAUAGCUUGGAUGCUAUAGUAGCUCAACGGUUGAACACGAACCGUUCCAAAGGCGUUGUUUAUGAAGGUAUCUAUGCUACCCGUCUUGCUAGACAUUUUGAGAUACCUAUAAGACUGCACGAGGAAGAAGAGAUUCUUCUUCCUCAGAGAUAUCUAGAUUAUGAUAGCAUGGUUCGCCAUGACCUUCUUGAUAAAGAUAUAAGUAAGAGGAUGAUUUAUAACCUGGUAUUUAGUCAGGGUACUCGUGAGACUAUUACUUUGCCUGCUCCUUCUUUCUUCAAUCUUCAUCUAGGCAGGUACAUUAUUAUGCCCUCGGACAUCUACGCAUAUUGGGGCAUAGCACCACCACAGGCGCCCGUGCCCGAGCUACCAGUCGAGUACGAGACGCCAAUUUAUCAGUGGGAGCCAGAGGAGCUCACACAGCAGUGGCACCCUCAGUACACUCCGGAGUACCCCAGAGACGGUUAUUUCCCUCCUUGGGAGUAUACCAAAUUAGGCCAAAAGCCUAAGCUUGGGGGAGUACGUGUUUCUCACCGACUUUAUAUUCUUGUUCACACAUUCACUUUGUUAGUCGGUGUUUACACUUUGCCACUGUAUCAUCCAUGCUAGUUUAUUUCUUUUUCUUGCUUUCUUCUCGUGUGUUUGUCUAGUUUGAGAAAACCCAAAAAGAUUUCUCGUUCUUCUUUUGCUUGUUGGGAGUUUUCCCGUGUAAAUAGUUUUCUUUUUCUUUGGGUCAAGGUAGAAGACCAUGGUUACAAUGUUUAGUGGCUCUCACAUGCAUAUCUGUUUAUCUGUUGAAGAGCCAUAUUACUUUGUCUUCUCCUUUGUGUUUGCUUGCAGAUUCUAGCUUAGUCCAAUGCACGAGUACUCUUAUUAUUGUUUACAUCAUUCGGUCGUGCAAGUGAAAGGAGAUAAUGAUGAUAUAUGAUGAAGUGACUGAGCCUGGAAAAGCUGGUAUGAACUCGAUCUAUUUUGUUUUUGUAAAUAUGACUAGCUCAUCAUUCCUGAUUCAACUUUCUUGUGAGAGAAACAUGUUUGCAAUGACAACUUAGAGAUCAUAGUUUCUCAUGCCAUGCUUAAUUAGCUAGGAUCUUAUAAUGGUUUGUCUUGGAUCCCACCAUGAAUUUGAGAUGAUUAUGAUGUAGUAUGAUAGGAUGGUAUCCUCCUUUGAAUGAUUCAAGUGGCUUGACUUGGCGCAUGUUUACUCAUGUAGUUGAAACAAAAUCAAGAUAGCCUCUAUGAUAUUCAUGUUCACGGUGAUUUAUGUCCUACUCAUGCUUGAACUCCAUGUUGGUUAAUCUCAAUGCAUUUUGAUGACUGUUGUCGCUCUCUAGUUGGUCGCUUCCCAGUCUUUUGCUAGCCUUCACUUCUACUAAGCAGGAAUACUGCUUGUGCAUCCACUUCCAUAAACCCAAAGUUGUUCCAUAUGACUCCACCAUACCUACCUAUAUGCGGUAUCUACCUGCUCUUCCAAGUAAAUUUGCAUGUGCCACUCUCUAAACCUUCAAGAAAUAAUCUAUUUUGCAUGCCCGAACCACUCAUGUGGUGACAGGGGGCGAUCAGUAUCUUCCAUGCUAGGCGUGUUAUCCCCGAUAUGUGUUUAUUCACUAUCAUUCAUGAGCAAGGGGUCGGUAAUUGGAACGCCCAAUUCCAUGCUCAAAUCGAAAAUAUAAUUGCAAACAAAACUCCCCCUGGAUUGUUGUUGGUAUGGACGGCACCCGAGUAUUCGGCUAGUCAUGGAGUGAGAUUGAUCGGUGGUGGGGGAGUCAACACUUUACUUUUCUGUUUGGGAACCGCCUAUAAUAUGUGUAGCAUGGAAGAUGGUGAAAACUCUUGGUCAUCGCGUUGACACUGAAAGCAUGCCACGCAAAAUUAUUUAUCUCUGUUUUAAAAGCUUGAGCUCUAGUACCUCUGCAAAUCAAUGCUUUCCUCUGUGAAGGACUUGUCUAUUUAUGUUUCUGUUGAGUCAUCCUCUUCUUAUAAAAGCACCAAUUAGAGAUUACCUCUGUCAUUUCUAUAAUUUGCUUUUAAUUGAUAUUGAGUAUGAUUGUGACUGGUUCUUCUUUGCCAUGAAUUACAAUGUUCAGUCAGCCCUUGGUCUUUGAAGGUGCUCUGCAUUUAUGUUUUGCGGUCUGAGAAAUAGCUAGCGAGAUACCAUCUGUUCAUAUUGCUUCAUGAUUGUUUUGAUUGAAGUGUUGACAUUUGAAACUCAUUAGUAUUGCUCGCUACUUGAUUAUGCCGUUGAUAUGAGUUCCUCUUGAGACCUAAAUGUCGUUGCUUAUGUGGUUAGCUUAUGAUCUUGCUGAAAAUCUGAAUAUGAGUUAGACAUAAUUGCAACAACAAGAUUAAACAGAGUUCGUAAAAGUUUUUCUUUUGUCUGUUUCAGUUUGUCAACUAAAUUUCUUGAGGACAAGCAAGGUUUUAAGCUUGGAGGAGUUGAUACAUCUCCGUCGUAUAUACUUUUCCAAACUCUUUUGCCCUUGUUUUGGACUCUAAUUCGCAUGAUUUGAAUGGAACUAACCCGGACUAACACUGUUUUCAGCAGAAUUGCCAUGGUGUUGUUUUUGCGCAGAAAUAAAAGUUCUCGGAAUGACCUGGAAAUUUACGAGGAUUUUUUGUGGAAUAUAUAAAAAAAUCCUCGUAAGUUUCCAGGUCAUUCCAAGAAAUUUUAUUUCUGCACAAAAACAACCAUGGCAGUUCUGCUGAAAACAGCGUCACUCCGGGUUAGUUUCAUUCAAUUCAUGCAAAUUAGAGUCCAAAACAAGGGCAAAAGAGUUUGGAAAAGUAGAUACGUUGGAGACGUAUCAACUCCCCCAAGCUUAAAUCCUUGCUUGUCCUCAAGCAAUUCAGUUGAUAAACUGAAAGAGACAAAAGAAAAACUUUUACGAACUCUGUUUGAUCUUGUUGUUGUAAUUAUGUCUAACUCAUAUUCAGACUUUCAGCAAGAUCAUAAGCUAACCACAUAAGCAAUGACAUUUAGGUCUCAUGGUAUACUCAUAUCAAUGGCGUAAUUAACUAGCAAGCAAUAAUAAUGACUUUCAAACAUCAACACUUCAAACAAAAUAAUCAUGAUACAAUAUGAAAAAUGGUAUCUCGCUAGCCCUUUCUCAGACCGCAAAACAUAAAUGCAGAGCACCUUCAAAGACCAAAGGCAGACUGGAAAUUGUAAUUCAUGGCAAAGAAGAUCCAGUCAUAGUCAUACUCAAUAUCAAUUAAUAGCAAAGCAUAUAAAUGAUGGAGGUGCUCUCUAACUUGUGCUUUUUAAUAAGAAGAGGACGACUCAACAGAAACGUAAAUAGAUAUGCCCUUCGCAGAGGGAAUCAUUAAUUUGGAGAGGUGCUAGAGCUCAAGCUUUUUUUAAACAGAGAUAAAUAAUUUUGGGUGGCAUGCUUUCAUUAUCAACGCGAUGACCAAGAGUUUCCACCAUCUUCCAUGCUACACAUAUUAUAGGCGGUUCCCAAACAGAAUAGUAAAGUUGUGACUCCCCCACCACCGAUCAAUCACACUCCACGACUAGCCGAAUCCUCGGGCGCCAUCCAUACCAACAACAAUCCAAGGGGAGUGUUGUUUGCAAUUAUAUUUUUGAUCUGAUUUGAGCAUGGAACUGGGUAUUCCGAUUACCGACCCCUUUCUCGUGAGUGAUAGUGAAUAAACACGUAUCGAGGAUAACACGCCUAGCAUGGAAGAUACUGACCGCCCCUUGUCACCACAUGAGCGAUUCAGGCAUACAAAACAGAUUAUUAUUUGAAGAUUUAGAGAGUGGCACAUGCAAAUUUACUUGGAACGACAAGUAGAUACCACAUAUAGGUAGGUAUGGUGGACUCAUACGGAACAACUUUGGGUUUAUGGAAGUGGAUGCACAAGCAGUAUUCCCUCUUAGUACAAGUGAAGGCUAGCAAAAGACUGGGAAGCGACCAACUAGAGAGCGACAACAGUCAUCAGUAUGCAUUGAAAUUAACCAAUGUUGAGUGCAAGCAUGAGUACGAUAUAAAUCACCAUAAACAUGAAUAUUUUCGAGGAUAUGUUGAUUUUGUUUCAACUACAUGCGUGAACAUGUGCCAAGUCAAGCCACUUGAAUCAUUCAAAGGAGGAUACCAUCCUAUCAUACUACAUCAUAAUCAUCUUGAAAAUCAUCUUGGCAUCCAAGACAAACCAUUAUAAGCUCCUAGCUAAUUAAGCAUGGCAUCAGAAACUAUGAUCUCUAAGUUGUCAUUGCAAACAUGUUUCUCUCAUAACAAUGCUGAAUUAGGAACGAUGAGCUAGUCAUAUUUAUAAUAACAAAAUAGGUCGAGUUCAUACUAGCUUUUGCAGGCUCAGUCACUUCAUCAUAUAUCAUCAUUAUUGCCUUUCACUUGCACGACCGAAUGAUGUGAAUAAUAAUAAGAGUGUUCGUGCAUUGGACUAAGCUGGAAUCUGCAACAAAAUUCAGAGGAGAAUACAAAGUAAUAUGGCUCUUUGACGGAUAAACAAUAAUGCAUAUGAGAGCCACUAAUCAUUUUAAUCAUGGUCAUUGAUACGUCUCAAACGUAUCUAUAAUUUUUGAUGGUUUCACGCUGUUAUCUUGCCAUCUUUGGAUGUUUUAUGUACCUUUUAUAUAUUUUUUGGCACAAACUUAUUAAUUCAGUGUCAAGUGCCAGUUCCUGUUUUUCUGUGUUUUUGACUCUUUUUAGAUCUGAUUUUGGAACGAAGUCCAAACGGAAUAAAAACCCCGAAAUGAUUUUUUCCCGAACGGAAGAAGAUCAGGGGGGCUCGGGGCCAAGCCAGGUGGGCUCUAGGGAGCCCAGAGGCUCCCACUCCGCCACCAGGGGGAGGCGGCGGUGUCAGGGCUUGUGGCCUCCCUGGCCGCCCCGUGACCUAGAUCCUUGGCCUAUAUAUUCCCAAAAAUUCAGCAAAAAAUCAAGGGAGCCUCGAAAAUACUUUUUCGCCGCCGCAAGCUUCUGUUUCCGCGAGAUCUCAUCUGGUGACCCUUCCCGGCGCCCUGCCGGAGGGGACUUUGGAGUUGGAGGGCUUCUUCAUCAUCAUCAUCGCCCCUCCAAUGACUCGUGAGUAGUUCACUUCAGAUCUACGGGUCCGUAGUUAGUAGCUAGAUGGCUUCUUCUCUCUCUUGGAUCUUCAAUACAAAGUUCUCCAUGAUCUUCAUGGAGAUCUAUCCGAUGUAAUCUUCUUUGGCGGUGUGUUUGUUGAGAUCCGAUGAAUUGUGGAUUUGUGAUCAGAUUAUCUAUGAUAUAUAUUUGAGUCUUUGUUGAUUUCUUAUAUGCAUGAUUUGAUAUCCUUGUAAGUCUCUCCGAGUCUUGGGUUUUGUUUGGCCAACUAGAUCUAUGAUUCUUUCAAUGGGAGAAGUGCUUGGUUUUGGGUUCUACCAUGUGGUGACCUUUCCAAGUGACAGUAGGGGCAGCAAGGCAGACAUUAAGUAGUUGCCAUCAUGCGUAAAAAGAUGGGGUUUUCAUCAUUGGUUUGAGAUUAUCCCUCUACAUCAUGCCAUCUUGCUUAAGGCGUUACUCUGUUCUUAUGGACUUAAUACACUAGAUGCAUGCUGGAUAGCGGUCGACGUGUGGAGUAAUUGUAGUAGAUGAAGAAAGUAUCGGUCUACUUGUUUUGGACGUGAUGCCUAUAGAUAUAAUCAUUGCCAUAGAUACAGUCACGACUUUGCGCGGUUCUAUGAAUUGCUCGACAGUAAUUUGUUCACCCACCGUCUACUUGCUUUCAUGAGAGAAGCCACUAGUAAACACUACGGCCCCCGGGUCUAUUCACAUCCAUCGUUUACACCUCCGCUUUUACUUUGCUUUGUUACUUUGUUGCUUUUAGUUCUCACUUGGCAAACAAUCUAUAAGGGAUUGACAACCCCUUCAUAGCGUUGGGAGCAAGCUUUUUGUGUUUGUGGAGGCUCUUGUGAUACUCCUCCACUGGAUCGAUACCUUGGUUCUCAAACUGAGGGAAAUACUUACCACCUCUAUGCUACAUCACCCUUUCUGCUUUGAGGGAACACCAAUGCAAGGCUCCAAGGCCACGGGGGAAAUACUUUGCAUACUUGCCGAGGAAGUCCCUUAAGGUGUAGCCGCAGAAGAAGGAUCAACCCAAGUAUUCUCCCGUCAACGUGCCUAUUUCUGGCACCAUUGGAAGGUCCUUGGUUGCAGUAGCAGAAGUAUUUCUGGCGCCGUUGCCAGGGAGGAGAGAUCUAUCCAAGUAGGUCUCACAAACUCAUCUCUUGCAUUUACUUUUUUGCCAGUUUCCUCUCGUUUUCCCCUCCCCGACUUCACAUUUGCCGUUUUCAUUUGCCUUUCUCCUUUGCCUUUUUCAUUCGCCCUUUUCUCUUGUUUGCCUUUCCGUUGCUUGUGUGCUAUGUGCCUUCAAUAUGCUUGCAUCUUCGCUUACUGAAAAUCUAGUGAUAUGGAUCCUCAUCCACUUGCUAAUCUCUUUAAGAGACCAACUUAUGUGGAACGAAUUGCUAGUGAGUUGAGGGCACUUGAUUAUCUUUAUGGAGUUUUGCUUGAGAUCCGUGAAUCUGAAAAUUGCGAGGAAGAAAAUUAUGAAGUGAUUCACAAGGGCUCCUUGGAUGAAAAGCAUGAUUGCAAUGGUUUCACUAUAAAUCCUAUUAGUGAAAAUCAUGCUAAAAAUAUGCAAAACCCUAAUCUUGGGGAUGCUAGUUUUGCUAUGUCCCCUACUUGUUGCAAUAAUCAUGAUUGGGGUGAUGAUCUUUCUUAUGAUCUUGAAAAUUUGUUUAAGCCUCAUGAUGAGUAUGAUAUUUGCAACAAUAUUGAAAGUGGGAUUGGAGAAGUCAUGACUUUAUUUAAUGAUAAUCCCACUAUUUUUGAAGAGCGUCAACUUUGCAUGCAUAUGGAUCAUGAAAAGAAUAUCCUAUGUGAUAGUUACAUUGUUGAAUUCGAAUAUGAUCCCACAUGUAAUUAUUAUGAGAGGAAAAUAUGGUGGUAGAAACUUUCAUAUCACUAAAUCACCUCUCGUUAUGUUGAGAUGGCUAUUGUCUCUUUCUUCUUCCUUGCAUUUGGUAACUAUUGGUUGUCUUGCCAAUUUGUUUUCCUAUAAAAUGCCUAUGGAUGGGAAGUAUGUUAGACUUAGAUGUGAUUUUCACAUGCUUUAUGAUGCUCUCAUUGUGCUUCAACUCUUGUCUUUUGUGUGAGCAUCAUUGAUGCCUAGCUAAGGGCGUUAAACAAUAGCGCUUGUUGGGAGGCAACCCAAUGAAUUUAUUCUUUUUCAUUCUGUUUUGUGUUUUCCCCACUUUCAUAAUUCUGUUAUGAUUGUGUUUUUUGUGUUUAUUUUUGCGUUUUUGCCAAGCAAAACCGUUAUGAUUAGUCUUGGGGAUGAUCGUUUGGUCAUGCUGGAAAAGAAAGAAACUUUCUGCUCACGAAAAGAAUUUUCAUUUUUUUUAUGUAAGAGAUUUGGAGUUGAUUGUUUUUGCUGCUGAUGUCUACGCAAAUACUUCAUACUUUCGUAAAUGUUCAGAAUUUUUGAAGUAAAAUAGGCAUACGAAAUAUACAGAUUGCUCAGACUGGUCUGCUGUUAACAGAUUCUGUUUUUGUUGUGUUGGUUGCUUAUUUUGAUGAAACUAUGGAUAGUAUCGGGGGGUAUUAGCCAUGGAAGAUUGAAAGUACAGUAACCCAACAUCAGGACAAGUAGAAUUUAAGUUUUCUACAGUACCUAAGGAAGUGGUGGUUUGGUUUCUUGUACUAAUGUUAUCACGAGUUUCUGUUUAAGUUUCGUGUUAUGAAGUUUUCAAGUUUUGGGUGAAGUUCUUAUGGACAAAGAGAUAAAGAGUGGCAAGAGCUCAAGAUUGGGGAUUCCCAAGGCACCCCAAGAGAUUCAAGGAUGCCGUAAAAGCCUAAAGCUUGGGGAUUCCCCAGGAAGGCAUCCCUUCUCUCGUCUUCAAUCCAUCGGUAACGUUACUUGGGGCUAUAUUUUUAUUCACCACAUGUUAUGUGUUUUUGCUUGGAGCGUCUUGUGUCGUAGGAGUCUUUUAUUUUUGUUGUGACACAAUCAUCCUUGCUGCACACAUAGAGAGAGAGACAUGCACACACCAUGAUUUUGUCGAGCUUCACUUAUAUCUUUUGGUAGACAAUUCAGCUCACAUGUGCUUCACUUAUAUCUUUUGAGCUAGAUACUUUUGCUCUAUGUGCUUCACUUAUAUCUUUUAGAGCGCAGCGGUGCGUGGCUUGGUAGUUUCUCUAUGAUUUGAAAGUAGUCUCAAAAGGGGUAGUUAUCCAAAGGGAUACGAAAACUUCCACCUUCAUGUGCAUUGAAUAGUUAGAGAAGUUUGAUUCAUCUCAAUUAGUUUUGAGUUGUGGUUAUGGUAAUAUUGAAGUCAUGCUAGUAAGGUGUUGUGGAUCUAGAAAUACUUGUGUUGAAGUUAGUGAUUCCCGUAGCAUGCACGUAUGGUGAACCGCUAUGUGAUGAAAUCUGAGCAUGAUUAGUCUAUUGAUUGUCAUCCUUUGCGUGGCGGUCGGGAUCGCGCGAUUGUUUAUACCUACCAACCCUUCCCCUAGGAGUAUGCGUUGAAUGCUUUGUUUCGAUUACUAUUAAAACUUUUGCAACAAGUAUAUGAGGUCUUCAUGACUAAUGUUGAGUCCAUGGUUUAGAUGCACUUUCACCUACCACCAUCACUAUCUUCUUAGUGCCGUGCAACUUUCGCCGGUGCACAAAACCCACCAUUAGCCUCCCUCAAAACAGCCACCAUACCUACCUACUAUGGCUUUUUCAAAGUUAUUCCGAGAUAUAUUGCCAUGCAACUACCACCAUGACAUGUGCCACCACGUCUACAUUGCCAUUGCAUGAUCGUAAGAUAGCUAUCAUGAUGUUUCCAUUGAUGUCUAUGCCAUGCUAGAUCAUUGACAAGGUACACUACCGAAGGCAUUCCAUAUAGAGUCAUAGUUGCUCUAACUUUUGAGUUGAAAGUGUGAUGAUCAUCAUUAUUGGAGCAUUGUCCCAUGUGAGGAAAUAAAAGAGGCCAAAGAAGCCCACCCAAAAAAAGAGAGGCCAGAGAGCCCACCAAAAAAAUGAGAGAAAAAGAGAGAAGGGACAAUGCUACCACUUUUCCACACUUCUGCAUAUUAAGCACCAUGAUCUUCAUGAUUGAGAGUCUCUCGUUUUGUCACCACCAUAUAGCUAGUGGGAAAUUUUCAUUAUAUAACUUGGCUUGUAUAUUCCAAUGAUAGGCUUCCUCAAAAUUGCCUUAGGUCUUCGUGAGCAAGCAAGUUGGAUGCACACCCACUAGUUUUCUUUAAGAGCUUUCACAUACUCGUAGUUCUAGUGCAUCAUUUGUAUGGCAGUCCCUACUCAUUCACAUUGAUAUAUAUUGAUGAGCAUCUCCACAGCUCAUUGAUAUGCCUAGUUAAUGUGACUAUCUUCUCCUUUUUUUGCCUUGCAACCUCUACCACAUUCCACACCAUCUAUAGUGCUAUAACCAUGGCUCACGCUCAUGUAUUGCGUGAGAGUUGAAAAGGUUUGAGAAAGUAAAGGUGUGAAACAAUUACUUGGCCAAUACCGGGGUUGUGCAUGAUUUAAAUUCGUUGUGCAAUGAUGAUAGAGCAUAGCCAGACUAUAUGCUUUUGUAGGGAUAACUUUCUUUUGGCCUUGUUAUUUUGAAAGUUCAUGAUUACCUUGCUAGUUUGCUUGAAUUAGUAUUGUUUCCAUGUCAAUAGCAAACUAUUGUUUUGAAUCUAAUGGAUCUGAACAUUCACGUCACAUAAGAGGAAUUACAAAGGACACCUAUGCUAGGUAGCAUGAAAGCAUCAAAAAAUCAUUCUUUAUCACUUCCCUACUCGAGGACGAGCAGGAGUUAAGCUUGGGGAUGCUUGAUACGUCUCAAACGUAUCUAUAAUUUUUUAUGGUUUCACGUUGUUAUCUUGCCAUCUUUGGAUGUUUUAUGUACCUUUUAUAUAUUUUUUGGGACUAACUUAUUAAUUCAGUGUCAAGUGCGAGUUCCUGUUUUUUCUGUGUGUUUAACUCUUUUUAGAUCUGAUUUUGGAACGGAGUCCAAACGGAAUAAAACCCCGAAAUGAUUUUUUCCCGAAGGAAAGAAGAUCAGGGGGCCUCUGGGCCAAGCCAGGUGGGCUCCAGGGAGCCCACAAGCUCCCAAUCCGCCACCAGGGGAGGCGGCGGUGUCAGGGCUUGUGGCCUCCCUGGCCGCCCCCUGACCUAGAUCCUUGGCCUAUAUAUUCCCAAAAAUUCAGCAAAAAAAUCAGGGGAGCCUCGAAAAUACUUUUCCGCCGCCGCAAGCUUCCGUUUCCGCGAGAUCUCAUCUAGAGACCCUUCCCGGCGCCCUGCCGGAGGGGACUUUGGAGUUGGAGGGCUUCUUCAUCAUCAUCAUCGCCCCUCCAAUGACUCGUGAGUAGUUCACUUCAGACCUACGGGUCCGUAGUUAGUAGCUAGAUGGCUUGUUCUCUCUCUUGGAUCUUCAAUACAAAGUUCUCCAUGAUCUUCAUGGAGAUCUAUCCGAUGUAAUCUUCUUUGGCGGUGUGUUUGUCGAGAUCCGAUGAAUUGUGGAUUUUUGAUCAGAUUAUCUAUGAUAUAUAUUUGAGUCUUUGCUGAUUUCUUAUAUGCAUGAUUUGAUAUCCUUGUAAGUCUCUCCGAGUCUUGGUUUUGUUUGUCCAACUAGAUCUAUGAUUCUUGCAAUGGGAGAAGUGCUUGGUUUUGGGUUCUACCAUGUGGUGACCUUUCCCAGUGACAGUAGGGGCAGCAAGGCACACAUUAAGUAGUUGCCAUCAAGGGUAAAAAGAUGGGGUUUUCAUCAUUGGUGUGAGAUUAUCCCUCUACAUCAUGUCAUCUUGCUUAAGGCGUUACUCUGUUCUUAUGGACUUAAUACACUAGAUGCAUGUUGGAUAGCGGUCGACGUGUGGAGUAAUAGUAAUACAUGUAGAAAGUAACGGCCUACUUGUUUUGGACGUGAUGCCUAUAGAUAUAAUCAUUGCCGUAGAUAUCGUCACGAAUUUGCGCGGUUCUAUGAAUUGCUCGACAGUAAUUUGUUCACCCACCGUCUACUUGCUUUCAUGAGAGAAACCACUAGUAAACACUACGACCAUCCAUCGUUUACACCUCCGCUUUUACUUUGCUUUGUUACUUUGUUGCUUUCAGUUCUCACUUGGCAAACAAUCUAUAAGGGAUUGACAACCCCUUCAUAGCGUUGGGAGCAAGCUUUUUGUGUUUGUGCAGGCUCUUGUGAUACUCCUCCACUCGAUCGAUACCUUGUUUCUCAAACUGAGGGAAAUAAUUACCACCGCUACGCUACAUCACCCUUUCCGCUUCGAGAGAACACCAACGCAAGGCUCCAAGGCCACGGGGGAAAUCCUUUGCAUACUUGCCUAGGAAGUCCCUUAAGGCGUAGCCGCAGCAGAAGGAUCAAGCCAAGUAUUCUCCUGUCAACGUGCCUAUUUCUGGCGCCAUUGGAAGGUCUUUUGUUGCAGUAGGAGUCUUCUAACUCGACCCAAAGAAAAAAGAAAACUAUUUACACGGGAAAGCUCCCAACAAGCAAAAGAAGAACGGGAAAUCUUUUUGGGUUUUCUUUUUAAUUACCACUAAGCAUGCUGGAAACUUUUGGAGUCGGUUUACUUACCGUAUCACAUACCUUUUCGUUCUUGGAGUAUGAAACAAGCUAGUAAAUACCCCUUAUGUACUCCUCCAGAGUUAUGGUAUUAAUAAUAUUGCUUUCGACAUUUAUGGGAGUACCUGAGAUAUAAUGCUUGAUUCUUUGCCUAUUUUCAACUCUCGGAAAAUUACCUUCCGCAUUGUUGAUUUUUAUGGCAUCGGAACGAUAUACUUCCUCAAAAAUGUAAGGUCCUACCCAUUUAGAGAGAAGUUUCCCUGCAAAAAAUCUUAAACGAGAAUUGUAUAGCAAGACAUAAUCACCUACACUCAAAUCACGUUUUUGUAUCCUUUUAUCAUGCCACCUCUUAACCUUUUCUUUAAACAACUUGGCAUUUUCAUAUGACCGAGUUCUCCAUUCAUCAAGUGAGCUAAUGUCAAAUAACGUCUUCUCACCAGCAAGUUUGGAAUCAAAGUUGAGCUCUUUGAUUGCCCAAUAAUCCUUAUGCUCUAGCUCAAGAGGUAAAUGGCAUGCUUUACCGUAAACCAUAUUAUACGGAGACAUGCCCAUGGGAUUCUUAUAAGCAGUUCUAUAAGCCCACAGUGCAUCAUCAAGUUUCUUAGACCAAUUCUUUCUAGACCUAUUAACAGUCUUUUGCAAAAUUAAUUUAAUUUCUCUAUUACUUAACUCUACUUGACCACUAGACUGAGGAUGAUAAGGAGAUGCAAUUCUAUGGUUGACAUCAUACUUAGCAAGCAUUUUACGGAAAGCACCAUGAAUAAAAUGUGAACCACCAUCAGUCAUUAAAUAUCUAGGGACUCCAAAUCUAGGAAAUAUAACUUCUUUAAGCAUCUUAAUAGAGGUGUUAUGAUCAGCACUACUAGUUGGAAUAACUUCUACCCACUUAGUAACACAAUCAACAGCAACUAGAAUAUGAGUAUACCCGUUGGACUUUGGAAAAGGUCCCAUAUAAUCAAAACCCAAACAUCAAAUGGUUCAAUAACAAGUGAAUAAUUCAUAGGCAUUUCCUGACGUUUACUGAUAUUACCUAUUCUUUGACAUUCAUCACAAGACAAGACAAACUUACGAGCAUCCUUGAAGAGAGUAGGCCAAUAAAAACCGGAUUGCAAUACCUUGUGUGCAGUUCUAUCUCCCGCAUGGUGUCCUCUGUAAGCCUCGGAGUGACACUUCUGUAGGAUCUGUCCCUGUUCAUGCUCAGGUACACAACGUCUAAUAACACCAUCUACUCCUUCUUUAUAAAGGUGAGGAUCAUCCCAAAAGUAAUGUCUCAAAACAUAAAAGAACUUUUUCUUUUGUUGGUAUGUGAAACUAGGUGGUAUAUAUUUAGCAACAAUAUAAUUAGCAUAAUCAGCAUACCAUGGUGUACUAUGUGAAACAUUGAUGACAUUCAAUUGUUCAUCAGGAAAGCUAUCAUCAAUAUGUUGUGGGUCAUCAAGAACAUUCUCUAACCUAGACACGUUAUCUGCUACGGGGUUCUCAGCACCCUUCCUAUCAACAAUAUGCAAAUCAAAUUCUUGUAGCAAGAGAACCCAUCUAAUAAGUCUAGGUUUAGCAUCUUUCUUUUCCAUGAGAUAUUUAAUAGCAGCAUGAUCAGUGUGAAUAGUAACUUUGGAAUCAACAAUAUAAGAUCUGAACUUAUCACAUGCAAACACCACUGCUAAAAAUUCUUUUUCAGUAGUAGCAUAGUUUCUUUGGGCACUGUCUAGAGUUUUAUCAACAUAAUGAAUAGCAUUUAAUUUCUUAUCAACUCUUUGUCCUAGAACAGCACCAACAACAUAAUCACUAGCAUCACACAUAAUUUCAAAAGGUAGGUUCCAAUCAGGUGGUUGAACAAUAGGUGUAGUUAUCAAGGCCUUCUUAAGUAUUUCAAAUGCUUCUUCACAAUCAUCAUCAAAAACAGAUGGAAUAUCCUUUUGCAAGAGAUUGGUGAGAGGCCUAGAAAUCUUAGAGAAGUCUUUAAUGAACCUUCUAUAGAAACCAGCAUGACCAAGGAAACUUCUUAUACCUUUAAUGUCUGUAGGGCAUGGCAUUUUCUCGAUCGCAUCAACUUUAGCCUUAUCGACUUCAAUACCUCUUUCAGAAAUUUUAUGACCUAAGACGAUGCCUUCAUUAACCAUAAAGUGGCACUUCUCCCAAUUCAAGACAAGGUUAGUAUCUUACAUCUCUGCAAAACUCGAUCAAGGUUGCUCAAGCAAUCAUCAAAAGAAGAUCCGUAAACGGAGAUAUCAUCCAUGAAAACCUCAACAAUCUUUUCACAAAAGUCAGAGAAUAUAGCCAUCAUACAUCUUUGAAAGGUAGCAGGUGCAUUACAUAAACCAAAAGGCAUACGUCUAUAAGCAAAGAUACCGAAAGGGCAAGUAAAAGUGGUUUUGUCCUGAUCAUAUUGUGCAACCGGUAUUUGGGAGAAACCAGAAUAACCAUCUAGAAAGCAAAAGUGUGUGUGUUUAGACAGUCUUUCUAGCAUUUGGUCGAUAAAAGGCAAAGGGUAAUGAUCUUUCCUAGUGGCCUUAUUCAAUUUCCUAAAGUCAAUUACCAUCCUAUAGCCAGUAACAAUUAUUUGUGGGAUCAAUUCAUCUUUAACAUUAGGGAGAACGGUAAUACCUACCUUCUUAGGGACACAAUGCACCGGACUUACCCAAUCACUAUGAGCAACAUGAUAGAUAAUACCUGCUUCAAGGAGCUUUAGUAUUUCCUUUCUUACCACCUCUUUCAUCUUAGGAUUUAAUCUUCGUUAAUGAUGAGUAACUGGUUUGAAAUCAGGAUCAGUUUUAAUUUUAUGCUGGCAUAGAGUGGGACUAAUGCCCUUAAGAUCAUAAAAGAGUAUAUCCAAUAGUAACACGGUGCUUCCUCAGAGUUUUCAGUAAUUUCUUUUCUUCAUGCUCUGAAAGGUUAGCACUAAUAAUAACAGGAUAUAUCUCUUUUUCAUAAAGAUAAGCAUACUUAAGAGUAUUAGGUAAUUUUUUAAGCUCAAACACAGGAUCACCCUUUGGUGGAGGUGGAUCUCCAAGUAAUUCAAUAGGAAACUUAUUCUUAAGGAUAGGACGUUGUUCAAAGAUAACUCUAUCUAUCUCAUUCCUUUCAUCCAUAUGCAUAUCAUUUUCAUGUUCAAGCAAGUAUUGCUCUAAAAGAUCAGUAGGAGGCACAACAAUAGAAGCAAGAGCAAUAAUUUCAUCCUUACUAGACAAUUAUUUUUCAUGAGGUUGUCUACCAAACUUAGAAAAAUUAAAUUCAGGUGACACACCUUCAAAGCCAACAGUAACAGUUUGUUUCUCAGAGUCAAUCUGAGCAUUAACAGUAUUGAGGAAAGGUCUACCAAAUAUGAUGGGACAAAAGCUAUCUUGUGUGGUAGCAAGAACGAGAAAAUCAGUAGGAUACUUAGUUUUACCACACAAGACUUCAACAUCUCUAACAAUUCCCACAGGGAAGAUAGUAUCUCUAUUAGCAUGUUGAAUAGUAACAUUAAUAAAUUCCAUCUCGACAGGUGCAAUCUCAUCUUUAAUUUCAUUAUAUAACGAUUGAGGUAUUGCACUAACACUAGCACCCAUGUCAAAUAAACCAUGAUCACAAUGAUCUCCUAUCUUAACAGAAACAACAUGCAUGCCAACAACAGGUUUAUGUUUGUCUCUAGCAUGAGGUUUAGCAAUUCUAGCAGCACCUUCACAGAAUUGAAUAACAUGCCCAUCAACAUUAUUGGCCAAGAGAUCUUUAAUAAUAGCAAUGCUAGGUUCAACUUUUAUUUUCUCAGGGGGUGUAGGUGUUCUAAUGUAGCCCUUAUGUAUCACAGUUGAAGUUUUAGCAUGAUCCUUUAUUCUAACAGGGAAAGGUGGUUUCUCAAUGUAAGCACUAGGAACAAUAGAAUCAUUAUAAGCAAUAACUUUCUCUUCAACUAGAUUGGGUUUUACUACAUUGACUUCUAUGGGAGGAUGAUAUUUAGACCACUUCUCCCUAGGGAGAUUAAUAUGAACAACAAAUGAGUCACAUAAUGAAGCUACUAUCGCAGAUUCAAGUCCAUGUUUAGCACUAAAAUCACGAAGAGUAUUUGUUUCAACGAAGGAUUUAAUGCAAUCGAACUUAAGAUUCAUACCUGACUCCUCACCUUCAUAAAACUCCCAAUCUUUAGAGUUGCAUUUAAUUCUUUCCAAUAAAUCCCAUUUGAAGUCAAUAUCUCUCUUCAUAAAAGAACCGGUACAAGAAGUGUCAAGCAUGGUGCGAUUAUCAUGAGUAAGCCGAGCAUAGAAGUUCUGAAUAAUAAUUUCUCUCGAGAGCUCAUGGUUGGGGCAUGAAUAUAACAUUGACUUAAGCCUCCCCCAAGCUUGAGCGAUACUUUCUCUAUCACGAGGACAAAAAUUAUAGGUAUAAUUCCGAUCACGAUGUACCAAAUGCAUAGGAUAAAACUUUUGAUGAAAUUCCAAUUUCAAUCGGUUGUAGUUCCAUGUCCAGUAUCAUCACAUAGCCUAUACCAUGUCAAUGCUUUAUCCCUCAAAGAUAAGGGAAAGAGCUUCUUCUUGACCUCAUCCUCGGGCAAACCUGCAAGCUUAAAUAAACCACAAACUUCCUCUACAUAGAUUAGAUGCAAGUCGGGAUGUGAUGUUCCAUCUCCUGUAAAAGGAUUAGCCAACAGUUUCUCUAGCAUACCCGAGGAAUUUCAUAAUAAAUAUUUUCAGUAGGUGCAGUAGGUUGAGGAGCAAUUAUUUGUGCUUCCGGUCGAGGUGAAGAUACCCCGAACAAGCCCCUCAAAGGAUUAGUUUCCAUAGUGACAAGUGGCAAUAAAUUUCAGCACACUAUAUAAAUGUUUCCUUACCAAAUUCCACUCACCAAAGGCGUUUCACUCCUCGGCAACAGCGCCAGAAAAGAGUCUUGAUGACCCGCAAGUGUAAGGAAUCUGUCGUAGUCCUUUCGAUAAGUAAGAGUGUCAAACCCAACGAGGAGUAGAAGGAAAUGACAAGUGGUGUUCAGCAAGGUAUUCUUUGUAGGCACUGAAAUUAUCGGUAACAGAUAGUUGUGUGAUAAGAUAAUUCGUAAUGGGUAGCAAGUAACAAUAGUAACAAAGGUGCAGAAAGAUGACCCAAUCCAUUUUGUAGCAACGUACAAGCCUGGAUGAAUUCUUAUAUAAGGUAAAGCGCUCCCGAGGACACAUGGGAAUUUCUGUCAAGCUAGUUUUCAUCAUGUUCAUAUGAUUCAUGUUCGCUACUUUGAUAGUUUGAUAUGUGGGUGGACCGGUGCUUGGGUGCUGUACUUACUUGGACAAACAUUCCACUUAUGAUUAACCCCUCUCCCAAGCAUCCGCAACUACGAAAGAAGAAUUAAGACAAAGUCUAACCAUAGCAUUAAACUAGUGGAUCCAAAUCAGCCCCUUGCGAAGCAACACAUAAACUAGGGUUUAAGCUUCUGUCACUCUAGCAACCCAUCAUCUACUUAUUACUUUCCAAUGCCUUCUUAUAGGCCCAAAUAACGGUGAAGUGUCAUGUAGUCGACAUUCACAUAACACCACUAGAGGAAAGACAACAUACAACGCAUCAAAAUAUCGAACGAAUACCAAAUUCACAUGACUACUUAUAGCAAGACUUAUCCCAUGUCCUGAGGAACAAAGGUAACUACUCACAAAGCAUAAUUAUGUUCAUGAUCAAAAAUGUAUUUAAUAGAAUUAAGGAUCUUAACAUAUGAUCUUCCACCGAGUAAACCAACUAGCAUCAACUACAAGGAGUAAUUAACACUACUAGCAACCUUACAAGUACCAAUCGGAGUCGCGAGAUGAAGAUUGGGUACAAGAGAUGAAAUAGGGUUUGGAGAUGAGAUGGUGAUGAUGAAGAUGUUGAUGGAGAUGAGUCCCCUCCGGUGAGAGGAGUGUUGGUGAUGACGAUGGCGACGAUUUCCCCCUCCGGGAGGGAAGAUUGCCUGGCAGGACGGCCCUGCCGGAGCUCUAGAUUGGUUCUGCUCAAGUUCCGCCUCGUGGCGGCAGAGAUUCUUCCCGAAAGCUCUCUCUUGACUUUUUCUGGGAGGAAACCCUCCAUAUAGCAGAAGAUGGGAGCCAGAGGAGUAACAUGGGGCCCACGAGCCUGCUAGGCGUGCCCUUGGGGGGCGCGCUUCCAGGGCUCGUGGCCCACUAGUAGCGUAUUUUUAGUUGAUUCUUUCUCUGACAUUUUUUUAUAUAUUCCAUAAAAAAUCCUUGUAAGUUUCCAGGUCAUUCCAUAAACUUUUAUUUCUGCACAAAAACAACACCAUGGCAGUUCUACUGAAAACAGCGUCAGCCCGGGUUAGUUUCAUUCAAAUCUUGCAAAUUAGAGUCCAAACAAGGGCAAAAGAGUUUGGAAAAGUAGAUACGUUGGAGAAGUAUCAACGGCCACCACCAACACCUGCUCAGGGAGGCGGAAGCGCUGGAGGCUACCCAGCGUGAGUUCGAGGCCACUCGGUGCGAGUUCAAUGCGGCCCAUGGCCUCAUGCUGGCUGCCUACCGACCUAGACUGCUGGGGGAAGUGCAACACUACGGCGGCCGCGUCAGCCACGAGCUGGCCGGCGAUUGCCCCGUCAACGACACCCCCGUCAAGAACAUGCAAGCUACACAGGCUGCCCUCAGUGAGCUGGUAGAGCUAGAACGAGGGACCAGCCCGCAAGGCGCAGCAGCAGCGCAUCCGCGUCGUCAUGGAGGCUACCAACGCGCAGUAGGAGUAGUCGUAUCGCGACCCGGCCAGCUCUCACUCGAGGACCAACGAUGACCCCGCCAACCCGCGACUCGCCGGCGGGACAUGGACUAGGCAUCUUCGCUUGUCGACGCGAACUGUCGCCGCGACAGUUGGCAUGCGGGCAUCCGCGGUCGAUGAGACCACAACCCGUCGGUUGUGAACAACCGCACGAAAGAGCCGGUUGGCCAAGGCAACCGCCAGCUGGCGCGAUGGAGAAACCGCAAAGAUCGCGACCGGAUGGUCGUGCAGUCGCCGCCCCAUCGUUCGAUGUCCAAGAGCAUCGGCCCUCGCCAGCUGGACGACCAAGACGUCCGCUUCUACCUGGAGUGCCUCACGGAAUAUCACACUGUCGAGGAGGAAAGCACAGCCGGCCCGCACUGUUUUGGGCGGCGCAUCCUCAAGGUGCCGCUCCCCAAGGGCUUCACCUUGGCGCGCGAUAGUACAUUGGCUCGACCAAGCCAGAGGAUUGGUUGACCGACUACACCACCACCGUCGGCAUCGCCAGUGGGAACAUGCGAGUGAUAGUAUGCUACGCGCCCCUCAUGCUGCUCGGCUUGGCUCGGACCUGGUUUAACAGCCUACCAGCUGGCUGGACUUCUAGGAGGCGUUUGUGUGCAACUUCACCGGCACAUACAAGCAUCCUGGCCGGCCCCGCCAGCUAGCCCUGUGCGUACAUGGACCGAUCCAGCUCCUCCGCGACUACCUCAGACGAUGGACCGAGCUCAACAACUCCUAUGAGGGCGUCCAUGAGGUACAAGCGAUCCAGUACUUGAUCGACGGCUGCCGAGACGGCACCCUCCUCAAGCACAAGAUCACGCGCGCCUGUAACCGGCUUCCCUGGCGCAGCUGACGGCCGCCGUCGAUGAGUACGCUAUGGCCAAGUCUUCCAUGAAGCUCGCAGUGCAUGUUGAAGCAACCGGCAAGCGAGCCGUGGCCAAGCCGGCUGCCGCCCGACAGCCGGCCGAUCUCGGUCGGAUCAAGGCAAGCAUAAGAGGGACCAGCCGGAUGCCCGUCAGGUAGCCGGUAGGCCACGACCGUCGAGGAUGGUCGGAUGGUCGAUGCCCCGGGCUCCAGCCGGCGCCAGCACACCAGUGACGGCAAGCAACCCUGGCAGGCCAAGUACACCUUCGAGGCCAUGCUCGAUUGGCCUUGCAUGUUCCACAGUGGGGCCAAGCCGGCUACACACAUGUCCCGCCAGUGCAGCUGGUUCACCAAGAUUGCGCGGGGCGAUGUUGUGCCACCCACGCCGCCACCGCCACCGCCUCCCGCUCAGAGAGCCGGCAGCUCCUGAUACGUCUCCAACGUAUCUAUAAUUUUUAUUAUUUCGUGCUAUUAUAUUAUAUGUUUUGGAUGUUCCAUAUGCAUUUAUAUGUUGUUUUAUAUUAUUUUUGGGACUAACCUAUUAAUCUAGAGCCUAGUGUCAGUUUCAGUUUUUUCAACAUUUUUGAAUAUUGCAGAUGAGGAAUAUUAAACGGAGUCCAAGUGGAAUAAAAUCUGCGGAAAUAUUUUUUCGGACCAGAAGACACGCAACAGACUUGGAGUAGGGGGCAAGGCAAUUGCUGGGAGGCCAUAAGACUGCAGGGCGCGCCCUGGGGGUGGCCGCGCCCCCUGGCUUGUGGGCUCCCUGCAGGUCUCCUAACCCUAAUUCGUGGCCUAUAAAUUCCCAAAUAUUCCACUAUCGCCAAAAAGAGCCACGAAAAAACUUCUACGCCGCUGGGAGCCUCUGUUCCCCAGAGAUCCAAUCUGGGAUCCUUUUUCGCAAAUCUACCGGAGAGGGAAUUAAUCACAGAAGGCAUCUACAUCAACUCCAUUGCCCCUCCAAUGAUGUGUGAGUACUUCACCACAGACCUACGGGACCAUAGCUAGUAGCUAGAUGGCUUCUUCUCUCUCUUUGAUCUUCAAUACCAUGUUCUUCAUGAUCUUCAUGGAGAUCUAUCCAAUGUAAUACUCUUUUGCGGUGUGUUUGUCGAGAUCCGAUGAAUUGUGAGUUUACGUUCACAUUAUCCAUGAAUAUUAUUUGAGUCUCUUCUGAAUUCUUAUAUGCAUGAUUUCAUAUCUUUACAAGUCUCUUCAAAUUAUUUUUUUGAUUUGGCCAACUAGAUUGGUAAUUCUUGCCAUGGGAGAAGUGCUUAGUUUUGGGUCCAAUCUUGCGGUGUCCUCACCCAGUGACAGUAGGGGUAGCGAGGCACGCAUUUUAUUGUUACCAUAAAGGGUAAAAAGAUGGGGUUUUCAUCAUAUUCCUUAAGUUUAUCCCUCUACAUCAUGUCAUCUUGUUUAAUGCGUUACUCUGUUCUUCAUGAACUUAAUACUCUAGAUGCAGGCAGGAGUCGGUCGAUGUGUCGAGUAAUAGUAGUAGAUGUAGAAUCGUUUCGGUCUACUUGAUACGGACGUGAUGCCUAUAUGCAUAAUCAUUGCCUUGGAUAUCUUCAUAAUUAUUUGCUUUUCUAUCAGUUGCUUCACAGCAAUUUGUUCACCCACCGUAUUAUUUUCCUUUAUGACAAAAGCCUCUAGUGAAACCUAUGGCCCCUGGGUCUAUUUUCCAUAUCAUAUUUUCAGAUCUAUAAACAAAAAAAUGCCAAAAAUACUUUGCUGCAAUUUAGUUACUUUAGUUUUACUUUCAGAUCUAUCAAUAUUUUAUACCUAUCUCUGUGAGAUCUCAUCCUUGCAAAUAACUCUCAAGGGAUUGACAACCCCUUUAUAGCGUUGGGUGCAAGUGUUUGAUUAUUUGUGUAGGUACUAUUAUCGGAGUCUCGCUUGUUCCUCCUAUUGGAUUGAUACCUUGGUUCUCAACAAACUGAGGGAAAUACUUAUCUACUUCACUGCAUCACCCUUUCCUCUUCAAGGGAAACCUGCGCAAGCUCAAGAGGUAGCAAGAAGGAUUUCUGGCGCCAUUGCCGGGGAGGAUACAUAGCAAGGUUACCAAGUACCCAUCACAAAAUCAUCUCUUGCACUUAUUUUAUUUUCCAUUUGCCUCUCACUUUCCUCUCUCCCACUUCUAAAAAUAUUUUCAGGAAAUACCAAAAAGAUUUGCCUUUUUAUUCGCCCUUUUUCAUUCGUCUUUUUGUUUGCUUGCUUGUGUGCUAGACCUAUUCGUUACCACCAUGUAUGAAUCUGGGGAGGUUUAAUUGGAAAGGAUAGUAAUAAUCCUGAAGAGAAUAAUUAUUCCCAUAGAGAACCUACUAUCAUUCAUACAAAAAAAACUCCGCAUAGGUAGUGGCAAUAUCAUUGGAAAAGGUGUUAUUCAAGAUUUAUUUACUUGUGCUAGUAUGCUACCUACUUUAGGAGGGUCUAUCCUCAAUAAAACUAAUAGUCUUGCGAACGCCAUUACACUUCUAAUACUUGAACUUGAGAGAUAGUUUAUUCAUAUGCACCCUUGCAUACAAAGGAUUUUCCUUGAGUUCUCUAAUAUUCAACUUGCUUCCGUUAAGCGUGCCGCCACUAUAUAUCUAGCCCACGAUUUUAGAUUCAUUAUGCAAGAGUCUAAUGAAAUUUUUGCUCAUUAUAAAAUUAAUGGUGGAUGUCCUCCCGUUGAGGAGAUCCUUUUUAAUCAAGAAGAAAUAAUGAGAUUGGAGUCUUCGGAUUAUGUGGCUUAUAAUGAAAAUUUGAGAAAAAGGGUUCUCAUUGAGGUUUUGGUUGAUAGGAUUUCUAAACUCAAUGAUGAUUUUGCUAUAAAAAUAAUGGAUCAGAGUUCAUACUACGAGAUAAACUUAUGACCUUCCGCCAAAGGAAAGCCUACAAUGAUGAAUUGAUCAUACACUAUAAAGGGUCGAAGGAGGAACCUAUUCCUGCCGCACUUGAUCUUAAUGAUCCUUAUCCUAUUAAAUUUAGCCCUUUUGAUUAAUUUUUCUUGCGACAAAAGAAACUUCUUGCUGAAAGAAUGGAGUAUGAGAAUAGCAUUGAUAAUCUCCCUUACUAUUAUGAUAAUACUUAGAUCUAUUGCAUUAUGCCUAGCUAGGGGCGUUAAACAAUAGCGCUAGUUGGGAGGCAACCCAAUUUUAUUUGUUUUGCUUUUGUUUUUGUUUUUGUUUUUGUUUUUAUGUGCUGCACAUAUUAUUACCUCUGUAAUAAUUGUGUUUUCUUGUUUCAAUUAGUGUUUGAGCCAAGUAAGACUUUGGGAUGGUCUAUGGUGCUUGCAAGUUGAUUUUGCUGAAAAACAGAAACUUUCGCUCUCAGUCCAGGAAUUUUAUAAAUUCACUAGAACAUGCUUUUGAUCUGAAUUUUUUCACAAGAUUGUUUUACAAAUUUCCCAGAUCAUCCUAUUCUUUCAGAAAUUUUGGAUUACAGAAGUAUUCAAAGUAAACAGAUUGCUACAGAUUGUUCUGUUUUUGACAGAUUCUAUUUUCUUUGUGUUGUUUGCUUAUUUUGAUGAAUCUAUGGGUUGUAUCGGGGGUAUGAACCAUGGAGAAGUUAGAAUACAGUAAAUAUUACAUCAAUAUAAAUAACUAAUGAGUUCACAACAAUACCUAAGUGUUGAUUGCUACGGAAACACACAACAGCGCGAGGAAUUGACAUGUUGACGGAGACUGGGCUUGCGUUGGUUUAUCCCUUGAAGAGGAAAGGGUGGUGCAACACAGGAGCAGUAAGUAUUUCCCUUAGUUUGAGAACCAAGGUAUCAAUCCAGUAGGAGAAUCGCAUCAAGUCCAGAGUACCUGCGCAAACACAAAGGAGCUUGCACCCAACGCUAUGAAGGGGUUGUCAAUCCCUUCAACAUUGAUUGCAAAGUGAGAUCUGAAGGCGGAAAGUGCAACGAAGUAAAAGUGUAAGGCUGAAAAUAUGAUGUGAAGUAGACCCAGGGGUCAUAGUGUUCACUAGAGGCUUCUCUCAAAAUAGAAAAUAUUACGGUGGGUGAACAAAUUACUGUCGAGCAAUUUACAGAACCACAAGAAGUCAUGACGAUAUCUAAGGCAAUGAUCAUACAUAUAGGCAUCACGUCCGAGACAAGUAGACUGAUACUUUCUGCAUCUACUACUAUUACUCCACACAUCGACCGCUAUCCAGCAUGCAUCUAGUGUAUGGAGUUCAUGACGAACAGAGUAACGCCUUAAGCAAGAUGACAUGAGGUAGAGGGAUAAACUCAAACCAAUGAUGAAAACCCCAUCUUUUUACCCUUGAUGGCAACAACAUGAUGCGUGCCUCGUACCCCUUCUGUCACUGGGUGCGGUCACCGCACAGUAUGAACCCAAAACCAUGCACUUCUCCCAUUGCAAGAAUCAUAGAUCAAGCUGGCCAAACAAAACCCACAACUCGAAGAGAAUUACAAGGAUAUGAAAUCAUGCAUAUAAGAGAUCAGAAGAAACUCAAAUAAGAUUCAUAGCUAAUCUGAUCAUAAAUCCACAAUUCAUCGGAUCUCGACAAACACACCGCAAAAGAAGGUUACAUCGGAUAGAUCUCCAUGAAGAUCAUGGAGAACUUUGUAUUGGAGAUCCAAGAGAGAGAAGAAGCCAUCUAGCUAAUAGCUAUGGACCCGAAGGUCUAUGGUGAACUACUCACGCAUCAUCGGAGAGGUCAUGGUGUUGAUGAAGAAGCCCUCUGUAUGCGAAUCCCCCCUCCGGUAGGGCACCAGAUCGUACCCCAGAUGGGAUCUUGCGGAGACAGAAGCUUGCGGCGGUGGAAAAGUGUUUUCGAGGCUCUCGUGAUUUUUUCUGGGAUUUUAGGGAAUUUAUAGGCGAAAGACCUAGGGCAGAGGAGGUCCAGGGAGCCCACAACCCUGGGAGGCGCGGCCCCCCUGGCCGCGGCUAGGGGGCUUGUGGGGUCCCUAUUGACCCUGUGCCUUGGUUCUCAAGUCUCCCGAUCGUCUUCUAUUUCGGAAAAAAUCUUUUUGGAAGUUUCGUUCCGUUUGGAAUCCAUUUAAAAUCCUUCUCUGAAAGGGGUCAAAAACACGGAAAAAACAGGAACUGGCACUUGGCACUGAGUUAAUAAGUUAGUCCCAAAAAAGAUAUAAAAGGCCUACAAAACAUCCAAAGUUUGACAAGAUAAUAGCAUGAAACCAUCAAAAAUUAUAGAUACGUUGGAGAUGUAUCUUUGAUCUAUCUUUCUUAUACUAACGGAUCUCAUUAGUUUUCUGUUGAGUUUUGUGUUGUGAAGUUUUCAAGUUUUGGGUAAAUAUUUGAUUGACUAUGGAAUAAGGAGUGGCAAGAGCCUAAGCUUGGGGAUGCCCAAGGCACCCCAAGACAUAUUCAAGGGUACCAAAGAGCCUAAGCUUGGGGAUGCCCCGGAAGGCAUCCCCUCUUUCGUCUUCAAUCCAUCGGUAAAUUUACUUGAGGCUAUAUUUUUAUUCACCACAUGAUAUGUGUUUUGCUUGGAGCGUCUUGUAUGAUAUGAGUCUUUAAUUUUUAGUUUGACACAAUCAUCCUUGAUGCACACAUCUCUUGAGAGAGAUAUACACACCGUAUCGUGAAUUUAUUAGAAUACUCUUUAUGCUUCACUUAUAUCUUUUGAGCUAGGCAAUGUUGCUCUAGUACUUCAUUUAUAUAUUUUAGAGCAUGCCGGUGUUGUGGAAUUAUUAAAACUCUCCUACUUCACUUAUAUUAUUUUGAGAGUUAUUUAAACAACAUGGUAAUAUAAUAGGCAUCCAAGAGGGAUAUAAUAAAAACUUUCAUAUUAAUUGCAUUGAAUAUGAUGAGAAGUUUGAUUUCUUACAUAUAGUUUUGAGAUGUGAAGAUGGUGAUACGAGAGUCAUGCUAGUAAGUAAUUGUGAAUUAGAAAAAAAAUACUUGUGUUAAAGCUUGUGAUUCCCGUAGCAUGCACGUAUGGUGAACCGUUAUGUGAUGAAGUCGGAGCAUGACUUGUUUACUGAUUGUCAACCUUUGUGUGGAGGUCGGGAUCGUGCGAUGGUUAACUCCUACCAACCCUUCUCCUAGGAGCAUGCGUCUAAUACUUUGCUUCGAUAACUAAUAGGCUUUUGCAAUCAGUAUGUGAGUUCUUUACGACUAAAGUUGAGUUCAUGGAUUAUACACACUCUCAUGCUUCCACCUUUGCUAACCUCUCUAGUACUGUGUAACUUUUGUUGGUACAUUAAAACGACCUUCCUCAAAAUAGACACCAUAUAUUUUCCUCAAAACAGCCACCAUACCUACCUAGUAUGGCAUUUUCAUAGCCAUUCCGAGAUAUAUUGCCAUGCAACACCACCGUCUCGUUUUUAUGACACGCACCAUCACUUCCAUAUUGCUUGUAGAGUCAUACUUUAUUCUAGAUAUCGAAUUUUAAUCUUUUGAGUCGUAAGUAAAUAAAAGUGUGAUGAUUUGCAUUAUUAGAGCAUUGUCCCAUGUGAGAAAAAGGAUGAUGGAAGCUAUGACUCCCUCACAAGUUGGGAUGAGCCUCCAGACUUUACAAAAAAAAGAGGCCAGCGUAGCCCAUAAAAAAUAAAAGAGGCCAUAGAAGCCCAUUCAAAAAAGGAAAAAAAAGAAGAGAGAAAAAAUGAGAAAAAGAGAGAAGGGACAAUGCUACUAUCUUUUUCCACACUUGUGCUUCAAAGUAGCACCAUGUUCUUCAUAGAGAGUCUCCUAUGUUGUCACUUUCAUAUAACUAGUGGUAUACAUCAAUUGCACAACCACACAGUUUUCUUUUUGAGCUUUCAUACAGUUAUAGCUCUAGUGCAUCUGUUAAAUGGAAAUCCGUACUCACUCACAUUGAUAUCUAUUAAUGGGCAUCUCCAUAGCGCGUCGAUAUGCCUAGUUGAUGUGAGACUAUCUUCUUCCUUUCUUUUUGCAACCUCCACCACAUUCUAUUCCAUCAAUAGUGUUAUAUCCAUGGUCCACGCUCAUGUAUUGCGUGAGAUUUGAAAAGGUUUGAGAACAUAAAAAGUGUGAAACAAUUGCUUGAUUUUCACCCGGGUUGUGCAUGAUUUAGAUACUUUGUGUGGUGAAGAUGGAGCACAACCAAACCAUAUGAUUUUGUAGGGAUAACUUUCUAAUACCAUGCUAUUUUGAAAAGAAGCAAUCACCUUAUUAGUAUGCUUGAAGUAUUAUUGUUUUUAUGUCAACAUAGACUUUUGUUUUGAGUCUUAUGGAUCUGAAUAUUCGUGCCACAUUAGAGAAUAUUACAUGGAUAAAUAUGUUAGGUAGCAUUCCACAUCAAAAAUUCUGUUUUUAUCAUUUACCUUCUCAAGGACGAGCGGUAAUUAAGCUUGGGGAUGUUGAUAUGUCUCCAAUGUAUCUAUAAUUUCCGAUUGUUCCAUGCUAUUAUAUUAUAUGUUUUGGAUGUUUUAUAUGCAUUUAUAUACUGUUUUAUAUUAUUUUUGGGACCAAACUAUUAAUAUAGAGCCUAGUGCGAGUUUCUGUGUUUUCCACGUUUUUGAAUAUUGCAGAUAAGGAAUAUUAAACGGAGUCCAAAUGGAAUAUAAAAUCUCUGGAAAGAUUUUUCUUGGACCAGAAGACACGCAACAGACUUGGAGUAGGGGGCAAGGCAGUUGCCGGGAGGCCACAAGCAUGCAGGGCACGCCCUGGGGGUGGCCGCGCCCCUGGCUUGUGGGCCCUCUGCAACUCUCCUAACCCUGAUUCUUGGCCUAUAAAUUCCCAAAUAUUCCAGUAUCGCCAAAAAGAGCCAUGAAAAUACUUUUACACCGUCGGGAGCCUCUGUUCCCCAGAGAUCCAAUCUGGGAGCUUUUUCCGCUAAUCUACCCAAUAGAGAAUUGAUCACAGGCGGCAUCUAUAUCAACUCCAAUGCCCCUCCUAUGAUGUGUGAGUAGUUCACCACAGACCUACAGGUCCAUAGCUAGUAGCUAGAUGGCUUCUUCUCUCUCUUUGAUCUUCAAUACCAUGUUCUUCAUGAUCUUCAUGGAGAUCUGCUACUUCUCAAACAACAGCGCCAGAAAUUGACACGUUGUCGGAGACUUGCUUGCGUUGGUUGUUCCGUUGAAGAGGAAAGGGUGAUGCAGCACAUGAGCAGUAAUUAUUUCCCUCAGUUUGAGAACCAAGGUAUCAAUCUAAUAGGAGAAUCUCGUCAAGUCCAGAGUACCUGCGCAAACACAAAAGAGCUUGCACCCAACGCUAUAAAGGGGUUCUCAAUCCCUUCAAGAUUGAUUGCAAAGUGAGAUCUGAAGGCGGAAAGUGCAACGAAGUAAAAGUGUAAGGCUAAAAAUAUGGUGUGGAAUAGACCCGGGGGCCAUAGUGUUCACUAGAGGCUUCUCUCAAAAUAGAAAAUAUCACGGUGGGUGAACAAAUUACUGUCGAGCAAUUGAUAGAACAGCGCAAAGUCAUGACGAUAUCUAAGGCAAUGAUCAUACAUAUAGGCAUCACGUCCGAGACAAGUAGACCGAUACUUUCUGCAUCUACUACUAUUACUACACACAUCGACCGCUAUCCAGCAUGCAUCUAGUGUAUUGAGUUCAUGACGAACAGAGUAACGCCUUAAGCAAGAUGACAUGAUGUAGAGGUAUAAUCUCAAACCAAUGAUGAAAACCCCAUCUUUUUACCCUUGAUGGCUACAACAUGAUGCGUGCCUCGCUACCCCUUCUGUCACUAUGUGAGGUCAGCGCACGGUAUGAACCCAAAACCAAGCACUUCUCCCAUUGCAAGAAUCAUAGAUCUAGUUGGCCAAACAAAACCCACAACUCAAAGAGAAUUACAAGGAUAUGAAAUCAUGCAUAAGAGAGAUCAGAAGAAACUCAAAUAAGAUUCACAGAUAAUCUGAUCAUAAAUCCACAAUUCACCGGAUCUCGACAAACACACCGCAAAAGAAGAUUACAUCGGAUAGAUCUCCAUGAAGAUCAUGGAGAACUUUGUAUUGAAGAUCCAAGAAAUAGAAGAAGCCAUCUAGCUACUAGCUAUGGACCCGUAGGUCUAUGGUGAACUAGUCACGCAUCAUCGAAGAGGUCAUGGUGUUGAUGAAGAAGCCCUCCGUAUCUGAAUCCCCCUCUGGCAGGGCACCAAAACGUGCUCAGAUGGGAUCUUGCGGAGACAGAAGCUUGCGGCAGCGGAAAAGUACUUUCGAUGAUCUCCUGAUUUUUUCUGGGAUUUUAGGGAAUUUAUAGGCGAAAGACCUAGGGCAGAGGAGGCUCAGGCAGCCCACAAGCCUGGGAGGCGCGGGCCCCCCUGGCCGCGGCUAGGGGGCUUGUGGGGUCCCUGGUCACCUCCUGCCCUGAUUCUCAGGCUUCCCGAUCUUUUUCUGUUUUGGAAAAAAUCUUUUUGGCAGUUUCGUUCCGUUUGGACCCCGUUGAAAAUCCUCCUUUGAAAGGGGUCAAAAACAUGGAAAAAACAGGAACUGGCACUUGGCACUGAGUUAAUAAGUUAGUCCCAAAAAUUAUAUAAAAGGCAUAAAAACAGGAACUAGCACUUGGCACCGAGUUAAUAAGUUUGACAAGAGAAUAGCUUGAAACUGUCAAAAAUUAUAGAUACGUUGGAGACGUAUCAAGAUCCAUCCGAUGUAAUACUCUUUUGCGGUGUGUUUGUCGAGAUCCGAUGAGCUAUGAGUUUAUGUUCAGAUUAUCCAUGAAUAUUAUUUGAGUCUCUUCUGAAUUCUUAUAAGCAUGAUUUCAUAUCUUUGCAAGUCUCUUCAAAUUAUUGGUUUGGUUUGGCCAAGUAGAUUGGUAAUUCUUGCAAUGGGAGAAGUGCUUAGUUUUGGGUUCAAUCUUGCGGUGUCCUCACCCAGUGACAUAGUAGGGGUAGCAAGGCACAUAUUGCAUUGUUGCCAUCGAGGAUAAAAAGAUGGGGUUUUCAUCAUAUUGCUUGAGUUUAUCCCUCUACACCAUGUCAUCUUACUUAAUGUGUUACUCUGUUCUUCAUGAACUUAAUACUCUAGAUGCAUGCAGGAGUGGGUCGAUGUGUGGGGUAAUAGUAGUAGAUGCAUAAUCGUUCCGGUCUACUUGACACGGACGUGAUGCCUAUAUGCAUAAUCAUUGCCUUGGAUAUCUUCAUAAUUAUUCUCUUUUCUAUCAAUUGCUCGACAGUAAUUUGUUCACCCACCGUAUUAUUUUCCUUUAUGAGAGAAGCCUCUAGUCAAAACUAUGGCCCCGGGGUCUAUUUUUCAUAUUAUAUUUUUAGACCUAUAAACCAAAAAUAACAAAAAUAUAUUCCUGCAAUUUAUUUACUUUGGUUUCUACAAUAUUUUAUACCUAUCUCUAUAAGAUACCAUCCUUGCAAAUAACUCUAAAGGGAUUGACAACCCCUUUAUAGCGUUGGGUGCAAGUGUUUGAUUAUUUCUGUAGGUACUACUAUUGGAGCCUUGCUUGUUCCUCCUAUUGGAUUGAUACAUUGGUUCUCAACAAACUAAGGAAAUACUUAUCUACUUCGCCACAUCACCCUUUCCUCUUCAUGGGAAAACCAACGCAAGCUCAAGAGGUAGCAGCUCCCGCGACGACUACCCCCAAAAGGAGCAGCCUAUGUCGUCUUCGCUACUGAGGACGACGACGAGCAUAGACAGCGCAGGCAUGCGUUGGGGGUCAACACCGUCAUCAUGUCGAUCCCCCAGUACAUGCACUCUUCGGACAAACCAAAGACCUAGGGGCGCGAGGAUAACUCGGUUUUGGUGCCAAAGCAAGGCGGUUACGCGAUGGUCCUCGACCCCACCUUCGUCUCUCGACGGAGCACCUGUCGCUUGACGCGGGUGCUCGUCGAUGGCGGUAGGAGCAUCAACAUCCUCUACUGCAACACCAUGGACAAGCUCGACAUCCUGGAGUGCGAGAUCCAGCCAACCCGGAUGGUGUUCAAUGGCCUCGUUCGUGACCACUCUUGCUCCCCGAUCAGCAAGGUCCUGCUGGACGUGCUAUUCGGAUCACUGAAGAACUUCUGCUGCGAGCUUGUCUGGUUCGACGUUGUCAACCUCUCCAGCUCCUACCUGGCCAUCUUGGGCUGGCUCGCCAUGUCCAAGUUCAUGGCAGCCCCCACUAUGCCUAUCUGAAGAUCAAGCUGCCAGGCCCGCACGGCAUCAUCACCGUCACUAGCAAUUACAAGAAGUCGACCGAAAGCGCUCUAACCAGCUCCAAGCUGGCCGGAUCCCUCGUCAUUAUGGAGGAUAGGCAGAAGAUCGACCGACUCGUGGCCCUCUCCCAUGAGACAGUGGUCGUGACUGAGCCCAAGCUGAAGCAACCUGCUGCAGAGGCCUAGUUCCAGCCGGCCACCGACAAGGACACCAAGAGGGUCCCCCUCGACCCGGCUGACCCCAUCCGCAAGUAAGUCAUGGUGGGGCUGGCCUCAACAACAAAUAGGAAAGAAAGCUCGCCGACUUCCUCCUUGAGAAUUCAUAUAUCUUCGCAUGGACCCGAAAUGACAUGCCGGGAGUCCCGAGGAAGUACGUUGAGCACUUCUUACACAUCCAGACGGAUGCAAAGCCAGUCAAGCAACCACUACGCCCCUUCUCCUCGGAGAAGCGGAAGACUAUCGGUGAAGAGAUCGCUCGGCUGCUAGCAGCAGAUUAUAUCAUGGAAGUCUUCCACCCGGACUGGUUGGCGAACCCGGUCUUGGUGCUGAAGAAGAAUAAGACUUGGCGCAUGUGUAUCGACAACACGAGGCUGAACAAAGCAUGCCCCAAGGAUCCAUUUGCUCUGCCCCGUAUUGAUCAAGUGAUCGACUCGACGGCGAGCUACGAGCUAUUUUUCCUUCUUGGACGCCUACUUAGGCUACCCCAUAUCAAGAUUAAUUCGGUCGAUCGGAUCAAAACAACUUUCAUAAUCCCCUUCAGGGCGUUUUGCUAUAUCACGACGGGGUUCGAGCUGAAAAAACAUCGGUGCCACAUUCCAGCGGUGCACGCAGCGAUUCCUCUACAUGCAUCUUGGCCUCAAUUUACACGUCUAUGUGGACGAUGUUGUGGUCAAGACCAAGGAAAGCUGCACCCUCCUGGACGAUCUCAAAGCGACGUUCGCGAGCCUGCGCGAGUUCAAGAUCCGUCUCAACCCAGAGAAGAGCAUGCUCGGCGUCCUAGCCGGCCAGCUCCUCGAUUUCCUCAUUUCCGAAUAGGGAAUCGAGGACAAUUCGAAAAAGAUUCGGGCCAUCGAGCGGAUGGGUCGGCCGACCAACCUGGCCGGCGUAUAGAACAUCACUCGCUCUCACCUUGCUCGGUUGUUUCAUCAAUCAGCUCGGAGUAAUGCCCCCCCUCUAUUGCCUGCUCAAAAAGGCAAACAACUUCAUCUGGUGCGACCAGGCAUAUGAGGUUGUGCGCAAUCUCAAGCGUGCGUUGAGCACCGUGCCCGUGCUGGUCGCAUCGGCGGACAAGGAUCUUAUGCUACUCUACAUGGCAGCGACCAGCCGUGUGGUCAGCAUCGCCAUGGCCAUCAAGUGCUUGGAGCCGUGCCGAGCCUAGCCGAUCCAAUGACUGGUCUACUAUCUGGGUGAGGUGUUGUCCGCCUCCAAGAAAAACUACCCUCACUACGAAAAGAUGUGUUACGGCGUGUUCCUAGCAGUCAAGAAGCUCAAGCCCUACUUCCAGGAGCACCCGAUCACGAUGGUGAGCACCGCUACCCUCCGGGAAAUCAUGGGCAACCGGGACACGACCGCCGACCACCACAUCACCUACGAGUCUCGCACGUCUAUCUAGUCUUAGGCCUUGGCGAAUUUCCUCGUUGACUGGGCAGCGAUCGAGUACGCGCCACCACCUCCCGACUCCACCCAUUGGCGCCUAUACCAGCCUCGGGGCCUACAUCAUCCUCUCCUCCAUGAAGGGGGGACCGAUCGUAGUAGGUCAUGUAGAUCCACUUUGCCGCGUCAAAAACAUGACGGAGUACGAAGCGCUCACCCACGGCCUCCAGUUGGCCAGGGAGAUUGGUGUCUGAUGCAUCCUUUGCUUCGGCGACUUCGACCUGGUGGUGCAGCAAGUCACUAGUGAAUGGGAUGCUAGGGACGCAAACAUGGCCAACUAUGCUUCGUGGUCCAACAGCUGACCGGCGGUUUCAAAGGCUGCGAGUUCCACCACAUCCUUCGAGCCAGGAACGAGGUUGUCGACACACUCGCGAAGAUCGGCUCCACCCGGCAGCCGAUCCCAGCCGGCGUAUCCCUCGAGCAUCUGCGUAAGCCCUCCAUUAGCCAUCUCUGGAGUCCGAGUCCAUCUUCAUCCCGACAGACCCGAGGGUUGCUCCACCAGCCCCGGGGGCUACCGUCGCUAACUUGGGGGCUUCUCCACCAGCCCCGGGGUCUGUCGUCGUUGUCUCGGGGGCUGCCCCACCAGCCUCGGGGGCUGCCAUCACCAACUCGGGGAAUGCUCUGUCCAACUCGGGGGCUACCGCAGCCGUCCCUGUGACUGCGGUCCCCGCCUAGCUACCGACAAUUCCAGCCAGCCCGAGGAUUGUCCCCCCCCCCGACCCGGGGGGCUACCUGCCCACCCUCUAGGCCACUAGCACGACAGCUGGCAUGCCGGCAGUCGGCCCAUUCCCAGCAAGCCCAGCCACGUCGGCCAUGCUAAUAGUGGUCACGGCCUCAUCCUGGGCACAACCCUUCCCCGACUACAUUGAAAACUGCAACUUCCCGCUGACAAGGUCGAGGCCCGACAGAUCCAACGAUGUUCCACGGCCUACACCAUCAUCAACAACGAGCUCGUCUAGCGCAGCGUGUCUGGGGUGUUCCAGCAUUGCAUCGAGGUGGACAAGGGCCGCGAAAUCCUCCUCGACAUCAACCAGGGCGAGUGUGGCCAUCAUGCGGCCUCCCGCUCAUUGGUGGCCAAGGCAUUUCGCCAUGGAUUUUAUUGGUCGUAUUCCCUCAAGGACGCCAAAGAGCUGGUCGACAAGUGCAAUGGCUACCAACACUUCAAAGCGCGCAGCCACCAGCCGACUGCAACCCUGUAAACUAUCCCGCUCACAUGGCCUUUCGCCAUAUGGGGCUUGGACAUGGUCGGCCUGCUCAAAACCGCCUGAGGUGGCGUGACGCACCUGCUGGUGGCUGUCGACAAGUUCACAAAGUGGAUCGAGGCCAGGACAAUCAAAAAAUUUGACGGCUUGUUAACUAUCACGUUCAUCAAGGACAUCACCGUCCGCUAUGGCCUCCCCAACAGCAUCAUCACCAACAACGGCACCAACUUCGCUAAGGGCACGCUCUCUCGCUACUGCAACAAGCAAGAAAUUCAGCUGGACCUCGCGUCCAUGGCCCACCCGCAGUCAAACGGCCAGGCAGAGCGAGCGAACGGCCUCAUCCUGGCCGGCCUAAAGCCCAGGCUGGUCGAGCCUCUCGGGCGCUCGGCCGGCGCCUGGGUCGAGGAACUGCCGACCAUGGUAUGGAGCGUGCGAACCACGCCCAACCGGUCAACCGGCUUCACCCCCUUCUUCCUCGUAUAUGGGGCCGAAGCAAUCAACCCCACCAACAUCAAGUUCGACUUGCCGCGAGUCACCCUCUACAUAGAGGUCGAUGCCAAAGAAGCCCGAGAAGAUGGUGUCGACCUCCUCGAAGAGGCACGCGAGCUGGCGCUGUCCAGAUCAACCAUCUAGCAGCAGGGCCUGCGCCACUAUCACAACCGCUGGGUCAAGCCCCUCUCAUUCUGAGAGGGCGACCUGGUGCUCCGGGUGAUCCAACAAAUAGCCGGCCAACACAAGUUGUCCGCCCCAUGGGAGGCCCCCUUCAUCAUCAACAAAGCAUUGAGCAACAAUGCCUACUACCUGAUCGAUGCACAAAAAGCAAGAAAGAACAAGAAGGACACAUCCGACUCCAAGACGAAGCGCCGAAGGAAUGCGGAGCUCCUCCACCCGUUUUACAGUUGAAGCAAGUGUAUGUAUGUAUCACUUCCUUUAAAAUCAAUGAAUAGUCGGCACCCUCUAGCAGGACCCGGGGACUGCCCUUCCAUUGCUAUCUAUUUCUUAGUCAUUUUCUUCAACCGGUAGCCCCCGAACCGGCUCAACCGGCCCAGGGACUGGCCGGCCCACCCAAUCCCCAUCGACUCGGAAAAGUAUUAUAUCUCCUCCCCGGCGGCCUAACCCUUGCCGGCUACAGACCACAACCUGGUUGUCUGACCGGGGGACGCACAAGCAAAGGGGUAGGGUGGAUAGGAAAAAUCGACAAGGGGCGGGCCGGGUCCGACCAUGCUACUCGGUUCGUUCAAAACCCAACUUGCAAAGCUCCCAAAGUACGAACAUACCGCCUCCGCCAUCCCACUCCUCUCUUGGUCACAGUCCGCAAGCCGGCUGGUCGAUAGAAAAAAAGCAAAUGAGCGGGGCACAUGAGAAAAAUGACUAAGGCAAGAAAAAGUGUCGAACGAGCCGGCAAACAACAAGCAAGUUGAAAUAAACUGCAAGACAUAAAUAAAGAUAUUAGCGCCAGGCAGAGAGUGCAUUAAAUAAAACCUAGACCCCAUGUGGGUGGACUUAUUCAUAAGAAAGUGUGUGAGUAAAGAAAGCAGGAAGGUAAAAAUCAAACAACCGACGCAUGCGGUGCCACCUCCGUGUCCCGAGCUGGUUGGGUCCUCUCGCCCGCCUGAGCAUCGUGGGCUGAUGGAACCUACCGGCUGGCCUCUGCGUCACCAGCCGACGAAGUCUCACGCUGGGACAUCUCCACGUCCCCAACUGGUGGGGUCUAUUGGCCCACCUUAGCAUCGCCGGUAUGCGGCUCCGCCCCCUCCACAAAGGACGUGACCGCCCCUCCGACGCCCAACUCACCAACCUAGUCAUCGGCGGCAGGCUCCUCCGAGCUAACCCAACCUCCUUGUCCCUGCCGGUGAUCGGGGUGCCGAACUCGUCCUCCGAGAUGGGUGCACCAUCCUCCCCCCUCUCGUGGUAGUACGUAUCCAACGAGGCGUAGCUGGCGAGCCUGUUGAUCCGAAAGCCAAUGGCCUUGACGCGCCACGUCAAGUCCAUAUGCGCCUCCGCUCGCAUGGUGGCCAGCUGAGCCAGGUUGAUACCCGAGUACUAGGAGAGGGAGAAGGUCAGUGCCAACCGAGCACCGCCCCUCGUCGCCAACGCCCUCCAUGUGUCAAAUCGAUCCACUACGUGCUCGAGCCACUGUGCGAAUUGGUUGACGGGAAUAUUCGCCGCUCGGUCGGGCCAAAGGGCCUGGACAAGGUUCCCGCCUGCCGUUUGAAGCCGCUCAUAGAGCAACCGUAGGUACACCAACCAGGUCAUGCAGGCAUAGACCACCGCCUCCAUCCCCCACCCGGCAUGAGCAUCCGGCUCGCACCCCGCCCGGUGCAGCUCUUCCUUGUGGGCCUCCAUGGCCCGGUCCGCCCAUGCCUGGAUCUCUAGAAAGCAAGCUGGCCUAGAGAAAAAUUAUAAGAGAAAGGACCAGCGAACAACAAUGACCAAGGACCAAGACACUCACCGGCGAAGAUCUCGUCCACCUCGUGGAAGAGCUUCAGUGCGGUGGUGAUAUGUCUCAAACGUAUCUAUAAUUUUUGAUGGUUUCAUGUUGUUAUCUUGUCAACUUUGGAUGUUUUAUGUACCUUCUAUAUCUUUUUUGGGACUAACUUAUUAAUUCAGUGCUAAGUGGCAGUUCCUAUUUUUUCUGUGUUUUUGACUCUUUUCAGAUCUGAUUUUGGAACGGAGUCCAAACGGAAUAAAAACCCCGAAAUAAUUUUUUCCAGAACAGAAGAAGAUCGGGGGACUUGAGGGCCAAGGCAGGAGCGCCACAGGGGGCCCACAAGCCCUAUAGCCGCCACCAGGGGGCGGCGGCUGCCAGGCUUGUGGCCCCCCUGGAGCUCCCCUGCCCUAGCUCUUUCACCUAUAUAUUCCCUGAAAUCCCAAAAAAUGAGGACAUCCACGAAAACACUUUUCCGUCGCCGCAAGCUUCCGUUUCCGCGAGAUCUCAUGUGGAGACCCUUCCCGGUGCCCUGCCGGAGGGGACUUUGGAGUUGGAGGGCUUCUACAUCAACAUCAUCGCCUCUCCAAUGACUCGUGAGUAGUCCACUUCAGACCUACGGGUCCGUAGUUGUUAGCUAGAUGGCUUCUUCUCUCUCUUGGAUCUUCAAUACAAAGUUCUCCAUGAUCUUCAUGGAGAUCUAUCCGAUGUUAUCUUCUUUGGCGGUGUGUUUGUCGAGAUCCGACGAAUUGUGGAUUUGUGAUCAGAUUAUCUAUGAUAUAUAUUUGAGUCUUUGCUGAUUUCUUAUAUGCAAGAUUUUAUAUCCUUGUAAGUCUCUUCGAGUCUUGGGUUUUGUUUGGCCAACUAGAUCUAUGAUUCUUGCAAUGGGAGAAGUGCUUGGUUUUGGGUUCAUACCGUGUGGUGACCUUUCCGAGUGACAGAAGGGGCAGCAAGGCAUGCAUCAUGAUGUUACCAUCAAGGGUAACAAGAUGGGCUUUUAUCAUAGAUAUGAGAUUGUCCAUCUACAUCAUGUCAUCAUGCUUAAGGCGUUACUCUGUUCUUAUGAACUUAAUACACUAGAUGCAUGCUGGAUAGCGGUCGACGUGUGGAGUAAUACUAGUAGAUGCAGAAAGUAUCGGUCUACUUGUUUUGGACAUGAUACCUAUAGAUAUAAUCAUUGCCUUAGAUAAUGUCAUGACUUUGCACGGUUCUAUCAAGUGCUCGACAGUAAUUCGUUCACCCACCGUCUACUUGCUUUCAUGAGAGAAGCCACUAGUGAACACUACGGCCCUCGGGUCUAUUCACAACUAUCGUCUCCACUUUCACUUUUACUUUGCUUUGUUUACUUUUUGCUUUCAGUUCUCACUUUGCAAACAAUCUAUAAGGGAUUGAAAACCCCUUCGUAGCGUUGGGCGCAAGCUCUUUGUGUUUGUGCAGGUACUUGUGACUCGAGGCGAACCUCCCACUGGAUCGAUACCUUGGUUCUCAAACUGAGGGAAAUACUUACCGCCGCUGUGCUACAUCACCCUUUCCUCUUCAAGGGAAAACCAACGCAAGUCUCCAAGGCCGCGGGGAAAUCCUUUGCAUAUUUGCCAAGGAAGUCCCUAUAGGCGUAGCUCGUAGUAGCAGGAUUCCUGGCGCCGUUGUCAGGGAAGGUUUGUUGUUGCAGUAGCAGGUGGCCGCCUGCUGCUCCACCCUCGCCUUGGCCGCCAUCGCGUGUCGGACCUCCUCCCCGAGCCGAGCAACCUUGGCACGGAGAGUGGCCGCCUCCUCCCCGCUGGCGACUGACGCAUGUGACGCCACCUCCUUAGCCUCCAUCUCCCGACAAAGUGCCUCGGUUAGCCACUCCACCUCCGCCUUUCACCUGCCCCAAAGCUUCCCGCUCGGCCUCCAGAUCCCUCCCCAACCAGUCGCAGUCGCCGGCAACCUAGUCGCGCUUGCCUCAGACGUCAGCAAGAGAGCGACGCUGCUCCGCCACCUCAGCCGCAGAAACGCCCUCCUGUGCAAAAAAAGUUCAUGGUCGGCAAUCGGCUCCAUAAGGAAUAUCAAAAGAAAAAAACAUUUGUCUUGGCUACCACGCAGCCGCACAGCGGGCCUGAAUCUCGGGAACUACAUGCAGUGCGUGCGCUCGUGCGCACCCACCAAUUCAUGGAGAUACCUCGGGCCUUCUACAGCUCAGCCACCUAUAGCUCGAGCUCCUUUCAGGCCUUGAAGUAGGAAUUCUUGUUGUAGCGGUACAACCCAGUACCCUCCUUGAAGAGUGUGUCGCCCUUCGCCCCGUCAGCCUGAGAAGAGAACACAAGAAAAGGAUCAGAAGACAAAGAUUUGGCCCGGCUGCCACGCAGUCGUGCAGCCGGCUCGAAUCUCGAGGAUUCCCAGUGGUCACACUUGCGUAGUGAUGACCCACAAGUUUAGGGGAUCUAUCAUAGUCCUUUCGAUAAGUAAGAGUGUCGAACCCAACGAGGAGCAGAAGGAAAUGAUAAGCGGUUUUUAGUAAGGUAUUUUCUGCAAGCACUGAAAUUAUUGGUGACAAAUAGUUUUGUGAUAAGGUAAUUCGUAACGAGUAACAAGUAAGAAGUGUAACUAAGGUGCAGCAAGGUGGCCCGAUCCUUUUUUAGCAAAGAACAAGCCUGGACAAACUCUUAUAUAAAGAAAUGCGCCCCCGAGGACACAUGGGAAUUUUUGUCAAGCUAAUUUUCAUCAUGCUCAUAUGAUUCACGUUCGUUACUUUGAUAAUUUGAUAUGUGGGUGGACCGGUGCUUGGGUGUUGCCCUUACUUGGAAAAACCUACCAAUUAUGAUUAACCUCUCCCGGAAGCAUCCACAACUACGAAAUAGUAAUGAAGAUAAAUCUAACCAUUGCAUUAAUCAUAUGGAUCCAAAUCAUCCCCUUACGAAGCAACGCAUAAACUAGGGUUUAAGCUUCUGUCACUCUAGCAACCCAUCAUCUACUUAUUACUUCCCAAUGCCUUCCUCUAGGCCCAAAUAAUGGUGAUGUGUCAUGUGGUCGACGUUCACAUGACACCACUAGAGGAGAUACAACAUAUAACUUAUCAAAAUAUUGAAUGAAUACCAAAUUCACAUGAUUACUUAUAACAAGACUUAUCCCAUGUCCUCAGGAACAAACAUGACUACUCACAAAGCAUAUUCUUAUUCCUGAUCAGAGGAGUAUUAAUAAUUAUUAAGGAUCUGAACAUAUAAUCUUCCACCAAAUAAAUCAACUAGCAUCAACUAUAAGGAGUAAUUAACACUACUAGCAACCCACAGGUACCAAUCUGAGGUUUUAAGACAAAGAUCGGAUACAAGAGAUGAACUAGGGUUUGGAGAGGAGAUGGUGUUGAUGAAUAUGUUGAUGGACAUUGACCCCCUUUCAAUGAGAGGAUCUUUGGUGAUGACGAUGGCUUUGAUUUCCCCCUCCGGAAGGGAAGUUUCCCCGACGGAAUCGCUCCGCCGGAGCUCUAGAUUGGUUCUGUCCAAGUUCAGCCUCGAGACGGCUGCGUCGCAUCCCGAAAGGUGUGAUAUGAUUUUUUCUAGGUCAAAACCCUUCAUAUAGGAGAAGAUGGGUGCCGGAGGUCUGUCAGGGGGGUCACAACCUUGCACGGCUCGGUCAGGGGGUAGGCCGUGAUACGUUUGCAUCGUAUCUACUUUUCCAAACUCUUUUGCCCUUGUUUUCGACUCUAAUUUGCAUGAUUUGAAUGGAGCUACCCCGGACUGACGCUGUUUUCACCAGAAUUGCCAUGGUGUUGUUUUUGUGCAGAAAUGAAAGUUCUCGGAACGUCCUGAAAAUUUACGGAGAAUUUUUCUGGAAAAUAUGAAAAAUACCUACGCAAAGAUCCGCCGGAGGGGAUGGGCUAGUGGGCCACAAGCCCUGUUGUCGCGGCCACCCCCUGGCCGCGUCAACCAAGCUUGUGGGGCCCACGUGGAUCUGCCGCCCCCAAACUCAGCUCUAUAAAUUCACUUUCGCCGAGAAAAAAAUCAGAAGAGAAGAUUUCCUUGCGUUUGCGAUACGGAGGCGGCGCCACAUCCUGUUUUUCAUUUGGAGGGCAGAUCUGGAGUCCGUUUUGGGCUCCGGAGAGGGGAAAUCGUCGUCAUCGUCAUCAUCAACCUUCUUCCCUCUCCAAUUCCAUGAAGCUCUUCAUCGUUCGUGAGUAAUCUAUUCGUAGGCUCGCUGGACGGUGAUGAGUAGGAUGAGAUCUAUCAUGUAAUCGAGUUAGUUUUGACGGGGAUUGAUCCCUAGUAUCCACUAUGUUCUGAGAUUGAUGUUGCUACUACUUUGCCAUGCUUAAUGCUUGUCACUAGGGCCCGAGUGCCAUGAUUUCAGAUAUGAAAUUAUUAUGUUGUCACCAAUAUAUGUGUGUUUUAGAUCCGAUCUUGCAAGUUGUAGUUACCUACUAUGUGUUAUGACCCGGCAACCCUGGAGUGACAAUAACCGGAACCACUCCCGAUGAAGACCAUAGUUUGAGGAGUUCAUGUGUUCACCAAGUGCUAAUGCGUUGUUCCGGUUCUUUAUUAAAAGGAGAACCUUAAUAUCAUGUAGUAUCGUUUUGGACCCCGCUGCCACGGGAGGGAUGUGCAAUAGAUGUCAUGCAAGUUCUUUUCCCUAAGCACGUAUGACUACACACGGAAUGCAUGCCUACAUCACAUUGACGAACGGGAGCUAGCCACAUAUCUCACCAUGUUAUAACUGUUGCAUGAUGAAUAUCAUCCAAAUGAAUCACCGACCCAUUGCCUACGAGUUCGUCCCACUGCUGUUGUUACUUGUUUUGCUCUGCUGCUGUUACUGCUGUUACUUGCUCUGCACUGCUGUUGUUACUAUUGUUGCUACUUGCUACUGCUGUCACUACUGUUGUUCCUUGCCACUGCUGCUACUCGUUACACUGCUACUACCUGCUACAAUUCUGGUUCGCUCGGCGUUGACGGGAAAAGACUAUUUCCGUCACUGGGCAACUUCUGGCGCCAUUGAUACGACAGUUAGGAAUAGUCUGCCGUCAACAGAUCGUUUCUGACACCGUUCUUAUCAUACUACUUUCCUGCUGAUACUUUGCUUGCAGAUACUAAUCUUUUAGGUGUGGUUGAAUCUGACAAAUUCAACUGCUAAUACUCGAGAGUAUUCUCUCACCUCCUGACUGGCGUACCAACAAAUUUGGGUCGAAUACUCUACCCUCGAAAACUGCCGCGAACCCACGCGCUCGUGGGCCAUUGCAAAACAAUUGCUAAUUGUUGAGCAACUGGGAGCAGUUCUGGCUCUGUUUUCGCGAAGGCAUCAACUCAGGGACUCAUCAACAACAUUCUUCUAGUGUCGUUGCCGGGGACUGCUAAGCAGCAUUUUUCUAGCGCCGUUGUCGGGGACUGCUAAGCAGCAUUUUUCUGGCGCCGUUGCCGGGGAGGUAUUGCUAUAUUCUCUGAGUCACUUGGGAUUUAUAUCUGCUGAUCACUAUGAAGAAUCUGAAGGAUCCAAAAACCAAAGUCUUUCCCUCAACUACGAGGGGAGGUAAGGAACUGCCAUCUAGCUCUGCACUUGAUUCACCUUCAGUUAUGAGUAAGUUUGCGACAUCACCUCCUGCUAGAAAUCUUGAUAUGUCGCGUGUGCUUGAUGAUGCUUAUGAUACUACUAUGCUUGAUGCUAUGCCUGAUACUGCUAGAGAUGCUAUGCCUGAUACUGCUAGAGAUGCUAUGCGUGAUACUUCUAGAGAUGUUAUGCCUGAUACUGCUUUGCCUGAUGAUGCUAGAGAUGCUAUUUUGCCUGAUGAUGCUAUGCUUGAUACUGCUAGAGAUACUACUUUGCCUGAUGUGCCACUAGGGGUAUUCCUUGAUACUCAUAUUGCUAGAGUUACUGCCAAUGCUCAUGAUGCUUCUGGAACUGCCAAUACUAUUGAGAUAGAACCUGCUUUUGCUCCUGCUAGAUCUAGCUCUCCUAGAUAUGAAUUGCCUGAUAUACCUGAGGAUUACGUUAUGGAGGGAGAGAUAGCUGAGGAUUUUCUUGUGUGUAAGGAUGCCUAUGACGCUCAGAAAUUACUUCUCAAGUGGAAGGAAAAAUCUCUAAAAGCUAGGAUGAAAUGCGACUUGAAGUUUGCCACAUAAACUAUCUUUAUCACCGAUAAGGAUUAUGAAUUCUCUGUCGAUCCUGAGAUAAUCUCUCUAGUCGAAUGUGAUCCUUUCCACGGUCGUAGCCCAUCUUACCAAACUACAUGAUAUAGUUACCCUUUUCACUAGUGAGGAGAAGAUCCGCCACUACUAUAUCCUUAAGUUGUUUCCUUUCUCUCUAAAGGAUGAUGCUAAAGCCUGGUUCACUUCUCUUGCUCCUGGAUGUGUGAGUAGUCCCCAGGAUAUGGUCUAUUACUUCUGUGAGAAAUAUUUCCCUGCCCAUAAGAAGCAAGCUGCCUUGCAGGAAAUAUACAACUUUGCUCAACUCAAAGAAGAGAGUCUCCCACAAGCUUGGGGGAGGCUCGUCCAGCUACAUAAUGCUUUGCUUGAUCACCCUCUUAAGAAGAACGAGAUACUUGAUAUCUUCUAUAACAGACUUACCGAUGAUUCUAGAGACCACCUAGAUAGUUGUGUCAGUUGUGUUUUUAGGGAACGAACUGUAGAACAAGCUGAGACUCUACUGAAUAACAUCUUGAUCAAUGAUAAUGCUUGGACUAUUCCCGAACCACCUCCUAAGCCAACUCCGAAGAAAAGAGGUAUUCUAUUCCUCAGUCCUAAAGAUAUGCAAGAAGCCAAGAAAACUAUGCAAGAGAAAGGCAUUAGAUCAGAAGAUGUCAAAAAUCUACCACCUAUCGAAGAGAUCCAUGGUCUCGAUAACCCGAUACAGGUAGUAGAAGUAAAUUCUCUGCGUAGGUUUGAUGAGAGUGAUAUUCCUUUUGAUAAACCUGCUAGCCUAUGCUUUGAUGAAUUUGACAACUUUGUUGCCAAACAACAGAGUUUCAAUGAUUAGGUUAUGAGACAUUUGGAACAAAGUACUCGUAUGCUUAGUCAUUUAAGUGCUUGGGUAGACAGAAAUGUCAAUGAUCUAAAGCUUCUGAGUAAACAUGCCUCUAUGAUUACUACUCAGGUAGAACAACUACUUAAAGCUCAGAAUGACCUGCUCAAUGAAUUAAAUGACAACUCUGUCAGAGUCGUUACUAGAGGAGGCAAAAUGACUCAGGAAUCUUUGUAUCCUGAAGGUCAUCCUAAGAGAAUCUAUCAAGAUUAUCAAGGAAUUAAUGCAGAUGCACCCAGUCAUCCUAAGGAGAAGAAGAAGGAUGAUAGAAACAUGCAUGUUAGUUCACCAAAUACUAUCACACCUGAAGAACCAAAUGAUAUUUCUGCGUCUGAUGCAGAAACACAAUCUAGUGAUGAACAUGAACCUGGUGACAAUAUGGACAGCGAUGUUCAUAAUGAUGCUCAACCUAGCAAUGAUGAGGAUGUGGAGAUUGAACCUACGGUUAAUCCUGAUAACCCACAACCUAAGAGAUAUGAUAAGAAUGACUUCACCUCUAGGAAGCAUGGUAAAGAAAGGGAGCCAUGGGUUCAGAGACCUGUGCCCUUUCCUCCUAAGCCAUCCAAGAAAAAGGAUGAUGAGGAUUUUGAGCGCUUUAUUGAAAUGAUAAGUCCCGUCUUUGUGCAGAUGCGGUUAGAUGAUAUGCUCAAAAUGUCUCCGUAUGCCAAGUACAUGAAAGAUAUCGUGACCAAUAAACAGAAGAUACCAGAUCUUGAGAUCUCCACCAUGCUUGCCAAUUACACUUUCAAAGGUGGAACUCUUAAGAAACUUGGUGAUCCCGGAGUGCCCACUAUACCUUGCUCCAUAAAAGGAAACUACGUAAGAACUGCCUUAUGUGACCUUGGAGCCGGAGUUUGUGUUAUGCAUCUCUCUCUCUUUAUCGUAGACUUGAACUGGAUAAGUUGACACCCACUGAAAUCUAUCUGCAAAUGGCCGACAAGUCAACUGCUUUCCCUGUCGGCAUUUGUGAGGAUGUGCCUGUUGUGGUUGCUAACACCACCAUCUUAACGGACUUUGUUAUCUUAGAUAUUCCCGAGGACGAUGCCAUGGCUGUCAUCCUUGGAAGACCCUUUUUAAACACUGUAGGGGCUGUUAUAGAUUGCAACAAAGGCAAUGUCACUUUCCAUGUCAAUGGUAAUGAGCAUACCGUGCACUUUCUGAAGAAACGAUAUCAAGUACAUUGCGUCAAUGCUAUCGAAAAAACUUCAUCGAUUCUUAUUGGGAGCUUUGAAUGCCCUAUUCCUCGUGUCAAGAUGAAGUAUGAAUUGCUUGUUGGGGAGAUUCAUAUCCCCAUUGAGGUGACUUGGCGGCUAUUUGAAAAUUCUCCGUUCUCUCUUGCGAUUCGAGAAAGUUUUGUCAUAAGGAUUUGAUCAACCCCAUUGACGGAUUUCUUUCGGUGACCAUGAAAUGGAUGAAUCAAAGAGUCACUUACCUCUGUUUUAAGCUUUCACUUUAUUUUUGCUUAGAAGAAAAAUGAUAGGUUUAGUUCAGUUUUUCCUGUCUUCUAUUUAAGCGUCCCAGAGAAAAAUACCCCAGAAAAAAAAGUUCUCCGAUGGUCCUGAAAAUCUAGUAUGAUUUUUUCUGGAAUAUUUGAAAAAUAUUGGGAUAGAGAGCUGGCCUCGGGGCCACCCCAGUUGGCCACAAGCCCUGUCACCGCGGCCACCCCCCUGGCCGCGGCAAGCAAGCUUGUGGGGCCCACAGGGGCCCCCUCCACUCACUCCAGCUCCCAUCCUCUUCUUUUUCCUCCAGAAAAAAAAUGUGUCGCAGCUCAAACCCGUGUUCUUUCUCAUUUGGCUGUGAUUUUUGAUCUCCUUUCUCAAAGCAUCAUUCUCCGAACCGUUUUGGGGAAAUUACUCCUUGGUAAGUGACUAAUCCAUUGGUCGAAUUAGUUUUUGCUCUAGUGCUUUAUCCUUCGCGUAUUCUUGCUACCUUGGUGACCCUAUUCUUGAGCUUGAAAUGUUGAUUUUAGCUGGUCCCAAGUAGUUUUAGCGCGUGAUACGGUCUCUAGGCACUAGUUGGAGUAGUUGCUACAAGGUGUGGUUGGUCUUUAUUCACUUUUCUCUUGAACUUCAAAAUUUCAGCAAAGAGAAAUUAUGUUCAGGAGGAAGUUUCAUGGUGGUUCCUCAAGUAAGAAGGGUCCCCGUCUUUCUUUUCGGGAGCCUGAUCCUUAUCAACUAAGGGACGCACCGGUACAACCAUGUGAAUGGCCUUCCGAUGAGUUCAUGAUCGAAGCAGGCUUCAAGGAUGAGUUUGAUACACUUGUCCGCAAUGCCGGGUUAGCAGAAUUCCUCUCAGAUAAAUGUGAACCGUAUAAUAUGCUCACUGCCUCUUUCGUGCGUAGAUUUAAUUUUUUAGUUGGCCGUGACUCAUCCAUACUGUUUUAUUUGUAUGAUAAAUCCUAUGCCAUGGAUUUGGAGGAUUUCAAUAGGAUUUGCAAAAUACCCGAUGGGGGUAAUCUUAAAGAUCCUGCUAAAUCUUCGGUUAGAGAUUUUUUUUCUCUAGUAUAUUUGUUGGAGAAACUAGAGACAUCACGCAAGCUACCAUAGGAAGCAUUCAUUUCCUUGCCUUGCACUACUUUGCCCUCUUCAUAGGUAGAUGCAUUAACGGUAAGGUUGAACAUUGUCACCUAUGCGCAUCCGACCUUAGUAUCCUUAAGAGCGCGGUUACGGGUGACAAAAGCUUCAACAUGGGAGCUAUUAUAGCAAGGAGGCUGAAUAAGAAUGCUAUUGAGGGAGAUUUCUUUGGCGGCAUCUAUGCCACUCGCAUAGCAAAUUUUCUUGGAGUACCCAUCUGCGCAGGAGAUCCCCCGCUCCAUUCAGCUUUCCUUAACUGCGUCGCUCUGACACGCUACCAGUUUCUUGAGAGGGAUGAUGAAUCCCUCCUAUACCGAUUGAUAUUUAACCGGCAGCGUGUCUUCCAUAUUAACCUUCCUGCUCCUUCUUUCUUUGACUUUCAGGUAAAACGGAGAUACUACAUAACCAUGAGAUAGGCAAAGGAGUAUGAGAGGGAGGCGACGGCUGCUCGUCUUCGUGAGGUAGCUAUUCAGGCAGUGGCUGCAAGGCUCCCGUAUAACCCCGAUUAUGAUUUUGGAUUUCGACAGGACCGUCCUUGGGAGUAGACCAAGCUAGGCCAAAAUCCUAAGCUUGGGGGAGUACGUGUUCUCACCGACCUUACGUUCAUGCUUAUGCUUUCACUUUGUCCGUCGGUGUUUACACUUUGCCACUAUAUUAUCCAUGCUAGUUUAUUUUCGUUUUCUUGUUUUCUUGUUUUCUGUCCUUUUGAGAAAACCCAAAAAGAUUUUCCUUUCUUCUUUUGCUUGUUAGGAGCUUUCCCGUGUAAAUAGUUUUCUUUUUGUCUGGGUCAACGUAGAAGAUAUUGGUUACAAUGUUUCGUGGCUCUUGCAUGCAUACCUGUUUAGCUUUCAAAGAGCCAUAUUACUUUGUCUUAUCCUUUGUGUUUGCCUGCAGAUUCAGCUUAGUCCAAUGCACGAGCACGCGUAUUAUUGUUCACAUCGUUCGAUCGUGCAAGUGAAAGGCAAUAAUGAUGAUAUAUGAUGAAGUGACUCAGACUGGAAAAGCUGGUAUGAACUCGAUCUAUUUUGUUUUUGUAAAUAUGACUAGCUUGUCGUCCCAGAUUCAGCUUUGUCGUGAAAGAACCAUGUUUGCAAUGACAACUUAGAGAUCAUAGUUUCUGAUGCCAUGCUUAUUUAGCUAGGAGCUUAUAAUGGUUUGUCUUGAAUGCCAACAUAGAUUUUGAGAUGACUAUGAUGUAGUAUGAUAGGAUGGUAUUCUCCUUUGAAUGAUUCAAGUGGCUUUACUUGGCGCAUGUUCAUGCAUGUAGUUGAAACAAAAUCAACAUAGCCUCUAUGAUGUUCGUGUUCAUAGUGAUUUAUAUCCUGUUCAUAAUUGCAUUCCAUGUUAGUCAAACUCAUUGCAUCUUGAUGACUAUUGUCGCUCUCUAGUUGGUCGCUUCCUAGUCUUUUGCUAGCCUUCACUUGUACUAAGCGGAAUACUGCUUGUGCAUCCACUUCCAUAAACCCAAAAGUUUUUCCAUGAGAGUCCACCAUACCUACCUAUGUGUGGUAUUUACCUGCCGUUCCAAGUAAAUUUGCAUGUGCCAUUCUCUAAACCUUCAAGAAAUAAUCUGUAUUGCAUGCCCGAACCGCUCAUGUGGUGAUAGGGGGCUAUUGGUAUCUUCCAUAUUAGGUGUGUUAUCCUCGACAUGUGUUUAUUCACUGUCAUUCACGAGAAAGGGGCCGGUAAUUGGAAUACACAGUUCCACGCUUAAAUCGAAAACAUAACUGUAAAACAAGACUCCCCCUGGAUUGAUGUUAGUAUGGACGGUACCCGAGGAUUCGGCUAGCCGUGGAGUGUGAUUGAUUAGUGAUGGGGAGUUAAAACUUUACUUUUCUGUUUGGGAACCGCCUAUAGCAUGAGUAGCGUGGAAGAUAUUGAGAACUCUUGGUCAUUGCAUUGACAAUGAAAGCAUGCCACCCAAAAUUAUUACCUCUGUUUUCAAAGCUUGAGCUCUGGCACCUGUGCAAAUCAAUGCUUCCCUCUGCGAAGGGCAUGUCUAUUUAUUUUCCUGUUGAGUCAUCCUCUUCUUAUAUAAGCACCAAUUAGAGAGCACCUCCGUCAUUUUUAUGAUUUGCUUUUGAUUGAUAUUGAGUAUGACUAUGACUCGAUCUUCGUUGCUAUGAAUUACAAUGUUUAGUCAGCCCUUGAUCUUUGAAAGUGAUGUGCAUUUUUGUUUUGCGGUCUCAGAAAGAGCUAGCGAGAUACAACCUAUUCAUAUUGCUUCAUGCUUGUUUUGAUUGAAUUGUUGGUAUCUGAAACUCAUUAUUAUUUGCUCGCUAGCUGAUUAUGCCAUUGAUAUUAGUUUACCGUGAGACCUUUGUGUCACUUGCUUAUGUGGUUAACUUGUCAUCUUGCUGAAAUUCUGGUUAUGAGUUAGACAUAGUUGCAACAACAAGAUCAAACAGAGUUUGUCAAAGUUUUUAUUUCUCUUUCAGUUUGUCAAUUGAGUUGCUUGAGGACAAGCAAGGUUUUAAGCUUGGGGGAGUUUGAUACGUCUCCAUCGUAUCUACUUUUCCAAACUCUUUUGUCCUUGUUUUGGACUCUAAUUUGCAUGAUUUGAAUGGAACUAACCCGGACUGAGGCUGUUUUCAGUAGAAUUGCCAUGGUGUUGUUUUUGUGCACAAAUGAAAGUUCUCGGAAUGUCCUGAAAAUUUACGAAGAAUUUUUCUGGAAAAUAUGAAAAAUACCUGCGCAAAGAUCCACCGGAGGGGAUGGGCCAGUGGGCCACAAGCCCUGUUGUCGCGGCCACCCCCCUGGCCGCGGCAACCAAGCUUGUGGGGCCCAAGUGGCUCUGCCGCCCCCAAACUCAGCUUUAUAAAUUCACUUUCGCCCAGAAAAAAAUCAGAAGAGAAGAUUUCGUUGCGUUUGCGAUACGGAGGCGCCGCCACAUCCCGUUCUUCAUCUGGAGGACAGAUCUGGAGUCCGUUUUGGGAUCCGGAGAGGGGAAAUCAUCGCCAUCGUCAUCAUCAACCUUCUUCCCUCUCCAAUUCCAUGAAGCUCUUCAUCGUUUGUGAGUAAUCUAUUCGUAGGCUCGCUGGGCGGUGAUGAGUAGGAUGAGAUCUAUCAUGUAAUCGGGUUAGUUUUGACGGGGAUUUAUCCCUAGUAUCCACUAUGUUCUGAGAUUGGUGUUGCUACUACUUUGCCAUGCUUAAUGCUUGUCACUAGGGCCCAAGUGCCAUGAUUUCAGAUCUGAAAUUAUUAUGUUGUCACCAAUAUAUGCGUGUUUUAGAUCCGAUCUUGCAAGUUGUAGGUACCUACUAUGUGUUAUGACCCGGCAACCCCGGAGUGACAAUAACCGGAACCACUCCUGGUGAUGACCAUAGUUUGAGGAGUUCAUGUGUUCACCAAGUGCUAAUGCCUUGUUCCGGUUAUUUAUUAAAAGGAGAACCUUAAUAUCCUGUAGUAUCCUUUUGGACCACGCUGCCACGGGAGGGAUGGACAAUAGAUGUCAUGCAAGUUCUUUUCCCUAAGCACGUAUGACUACACACGGAAUGCAUGCCAACAUCACAUUGACGAACGGGAGCUAGCCACAUAUCUCUCCAUGUUAUAACUGUUGCACGAUGAAUAUCAUCCAAACGAAUCACCGACCCAUUGCCUAUGAGUUCGUCCCAAUGUUGUUGUUACUUGUUUUGCUCUGCUGCUGUUACUGUUGUUACUUUCUCUGCACUGCUGAUGUUACUAUUGUUGCUACUUGCUACUGCUGUCACUACUGUUGUUCCUUGCCACUGCUGCUACUCGUUACACUUCUACUAGCUGCUACAAUUCUGGUUCACUCGGCGUUGACGGGGAAAAGACUAUUUCCAUCAACGGGCAACUUCUGGCGCCAUUGAUACGACAGUUAGGAAUAGUGUGCUAUCAACAGAUCGUUUCUGACACCGUUGUUAUCAUACUACUUUGCUGCUGAUACUUUGCUUGCAGAUACUAAUCUUUCAGGUGUGGUUGAAUCUGACAAAUUCAGCUGCUAAUACUCGAGAGUAUUCUCUCACCUCCUGACUGGCGUACCAACAAAUUUGGGUCGAAUACUCUACCCUCGAAAACGGUCGCGAACCCACGCGUUGGUGGGCCAUUGCAAGACAAUUGCUAAUUGUUGAGCAACUGGGAGCAGUUCUGGCUCUGUUGUCGCGAAGGCAUCAAGUCAGGGACUCGUCAACAACAUUCUUCUAGUGUCGUUGCCGGGGACUGCUAAGUAGCAUUUUUCUGGCGCCGUUGCCGGGGACUGCUAAGCAGGCCGCGGCCCCUGGGCUUGUGGCUUCCUGGUGGGUCCCUCCGGUACUUCUUUCGCCCAUUAUUUUUUAUGAAAUCUAAAAUUGUUCUUUGUAACUUUUCAGGACAUUUGGAGCUAUCCAGAAUAGAUCUCUCAGAUUUGCUCCUUUUCUAGUCCAGAAUUCCAGCUGUCGGCAUUCUCCCUCUUCAUGUAAAUCUUGUAAAAUAAUAUAGAAAAGGCAUAAGUAUUGUACCAUAAUGUGUAAUAACAGCCCAUAAUGCAAUAAAUAUUGAUAUAAAAUCCUGAUGCAAAAUGGACGUAUCAACUCCCCCAAGUUUAGACCUAGCUUGUCCUCAAGCGAAAGCGGGGAUCAAUAAAUAUGCCCACAUGUUUAUAGAUAGAGGUGUCGGUAAAAUAAAAUACGUACAUAAGGGCAUCAUGAUUAUCUUUAGAACAGAAAUACACAUUGACAUAGAGUAUCUUAUACUGAAGUAACAAUUCAUUCACAAGACAAAAUAUGCAUCAGGAACUCUAUUGAGAACUAACAAACUAUGAUUUCAGUCAUUGAAGCAAUUCCAAUUUAUUGCAACAUAGGAAAGAGUCAAUAUAAGAGCUUGUAAAGAAAAUCCACGUACUCAAUCAUCUUAUAGUCUUUCAUAAUUGCUAACACUCGUGCGGUACCUAUGAGGUCAAAGCUUCAAUCGGACACGGAGAAAGAUAGGGUCCUAUAUUUUUGCCUGCCAACUAUUUACCUCAAGGGUAAUGUCAACAAUAAUAACUCAUGAUCACCCACAUCCGAGUGGAUAUAUUUGUCUAGAUCAUUCCCCAACACAUGACGUUUGCCAAAAGAUAAAGGAAAAAUAAAGGACAUGGUCAAGAUCACCAGGACUCUUACAUAAAGGUAAGUACUUCGAAAGUAAAAGUAAAAGAUAGGCCCUUCGCAGACGGAAGCAAAGGUUGUCAUGUGCCUUUAUAGUCGGAUGCACAAUCUCUUAAUGCAAAAGAACGUCACUUUAUAUUGCCCCUUGUGAUAAUGAACUUUAUUAUGCAGUCUGUCGCUUUUAUUUCUUCUAUAUCACAAGUUUGUAUAAAGUUUAUUUUCCUCGCACUAAUAAACCACACAUAUUUAAGGAGCAACUUUUAUUGCUUGCACUGAUGACAACUUACAUGAAGGAUCUUCCUCAAUCGAUAGGUAGGUAUGGUGGACUCUCAAGGCAAAACCGGGUUAAAGGUUUUUGGAUGCACAAGUAGUAUCUCUAGUUGGUGUGGGAGUUUCUUUUGGCUAAUAUGAGGUGGAAUCAAGAGACACAUGUUGAAGGAUCUAUAACCAUAUAACUUCUAUUCGGAAAAAAGAAAACAUAACUCAUUAUGUUGUCUUCCUUGUCCAACAUCAACCUUUCAGCAUAUAAUAUUUUAAUGAAUGCUCACAAUCACAAAAGAUGUCUAAGAUAAUAUAUUUAUAUGUGAACCUCUCUUUCUUUAUUACUUCCUCAUAAUUGCAACAAUGACCAAAAGCUUUGUUUGUCAACUCACAACAAAUUUUAGUUAACAUACUUAUUAUACGUGAAGUCAUCACUCCCCAUAAGAUCAUUAUGUAUGCUCUAUUGCUUUUAUUCUAUACUUUUUUCUAUUUCUUUAUCUCAAGAUCAUAGUAAGCAAGCAAAGCCCUUAAUUCAAAACUACUCUUUAUUAUAUAACUCUCGGACUUGCUUACAUAGGGGGAACAAAAAGAAAAAUCAAAACUAGAUCACAAUAAAACUUUAUUCUACUAGAAAAAGAUAUAACUAAAAGGAUCGAACGAAGAUAAAUAAAAGAAAACAAGAAACUAAAAAGGUGUGAUGAUGAUACGAUACCGGGGCACCUCCCCCAAGCUUGGUACAAGCCAAGGGGAGUGCCCGUACCCAUGUGUUUAGUUGUCUUCCUUCGGAGGUGGUGAUGUUGGAGUUGUUGGUGAGGUUGAAGGUUUAUCCUCCGUCUUCCAAGGCAUGGGUACACCAUCGUGAAAAGAUGAAAUAGUCUCUGGGACCCUCAAUCCUACAGCCAAACCCAUUUUCUUAAAUUUGCAUUCAUACUCACGGUUUGGUUUUGCAGUUCAUAGAUCUGUGCUUGGAGGUGCUCGAUUUUCUCGUAAAUCUUGAAGAUGUGAUCCCAGAGGUCCUUGGCGUCCAUCUUGUGCUUAUGGGUAAACUCCAUGAUCAUCAGGUGGUUGGCAUUAAGUCCUCGUUCCACCAUCCCAUGGCACUUCAAGACUUGUGGCUCCAUCGCUUUGAGCCUUGUCUCCACGCUUCCGGUCUUCUUUGGCCCCUUCACAUUACGGAUGUGCAGCACCCCCUCAUGCAUCUCAAUGGUUUGAGGGUGUCGUAGCACCUCCGAAAGGUAGAGGUUGAUGACCCUCUCAAAGAACUUAUCCUUUAGGGAACUUGAAGACGUCAUGUUGGUCUAAAUCUGUUACAGAAACAGCUCGAAACAAAAACAGGAGAUAUUGUCGUGAUAUAGAGGUCAAAACCUUUGGGAGAUUAUGUAAUGAAUUUUUGCUGACCUGAAGUAGUACUCCACUAGAAAACGGAGUCUGGAGGGUGCAUGGGGUGGCCACAAGCCUGCAGGGCGCGGCCAGGGGGGGUAGGUCGCGCACCUCGGGCUUGUCGCCUCCUCGUGCACGCUUCGGUCUACUUUAAUUUUUCCUAAUUUUUAAAAUAUUCCAAAACUGGUAAAAAUUUCCAUUGAAAACAUUUUGGAGUCGGUUUUAUUACUAUAGCACAUACCUACUAUUUUUCGGGGUCCGAGGCGUUCUGAUAGGUCUCCUUAAUGUACUCUUUCGGAGUUAUGGUAUUGAUAAUAUUAUUUCAACGUUUAUUGGAGUACCUGAGAUAUAAUGUUUGAUUCUUUGCCCAUUUACCACCUUCGUAUUUGUGCCUUCAGCGUUUGAUGAGGACUUGACUACCUUUGAUAUUAUCACAAUCAUUGCAUAUGUGUAUUUAUUUGAGGUUAUUUCUGAUAAAACUCAUGCAAUAAUUUGUUUAUGUUCUUCGGAACAAAAAUACUUCACCUAUUUUUAUUUUAUGCCUAAAUGCAGAAUGACCAAACGCUUGUAUGAAUCACGUGCUAUGACAAGGGAAGAGUAUAUGGUUGGAUGCUAUUCAAGAGGUCCUCUCAUGUCAAAGGAAAUAAUUAGUUGUUGUUAAAGAAGUUCUCUCACGUCACUUUUAGCCCAAGAGAAGAUAGAGUCCAAGUCUUUCACGUUCUGGACUCAGAUUCGGACUGCACAAACAUACAUGUACCAAAACACUUUCAACUUUUUCAUCCGGACUCCGAAUUGCGUGAUUCUUUUUGGGCUACAAAAUAGAUUUAACUCGCUUUCAGGUCCAAUUGACUCACCUUCAAAUUCGUCCGGAGCGUGGAGAUCUCGACCAGAAAAAAUGACGUUGCACCAGAAUCUGAGUCAAACAACAAGUCCGAAGGUGUUGCACCACCUCCACUUGGGCCCAUAGGCCUUGUACGGCCUAGGGUUAGUUUUAGGAUGCCUUGGGAUGUCCUCCCACCUCCUUGGCCGCCAUCCCUUGCUCCUACAUAAUUAGAUCAACCUAUUAGCUUUUUGCUUGGGAUUUGUUUAGUUAAAAGUUAGCCAUUGCAACUUCGUGUACUUCGUUUGUGUCCAACGACCAGACUAAGACCGCUUUCGGAUCCCCAUCUUUAUCAAUACUCCAUCUAUAUUCGCAAUAUUCAGAUUGCAAUAUCAUAUUGUUGCUUGUUCUUCAAUUGCUUGCAGGAAUAGACCUUCGUGGUCAGGUUGAUCGUGCUCCGGCGUGGUCAAUAACCUUUUGGAGAUUGGUUUAGCGAUUGCUAAGGCGCGACGUUGUGCACGUUUGUAGUCAGAUUGUCAAAGUCAUCUCCACCAAAUUGAAAGUUAUCAUCUCAGGGAAAGAUCGGGCCCGUCGCCUAUAUCAAGUGCUUUAUCAAGUCGUAUCAGUUUUCAGGUUGCUCGGUGAGAAUUUCGAGUUAUCCCUAUAUUAGAUUUAUUUUUCUUACCUAUUACCCAAGAAAAACCACAAAAAAUGACUUAGAUCUAGUCAUCCUUUGUCCAAGCCAGUCUGAGCCUUUGCAAUUUUCCUUUUAGUGCUUGCAUAGUUGAAUUAUUGGUUGCAUCGUCGUGUCAAGUUGCUGGUCUUAGCGUCUAGUCUUUUUAGAGUUUCGAGUUCUGUUCACAAGUUGUCACGUUGCCGCUGCACCAUCUUCAUCAUUGCUUUCAUAUACCACCACCGCGCCACCGUCAUCCCUUCUGUUGUCGCCCACCCUCAUCCAUCAAUAUUCACCACGUGCUUCAAUUGUUCAUUGUCAUUAUCAUACUUGAGGUCAUUCGCAUCUGUACUUGAUCCAAUCUACAUCUUAAUUGGUUGUUUGAGAGAAGAGAAAAAAAAGUGAGAGCAAAAAAAAUUGAGGAAAAAAAGAAAAAAGUAGAGUGAAAAAAAAAGAGAGAAUAAGAAAAAAUAACAAAUUUCGGAUCCAUCUAGAGUCAAUCCCGUAUGUGAAUUCGCAUUGAAAACUCUUUUGUGCACUGUUCAGUAAAAUAGGUGUAUCUUCCUCAUACGAUGUCCGUUUUGGCUCCGCGACUACUCAAAUCCAAGCUAUUGACGAGACGCAUCUGAAUAGUUGAUGAAGCUAGUUCAUUAUUGUCACCUCCAAAUCGUCUUAUAAAUAGGACUUUUUUCCCUUCGAAUGUCAGGAACACAGUUUGUCAAUAUUUUUCAGGUUUGUUCCCGAAUUUUUUGAGUCCUCAUACGAUCUCGGAAUUGAGUGAUUCUUUUUGCAUUGGAAAGCUUGAGUCAGUAGUAUUCUUGAGAAAAAAUAUCAGAAAUUUCACAUAAUAUUUUCAAGAGAGAAGUUCUAGAGAUAGUUUUGGUUUAUCUUGUUUGGGGUCAUUUAUCAUCACUAUAUUUACUGCCAUUGUGAUCUUCACUUAUAUCUUCCUAUCCAGAGCUACUUCAUAUCAUCCAUUGAUGCUAUUUAUGAUUUGACGUGACUCCAUUAGUGUUCUAGACUCGCGUCUCUAGUACGGUCUAGCAUAGGACCAGCACAGUACCGUCGUUGAGCGUUUAUUCAACAUUGCAUCUCUGAAUUGAUUAUUGCUAAUAUUUUGCUACCAUACAUUAAGCCUUCCUAACUCCACAUAUUUCUACACCGUGUAUACAUACGUUUACCUGGUAAUCGUUUUCCUCAAACUUCGGAGAUAUUAACACCGUCGGUUGCCGGUCACCGCCUGCUGCAUGGUAAGAAUUUGUAAGACAUUGAUAUUUGCUUUACUGUGAGCGUUUUACCACCACAUCCUCGUAGUUCAUAGGAACAAUAUUCUUGGAUUUUUGUUUCUUGUUUAUACUAGUCAUGACAGGAUCCAGAGUUUUCAGUUCAUGGGCUUCUUCGAUGGUGGGAGACGUGCCACCACAACAACUGUUACGAGAGGUGCAGAGAGAUACAAAUGCACAUCAUGAGGUUAAUGUUUCUAUACCACCAUUUAAUGGACGUUUUAGACCUGCUUUAUAUAUUGAAUGGGAAUUUGAAAUAAAUGAUAUAUUUGCUUCCCAUAAUUUUGCUGAACAUAAGAAAGUUAAGGUCGCGGUUGGUUCUUUCACCGGUUAUACUUCAGUUUGGUGGAGCGAAUAUUGUCGGUUACACCCUGGUUAUAGACCUACUACUUGGUAUGAUUUGAAACUUGCCAUGAGACACGCAUUCGUUCCUACUUAUUAUACUCGUGGCAUGAUUAAAAAGCUACAACAUUUAAAACAAGGUAGUGACACCGUAACAAAAUAUUAAGAUGAUUUACAAACAACCUUGUUGCAUUCCUCAUUAGAAGAAAGUGAACAAGAUUUUAUGGAUAGAUUUUGGGGAGGGUUAAACCAUGAUAUUCAGGAGAUACUAAUUCAUGAAAAGUGUUAUCCUAUGGAUCGUUUGUUUCGUCUUGCUUGCAAAGAUGAAGAGGAAAUAAAACGACGUAUUGCCCAAGAGGAUAAGGAGCACAAGGUGCUUAUUCCAAGAGUUGAUAUGGUUGUUCCUUCAACUACUGGGCGUACGAUGACAACCACAUAAAUUGUUGUGAGGGAUACAUCACCUUCACCAUGUGACAUGUUACCAUCGAGAGUGCCUAUAUCAUCAGAGUUGAUCAUAAGAGGUAAUGAAAAAGGUACCUAUCUUCCACCUCCACAUGAGUAUGAUGAAUGCCUUGUCAAUUGCAAUGUACACUGUGAUGAGCCACAUAUUGCUUUGAUCAAACCACAUAUUUUAGAGAACUAUGUUGAUGAUUUGACUUUGCCGUGUGCUCAAACAACUACAAUAUCAACAAUUUUGAGUGCACCCAUUGAAUUAACUAUUGUUGAGAAAGAACCAUGUGAAAGAGGAAAUAAAUCAAAUUUGGAUCAAAUAUGUUUGAAAAUAAUUGUGCCAAUGUUUAAUCAUUCUGAUAUGAUCUCCAAUCUUGAUGAUGAUUCUAUGUCAAAUGACAUGUUGCAUGAUUGCUUAGUUCAGCCUGUUGUAGCAUGUACAUUUGAAACAAUUCAAUUUUCUUCACCAGUGUUAGGAUGGUAUAGUGAUGAGCAUUGUCAACCUUUUGGUAUAAAUAAGAGCUUCACUUAUAUAUGCAAACUGAGUUGCAAUAUUUUCAUGCUUUCUACUUCUUGUGAUGAUAUUUUGACUUUAUAUUUCAUAACAUAUGAAAGUUACUCAUGUAUACAUGUGGCAUAUGUGCAAAAACCAAGGGAAGUAAAAAUAGAUGAUAUAUACAUAUACAACAUGUACACCUUGUCUCUUUUGUUAGCCAAAUUUCAGAUUAAGCAGCGUCGAGGACGGCUUUAUUUUCAAAAAGGUGAGGAUGAUGAGGACAUGACUACCUUUGAUAUUAUCACAGUCAUUGCAUAUGCGUAUUUAUUUGAGGUGAUUUCUGAUAAAACUCAUGCAAUAAUUUGUUUAUGUUAUCCGGAACAAAAAUACUUCACCUGUUUUUAUUUUAUGCCUAAAUGCAGAAUGGUCGAACACUUGUAUGAAUCACGUGUGAUGACAAGGGAAGAGGAAAUGGUUGGAUGUUAAUCAAAAGGUCCUCUCAUGUCAAAGGAAAUAAUUAGUUGUUGUUCAAGAAGCUCUCUCUCAUCACUUUUAGCCCAAGAGAAGAUAGAGUCCAAGUCUUUCACGUUCUCGACUCAGAUUCGGACUGCACAAACAUAUCUGUACCAAAACGCCUUCAACUUUUUCAUCCAGACCCCGAAUGGCGUGAUUCUUUUUGGGAUGCAAAGUAGAUUUUACUGAAUUUCAGACCCAAUUGGAAUCACCUUCAAAUUCGUCCGGAGCGUGGAUAUCUCGACCAAACAAAAUGACGUUGCACCAGAAUCCGAAUCAAACAACAAGUCCAAAGGUGUUGCACCACCUCCACUUGGGCCCAUAGGCCUUGUACGACCUAGGGUUAGUUUUAGGCUGCCUUGGGAUGUCCUCCCACCUCCUUGGCUGCCACCCCUUGAUCCUAUAUAAGUAGGUCAACCUAGUAGCUUUUUAUUGGGAUUUGUUUAGUUAAAAGUUAGCCAUUGCAACUUUGUGUACUUCGUUUAUGUCCAACGACCAGACUAAGACCGCUUUCGGAUCCCCACCUUUAUCAAUACUUCAUCUAUAUUCACAAUAUUUAGAUUGCAAUAUCAUAUUCUUGCUUGUUCUUCGAUUGCUUGCAGGAAUAGACCUUCGUGGUCAGGUUGAUCGUGCUCCGGCGUGGUCAAUAACCUCUUGGAGAUUGGUUUAGCGAUUGUUAAGGCGUGACGUUGUGCACGUUUGUAGUCGGAUCGUCAAAGUCAUCUCCACCAAAUCGAUAGUUAUCAUCUCACCGAAAGAUCGGGCCCCUCGCCUAUAUCAAGUGCUUUAUCAACGUUGUUGAUCUUGAUGGCACCGGAACGAUAUACUUCCUCGAUAAUGUAAGGACCUUCCAAUUUAGAUAGAAGUUUUCCUGCAAAAAAUCUUAAACGGGAGUUGUAUAGCAAGACAAAAUCACCUACUUUGAAUUCACGCUUUUGUAUCCUUAUGUCAUGCCAUCUCUUAAUAUUUUCUUUAAACAACUUGGCAUUCUCAAAGGCCUGGGUUCUCCAUUCAUCAAGUGAGUUAAUGUCAAAUAACCUCUUCUCACCGACAAGUUUAAAAUCAUAAUUAAGCUCUUUAAUUGCCCAAUAUGCUUUAUGUUCUAGCUCUAGAGGUAAGUUACAUGCUUUACCAUAAACCAUUUUAUAAGGUGACAUACCCAUAGGGUUUUUGUAAGCAGUUCUAUAAGCCCAUAAUGCAUCGUCAAGUUUCUUAGACCAAUUAUUUCUAGAUCUAUUAACAGUAUUUUGCUAAAUCAAUUUUAUUUCUCUAUUGUUCGAUUCUACUUUCCCACUAGACUGAGGAUGAUAAGGAAAUGCAACUCUAUGAUUAACAUCAUACCUAGCAAGCAAUUUACGAAAACCACCAUAAAUAAAGUGUGAACCACCAUCAGUCAUUAAGUAUCUCGGGACUCCAAAUCUAGAAAAAAUAACUUCCUUCAACAUUUUAAUAGAAGUGUUAUGAUCAAAACAACUAGUUGGAAUAGCUUCUACCCACUUAGUAACACAAUCAACAGGAACUAGAAUAUGAUUAUACCCGUUGGAUUUUGGAAAAGGUCCCAUAUAAUCAAAAUCCCAAACAUCAAAUGGUUCAAUAAAUAAAGAGUAAUUCAUAUGCAUUUCCUGACGUCUACUAAUAUUACCUAUUCUUUGACAUUCAUCACAAGAAAAGACAAACUUACGAGCAUCCUUGAAGAGAGUAGGCCAAUAAAAACCAGAUUACAGUACCUUGUGUGCAGUUCUAUAUCCAGCGUGGUGUCCUCAGUAGGCCUCAGAGUGACACUUGUGAAGGAUCUGUCUUUCUUCAUGAUCAGGUACACAACGUAUAAUAAUACCAUCUACUCCUUGUUUAUAAAGGUGUGGAUCGUCCCAAAAGUAAUGACUUAAACCAUGGCAGAACAUUUUAUUUUGUUGAUAUGUGAAACUAAGAUGUAUAAAUUUAGCAACAAUGUAAUUAGCAUAAUCAGCACACCAAGGAGCAUUGCGUGAAGCAUUUAUAAUAGCUAGUUGUUCAUCAAGAAAGUUAUCAUCAAUAGGAAGAGGGUCAUCAAGAACAUUCUCUCAUCUAGACAAGUUAUAUGCUAUGGGGUUAUCAGCGCCCUUUCCAUCAAUAAUAUGCAAAUCAAAUUCUUGUAGCAGAAGAACCCAUCUAAUACGUCUAGGCUUAGCAUGUUUCUUUUCCAUAAGGUACGUAAUAGCAGUGUGAUCAGUGUGAACAGUUACUUUGGAGUCAACAAUAUAAGGUCUAAACUUAUCGCAAGCAAACACAACUGCUAAAAAUUUCUUUUCAGUGGUAGCGUAGAUUCUUUGAGAAUUGUCUUGAGUUUUACUAGCAUAAUGGAUAACAUUUAAUUUCUUAUCAACUCUUUGUACUAGAACAACACCAACAUCAUAAUCACUAGCAUCACACAUAAUUUCAAAGGGUAGAUUCCAAUCAAGUGGUUGAACAACAGGUGCAGUUAUCCAGGCUUUCUUAAGAAUUUCAAAAACUUCUACACAAUCAUCAUCGAAAACGAAUGGAAUAUCCUUUUCCAAAAGAUUUGUGAGAGGCUUAGAAAUUUUAGAAAAGUCUUUAAUAAAUCUCCUAUAGAAACCAGCAUGACCAAGUAAACUUUUUAUACCUUUAAUAUCUGUUGGACACAGCAUUUUUUCAAUAGCAUCAACUUUAGCUUUGUCAACUUCAAUGCCUCUUUCGCAGAUUUUGUGUCCCAAGACAAUGCCUUCAUUAACCAUAAAGUGGCACUUCUCCCAACUCAAGACAAGAUUAGUUUCUUCACAUCUCUGCAAAACUCGAUCAAGGAAUAUAGCCAUCAUACAUCUUUGAAAGGUAGCAGGUGCAUUGCAUAAACCAAAAGGAAUACGUCUAUAAGCAAAGGUACCGAAGGGGCAAGUAAAAGUGGUCUUCUCUUGAUCCUCUUUCGAUACAUGUAUUUGAGAGAAAAGAGAGUAACCAACUAGAAAGCAAAAAAUGUGUAUGUUUGGAUAAUCUUUCUAGCAUUUGAUCAAUAAAAGGUAGAGGGUAAUGAUCUUUCCUAGUAGCUUUAUUUAAUUUCUUGAAAUCAAUUACCAUUCUAUAUCCUGUAACAAUUCUUUGCGGGAUUAAUUCAUCUUUAUCAUUAGGAACAACAGUAAUACCACCCUUUUUAGGGGCACAAUGAACGGGACUAACCCAUCUACUAUCAGCAAUAGGAUAAAUUAUACCUGCCUCCAGAAGCUUUAGUAUUUCAUUUCUUACCACUUCCUUCAUUUUAGGAUUUAAUAGUCGUUGGCGAUCAAACACUGGUUUAGCAUUAGGUUCUAUAUUGAUUUUAUGUUGUCAUAGAGUGGGACUAAUGCCCUUAAGAUCAUCAAGAGUAUAUCCAAUAGCGGCACGGUGCUUCCUUAGAGUUAUCAAUAAUCUCUUUUCUUCAUGCUCUCAAAGGUUACCACUAAUAAUAACAGGAUAUAUCUCUUUUUCAUCAAGAUAAGCAUACUCCAGAGUAUCAGGUAAUUGUUUAACCUCAAACACAGGAUCACCCUUGGGUGGAGGAGGAUCCCCGAGUAUUUCAAUAGGUAGGUUUUGUUUCAGAAUAGGAUGUGAUCAAACAAAAUCUUAUCUAUUUCAUUCCUUUCAUUCAUAUGCAUAUCAUUUUCAUGGUCUAACAAAUAUUGUUCUAAUGGAUCGGUAGGAGGCACAACGAUAGAAGCGAGACCAAUAAUUUCAUCUUUACUAGGCAAUUCUUUGUCAUGGGGUUGUCUACAAAAUUUAGAGAAAUUGAACUCAUGAGAUGCAUCCCCAAAACUUACAGUAACCGUUUCUUUUUCGAAAUCAAUCUUAAAAUUAAUAGUAUCCAAGAAGGGUCUACCGAAUAUAAUGGGAGAAAAAUCAUCUUGUGGGGAACCAAGAACAAGAAAAUCAGUAGGAUAUUUUAUUUUCCCACACAAGACUUCAACAUCUCUAACAAUCCCAAUUGGUGAAAUAGUAUCUCUAUUAGCAAGCUUGAUGGUGACAUCAAUUUCGUCUAAUUCGGCCGGUGCAAUAUCAUUCAUAAUUCCUUGGUAUAAGGUAAAGGGAAUUGCACUCACACUAGCACCCACAUCACAUAAGCCAUGAUAACAAUGAUCUCCUAUUUAACAGAAACAACAGGCAUGCCAACAAUAGGUCUAUGUUUACCCUUAGUAUCACGUCUAGCAAUUCUAGCGGCUUCAUCACAGAAGUGAAUGACAUGCCCAUCAAUAUUAUCAACCAAGAGAUAUGUAACCAUAGAAAUAUUACAUUAAACUUUAAUUUGUUUAGGAGGUAUAGGUGUUCUAGUACAACUCUUACGAACCACAAUUUAAGUUCUAGCAUGUUCCUUUAUCCUAACAGGAAAGGGUGGUUUCUCAAUAUAAGUAGUAGGGAUAACAGGAUCAGCAUUAUAAAUAAUUGUUUCUUAUUCAACUUUAAUAGGUUCAGCUACUUUAACUUCAAUGGGAGGAUGAUAUUUAAACCACUUCUCCUUGGGGAGAUCAACAUGAGUAGCAAACGAGUCAGAGAAUGAAGCUACUACCUCAGAGUCUAGUCCAUAUUUAAUGCUCAAAUCACGAAAAGCAUCGGUGUCCAUAAAGAUUUAACACAAUCAAAUGUAAGGCUUAUACCUGACUCAUUAACUUUGUCGAUUUCCCAAUCUUCAUAGUUGUGUUUAAUUUUUUCCAAUAAUUCUCAUUUGAAUUGAAUGUCUUUCUUCAUAGAGGAACCGGCACAAGAAGUGUGGAGCAUGGAUCGAUCAUUACGAGAGAGCCGAGCAUAAAAUUGUGAAUAAUAAUUUAUCUUGGGAGCUCAUGAUUGGGGCAUGAAUAUAACAUUGACUUAAGCCUCCCCGAUCUUGAGCGAUUCUUUCUCCUUCACGAGGCCAAAAAUUAUAGAUAUAAUUCCGAUCACAAUGAAAUAGAUGCAUAGGAUAAAAUUUCUCAUGAAAUUCCAAUUUCAGUCGUUGUAGUUCCAUGAUCCAAUAUCAUCACAUAGCCUAUACCAUGUCAACGCCUUUUCCUUCAAAGAUAAAGGAAAGACCUUCUUCUUGACAUCAUCCUAGGGAAGACCUGCAAGCUUAAAUAAUCCACAAACUUCAUCCACAUAGAUUAGGUGCAAAUCACGAUGUAGUGUUCCAUCUCCUGCAUAAGGAUUAGCUAACCGUUUUUUUAUCAUACCCGAAGGAAUUUCGUAAUAAAUAUUUUGAGUAGGUGCAGCAGGUUGAGGAGCAUCUCUUUGUUCUUCCGGUUGGGGUGAACAUGCCCUGAACAAGCUCCUUAAAGGAUUAUUUUCCAUAGUGACAAGUGACAAAAAAUUUCAACACAGUAUAUAAAAUUUUCCUUACCAAGUUCCUCAUACCAAAGGCGCUUCACUCCCCGGCAACGCCGCUAGAAAAGAGUCUUGAUGACCCACAAGUGUAGGGGAUCUAUCAUAGUCCUUUUGAUAAGUAAGAGUGUCGAACCCAACGAGGAGAAAAAGGAAAUGAUAAGCAGUUUUUAGUAAGGUAUUCUCUGCAAGCACUAAAAUUAUCGGUGACAGAUAGUUUUACGAUAAGGUAAUUUGUAACGAGUAACAAGUAACAAGUGUAACUAAGGUGCAGCAAGUUGGCCCAAUCCUUUUUGUACCAAAGGACAAGCCUGGACAAACUCUUAUAUAAAGAAAAGCGCUCCGGGGACACAUGAGAAUUUAUGUCAAGCUAGUUUUCAUCAUGCUCAUAUGAUUCGUGUUCGUUACUUUGAUAAUUUGAUAUGUGGGUGGACUGGUGCUUGGGUGUUGCACUUACUUGGACAAAUCUACCACUUAUGAUUAACCUCUAUCGCAAGCAUCUGCAACUGCGAAAUAGGACUUAAGAUAAAUCUAACCAUAGCAUUAAACAUAUGGAUCCAAAUCAGCCCCUUACGAAGCAACGCAUAAACUAGGGUUUAAGUUUCUGUCACUCUAGCAACCCAUCAUCUACUUAUUACUUCCCAAUGGCUUCCUCUAGGCCCAAAUAAUGGUGAUGUGUCAUGUAGUCGACGUUCACAUGACACCACUAGAGGAGAGACAACGUAUAACUUAUCAAAAUAUCGAACGAAUACCAAAUUCACAUGAUUACUUAUAACAAGACUCAUCCCAUGUCCUCAGGAACAAAGGAGACUACUCACAAAGCAUAUUCUUAUUCAUGAUCAGAAGGGUAUUAAUAAUUAUUAAGGAUCUGAACAUAUAAUCUUCCUCCAAAUAAACCAACUAGCAUCAACUACAAGGAGUAAUUAACACUACUAGCAACCCAAAGGUACCAAUCUGAGGUUAUGAGACAAAGAUCGGAUAUAAGAGAUAAACUAGGGUUUGGAGAGGAGAUGGUGUUGAUGAAGAUUUUGAUGGAGAUUGACCCCCUCACAAUCAGAGGAUAGUUGGCGAUGGCGGUGGCUUUGAUUUCCCUCUCCGGGAGGGAAGUUUCGCUAGCGGAAUCGCUUUGCCGGAGCUCUAGAUUGAUUUUGUCGAAGUUCCGCCUCGAGACGGCGGCGUCGCGUCCCGAAAUUUCUGACAUGAUUUUUUUCCAGCUCAAAACACUUCAUAUUGGAGAAGAUGGGCGUCGGAGGCCUGCCAGGGGGCCCAUAAGCCUGAAGGGCGCGGCCAUGGGGGGUAGGCCGCGCCCCUUGGGCAUGUGGCUUCCUGGUGGGUCCCCUCCGGUACUUCUUUCGCCCAUUAUUUUUUAUAAAAUCCAAAACUGUUCUUUGUAACUUUUGAGGACUUUUGGAGCUGUGCAAAAUAGAUCUCUCAUAUUUGCUCUUUUUCCAGUCCAGAAUUCCAGCUGCCGGCAUUCUCCCUCUUCAUGUAAAUCUUAUAAAAUAAGAGAGAAAAGGCAUAAGUAUUGUACCAUAAUAUGUAAUAACAUCCCAUAAUGCAUUGAAUAUUGAUAUAAAAGCAUGAUGCAAAAUGGACAUAUCACGCACCCCCCUAAAAUAAGAGACGAAGAGAAAACGCUCCACACGGCUUACCCGAACUACCUUCUCCACCAGCGUGCAGUUGUGCACCGCCGACUGGGCAAAUGAUGCUAUGCCCGCACGGUACCGCGCCAUCAUGUCGCCCUUGCCGGCCGACGCGAGAUCCCGCCCGCUAGCGGAAGAGUUCGCCCCGUCCGACCCUAAUGCAUGGCCCAGCUUGGCCCACUCCGCCGCAACGGUGGACAUCGAUGGGCUCGUCCGGCCGGCCCCGUCAGUCGCAGCUUCCUCGAGCGCCGCCCGGUUCGGCUGCACCGACGAGACAACGAGGGCCCUGUAGUCGCUGCUCCUAGCAUAUGACCCGGCCAUACGCCCUUGGUCAGACUCCUGACUUAACACCUCCGGUGGUGCCUCCAUGUCCGGGGCCGGCUCCUGGUGCAUCCCCAUGCGCGCUGAUGAGACCUCCGGGCCACGAGCCUUGAGGGUCGCCGGAGUUGUCAUGCACCCAUCUCCCUGGCCGAAGGACCACCGAGCCGGUCUCUGCAGCCGUCGCGCCCUUCGCCUUGGCAAUACGCAGCUGGAAGGCGCGCUCUCGCUCAAGCCGCACCAUCACUGCGUGUUCCACACCCAACUGUGCAACGCCCUCGCCCCCAAGGGCCGAUGGGGCCGGCGGUGUAAGUUCGAUGGCCUUGCUGCUGAAAAGAAAGGGCACGAGCUCAAUGGCACAUGGCAAAAAUGAAAGGAAGAAAACGACACGAGCUCCAAAGAAAACUUACCCCGAAACGAAGGGAAUCUGGCGGCCACCCCGCCUCAAGGUCCUCCGCGCUGGAGGACUGGUGCCCAGCGGUAGCACAGUCGACUGAGCCUUCUUGGCGGCCAGGGCUAUGACCAUUCCCUCGACUGGUCAUUUCUCUCUGCGCCGUUCCUCCGCCGUCUGGCGGUGGGUCAGCUGCCGCGUGGUCGGCUGACCCGCAACCGGCUGGCUCUUAGCCGGGAGCUUCGCGCUUCAUUCUCGUCGUCGGUGCCGGGGCGUCCCUGACGCCGCAGGAGACGCCUCCACUAUGCGCACAUUGUCAUCAUCAUCGUCGUUGGUUCAGUCCCGCACAUACACCUCGGGGCAGGGACCACUUGAUGUCCCAACCACGCCGGUAGUGGCGCCAAUCGGUGCCUCCUUAUCUUCCUCAUCUUCCUCCUCCACCUCCGGCAUGUAUAGGUCCUCAGGGCCGGCGGGGUUGCCCGGUCCGACUCAUAGUCCUCGACGUCGGAGUCCGCACGGUCUGGCGCAAAUUUUUGCGGGUUCGGACCGUCUGACGUCAUUUGCUAGGAAAAAAGCUUAAGAAAAAGCACAACCAUGCGUGAGUAGCCGCAAGAAAAAAGUGAGAGCAACUCCAGUCGAACAAAUCUUACCUGCGGCGCGCGGUUGUCGCGAUAGAACGAUUCCAAGCCGAACACCCACGCCUCCAUGUCGAGCCUGAAGUGGGUGAUGGCGUUCACCUUGGCGUCAACCUUGUUCGGAAGCAGCUCCACGGUCGACAGUCGGCAGGGGUCCUUGCAACUACUCAUGUUGUAGAUCCCGUGCGGCCACUCCAGCAACGACAACACCCAGCAGGAGAUAAAGCUACCACCAGGUCCACAGGCAGCAACCCCUGGGAGGCCUUGAGCUCCUUCAGACGGCCCUGACCAUCGUCAUCUCGUCACUGUGCACCUCGAGGUUCUAGUUCGUGCCAGUCGGUGAACAUCGGGAGGUUGACCUAGUCCCGCCCCUCCUCGAUGUUGCGAACGUAGAAGAAGCAACGCUGCCACUUCUUGAAGGGGUCGAUCCACCUCGUCUUUAGGAAGAGCCUGUUGCGUCUCACAUACACCAACGCGCCGCCGCAGGAGUACGACACGUUGUUGUUCUUCUGGGCGUGGAAGUGGAAGAAGAGAUGGAACAAGGCAGGAAAGGCAAGAAGCCCGUGUACCCCUCGCAUAGGGUGGCGAGGCAUGCGAGGUAUAGCACUGAGUUUGGCCCCAGAUGAUGCAUCUUGAGCCCGUAGAAGUCCAGAAAAUGCCGCAGGAAGCGGCUCACCGGCAGCCCGAAGCCGACGAUGAAGUGCAUGCCAAAAACGACGCGCUCGCGGGUGCAGCGCUCCGGCACGCGCUCGCCUCUGGGCGCGCGCACCUCAACGUGUUCCAUGGACGAGAUCUUUCGUGUCCGCCGGAGGUACUCGAUGUGCGCGUCGGUCAUGACGGAGCCCUCCCACGAGCCAGCAGGUGGCGCGGCCAUCUCAAUAUUUUCCAGGGGCAGAGCGGGAGAGAAGAGGCUCGAGAUGUGGCUCCCCAGUGGAUCGACCGUGGGAAGGCGCUGUGGAUGCAAGGAGGGAGGAGUGGAUGCGGCGAGCGUUUCGGGUGCGAGAAGGAAAAGACGGCGGGUGCGGGCGCGAGGAGGAAGGGCGAGACCGGUGAGCUCUGAAACAUGGCGAAGUGGGAGAUGGGGAGCGGGAAGGCAACGGUAGCCUCGGCUUCCCCCUCCCUCCUUUUUAAAGACCGGGAAGACGUGGGGGCGUGGGAUCGGUUAAGCCCACGUCCCCCACUAUCCCACGAUGCCCGCGCGCAUUAAAUUCAUGGGGAACGCCAACCAGCGUCCUGUGGCCGCAGAAGAUCCCACACAUGGGCCGAGGCCUGUGGCGACGUCCCGUUGCGCGCAUAAUGGCCGGCCCGCCACCGAUGGCCGGUCAUCUCGCGUGCUGGCUCUGGCAGGCGCAUCAACUCCAACAACACUCUCUCUUCGAGGGUGGGGGAAACCGCUAGCCCCCUCGCCCGGAGGCAUCCGGACCCCAAUGGUUUCGGGGGCUACUCAUGGGGUAAUGGGUCGUGGGUAUACCAAAGUGGAGGAAACCGUUCUCGAAGACAUUUGGGUCCGGCUGGCAGCUACCGACCCGUCUGUUCGUCACGUUGCAAGCCGUGUGACAAUAGCUGGCCCGUCCAGCUAUCCCUAACGACAGCCGGCGGGUCAGCGCCCAUCCCAUCGUCCGUACCAGCGUACGAUGACAAGACCAGACUCCUGACACAGAGGCACGCAUGGCUAUAGUGCAUGCUGGCAGGCCUGGCAUUGCCACAUGCAUGAUGAUGCGUGGGUCAACGAGGCUAGAGGACCACCCGUUGCUCCCGAGGCUGAACGGGAGAGGCGGCCCUAUAGCCAUGCCUACACCUACGUACUCACUGACACCCGAUGUCCCAACCAGUGUCACACUGGGCUGGCGGGCCCCGCAAUAGACAAAACUCGACAGCCGGCAGCUACUGCAACAAAACACCUUCCAAUGGCACCAGAAAUAGGCACGUUGACGGGAGAAUACUUGGCUUGAUCCUUCUGCUACGGCUACGCCUUAAGAGACUUCCUAGGCAAGUAUGCAAAGGACUUCCCCCAUGGCCUUGGAGCCUUGCGUUGGUGUUCCCUCGAAGCGGAAAGGGUGAUGUAGCGUAGCGGUGGUAAGUAUUUCCCUCAGUUUGAGAACCAAGGUAUCGAUCCAGUGGAGGAGUAUCACAAGAGCCUGCACAAACACAAAAAGCUUGCUCCCAAUGCUAUGAAGGGGUUGUCAAUCCCUUAUAGAUUGUUUGCCAAGUGAGAACUGAAAGCAACAAUGUAACAAAGCAAAGUAAAGCGGAGGUGUAAACGAUGGAUGUGAAUAGACCCGGGGGCCGUAGUGUUUACUAGUGGCUUCUCUCAUGAAAGCAAGUAGACGGUGGGUGAACAAAUUACUGUCGAGCAGUUGAUAGAACCGCGCAAAGUCAUGACGAUAUCUAUGGCAAUGAUUAUAUCUAUAGGCAUCACGUCCAAAACAAGUAGACCGAUACUUUCUGCAUCUACUACUAUUACUCCACACGUCGACCGCUAUCCAGCAUGCAUCUAGUGUAUUAAGUCCAUAAGAACAGAGUAACGCCUUAAGCAAGAUGACAUGAUGUAGAAGGAUAAUCUCAAACCAAUGAUGAAAACUCCAUCUUUUUACCCUUGAUGGCAACUACUUAAUGUGUGCCUUGCUGCACCUAUUGUCACUGGGAAAGGUCACCACAGGGUAGAACCCAAAACCAAGCACUUCUCCCAUUGCAAGAAUCAUAGAUCUAGUUGGCCAAACAAAACCAAGACUCAGAGAGACUUACAAGGAUAUCAAAUCAUGCAUAUAAGAAAUCAGCAAAACCUCAAAUAUAUAUCAUAGAUAAUCUGAUCACAAAUCCACAAUUCAUCGGAUCUCGACAAACAAACCGCCAAAGAAGAUUACAUCGGAUAGAUCUCCAUGAAGAUCAUGGAGAACUUUGUAUUGAAGAUCCAAGACAGAGAAGAAGCCAUCUAGCUACUAACUACGGACCCGUAGGUCUGAAGGGAACUACUCACGAGUUAUGGGAGGGGCGAUGAUGAUGAUGAAGAAGCCCUCCAACUCCAAAGUCCCCUCCGGCAGGGCGCGGGAAGGGUCUCCAGAUGAGAUCUCGCGGAAACGGAAGCUUGCGGCGGCAGAAAAGUAUUUUCGAGGCUCCUCUUGUUUUUUGCUGAAUUUUUGGGUAUAUAUAGGCCAAGGAUCUAGGUCAGCGGGCGGCCAGGGAGGCCACAAGCCCUGACAUCACCGCCUCCCCCCUGGUGGCGGAGUGCGAGCUUGUGGGCUCCCUGGAGCCCACCUGGCUUCGCCCAGAGGCCCCCUGAUCUUCUUCCGUUCGGGAAAAAAUCAUUUCGGGGUUUUUAUUCCGUUUGGACUCCGUUCCAAAAUCAGAUCUGAAAAGAGUCAAAAACUUAGAAAAAACAGGAACUGCCAGUUGGCACUGAAUUAAUAUGUUAGUCCCAAAAAAGAUAUAAAAGGUACAUAAAACAUCCAAAGAUGACAAGAUAACAGCGUGAAACCAUCAAAAUUUAUAGAUACGUUUGAGACGUAUCAAGCAUCCCCAAGCUUAACACCUGCUCGUCCUCGAGUAGGGAAGUGAUAAAGAAUGAAUUUUUUAUGCUUUCAUGCUACCUAGCAUAGGUGUCCUUUGUAAUUCCUCUUAUGUGACGUUAAUGUUCAGAUCCAUUAGAUUCAAAACAAUAGUUUUCAAUUGACGUGGAAACAAUAAUAAUUCAAGCAAACUAGCAAGGUAAUCAUGAACUUUCAAAAUAACAAGGCCAAAAGAAAGUUAUCCCAAUAAAAGCAUAUAGUCUGGCUAUGCUCUAUCAUCAUUGCACAACGAAUUUAAAUCAUGCACAACCCUGGUAUUGGCCAAGUAAUUGUUUCACACCUUUACUUUCUCAAACCUUUUCAACUCUCACGCAAUAUAUGAGCGUGAGCCAUGGUUAUAGCACUAUAGAUGGUGUGGAAUAUGGUGGAGGUUGCAAGACAAAAAAGGAGAAGAUAGUCACAUUAACUAGGCAUAUCAAUGAGUUGUGGAGAUGCUCAUCAAUAGAUAUCAAUGUGAAUGAGUAGGGAUUGCCAUACAAAUGAUGCACUAGAGCUACGAGUAUGUGAAAGCUCUUAAAGAAAACUAGUGGGUAUGCAUCCAACUUGCUUGCUCACGAAGACCUAAGGCAAUUUUGAGGAAGCCUAUCAUUGGAAUAUACAAGCCAAGUUAUAUAAUGAAAAUUUCCCACUAGCUAUAUGGUGGUGACAAAACGAGAUACUCUCAAUCAAGAAGAUCAUGGUGCUUAAUAUGCACAAGUGUGGAAAAAGUGGUAGCAUUGUCCCUUCUCUCUUUUUCUCUCAUUUUUUUAUUUUUUUAUUUUGGUGGGCUCUUUGGCCUCUUUUUUUGGUGGGCUUCUUUGGCCUCUUUUAUUUUCUCACAUGGGACAAUGCUCCAUUAAUGAUGAUCAUCACACUUUCAACUCAAAACUUAGAGCAACUAUGACUCUAUAUGGAAUGCCUUCGGUAGUGUAUCGUGUCAAUGAUCUAGCAUGGCAUAGACAUCAAUGGAAACAUCAUGCUAGCUAUAUUACGAUCAUGCAAUGGCAAUGUAGACGUGGUGGCACAUGUCAUGGUGGUAGUUGCAUGGAAAUAUAUCUCGGAAUGACUUUGAAAAAGCCAUAGUAGGUAGGUAUGGUGGCUGUUUUGAGGGAGGCUAAUGGUGGGUUUUGUGCACAGGCGAAAGUUGCACGGCACUAAGAAGAUAGUGAUGGUGGUAGGUGAAAGUGCAUCUAAACCAUGGACUCAACAUUAGUCAUGAAGAACUCAUAUACUUGUUGCAAAAGUUUUAUUAGUAAUCAAAACAAAGCAUUCAACGCAUACUCCUAGGGGAAGGGUUGGUAGGUAUAAAAAAUCGCGCGAUCCCGACCGCCACGCAAAGGAUGACAAUCAAUAUAGUAAUCAUGCUCAGAUUUCAUCACAUAGCAGUUCACCAUACGUGCAUGCUACGGGAAUCACUAACUUCAACACAAGUAUUUCUAGAUCCACAACACCUUUCUAGCAUGACUUCAAUAUUACCAUAACCACAACUCAAAACUAAUUGAGAUGAAUCAAACUUCUCUAACUAUUCAAUGCACAUGAAGGUGGAAGUUUUCGUAUCCCUUUGGAUAACUACCCCUUUUGAGACUACUUUUAAAGAAUAGAUCAACUACCAAGCCACGCACCACUGUGCUCUAAAAGAUAUAAGUGAAGCACAUAGAGCAAAAUUAUCUAGCUCAAAAGAUAUAAGUGAAGCACAUGUGAGCUGAAUUGUCUACCAAAAGCUAUAAGUGAAGCUCGACAAAAUCAUGGUGAGUGCAUGUCUCUCUCUAUAGGUGUGCAGCAAGGAUGAUUGUGACACAAGAAAAAUAAAAGACUCCUACGAUACAAGACGCUCCAAGCAAAAACACAUAACAUGUGGUAAAUAAAAAUAUAUCCCCAAGUAACGUUAUCGAUGGAUUGAAGACGAAAGAGGGGAUGCCUUCCCGGGGCAUCCCCAAGCUUAGGCUUUUAAGGCAUCCUUGAAUCUCUUGGGGUGCCUUGGGCAUCCCCAAGCUUGAGAUCUUGCCACUCUUUAUCUUUUUGUCCAUAAGAACUUCACCCAAAACUUGAAAACUUCACAACACGAAACUUAAACAGAAACUCGUGAUAACAUUAGUAUGAGAAAGCAAACCACCACUUCCUUAGGUAUUGUAGCGAACUUAAAUUCUACUUGUGCUGAUGUUGGGUUACUGUAUUUUCAAUCUUCCAUGGCUAAUACCCCCCCCCCCCCGACUACUAUCCAUAGUUUCAUCAAAAUAAGCAACCAACACAACAAAAGCAGAAUCUGUUAACAGCAAACCAGUCUGUAGCAAUCUGUAUAUUUCGUCUACCUCUGUUACUUCCAAAAUUCUGAAAACUUAUGACAGUCUGAAGAAUUUGCGUAGCAAUCAGCAGCAAAAAGAAUCAACUCAAAAGCUCUUACAGAAAAAAACUGAAAAUUAUUUUCGUGAGCAGAAAGUUUCUGUCUUUUCCAGCAUGACCAAACGAUCAUCCCCAAGACUAAUCAUAACGGUUUUGCUUGGCACAAACGCAAAAAGAAACACAAAAAACACAAUCAUAACAGAAUUAUGAAAUUGUGGAAAACACAAAACAGAAAGAAAAAGGAUAGGUUUGUUGGGUUGCCUCCCAACAAGCGCUAUUGUUUAACGCCCUUAGCUAGGCAUUGAUUUCAAUGAUGCUCACAUAGAAGGUAAGGAUUGAAACACAACGAGAGCAUAAUGGAGCAUAUGGCUAGCACAUUUAAGUCUAACCCACUUCCUAUGCAUAGGAAUUUUGUGAACAAACAAAUUUUUGAAGCAAGAAUCAACUAGCAUAGGAAGGCAAAACAAGCAUAGCUUCAAAAAUUUCAACACAUGGAGAGGAAGCUUGAUACUAUUGCAAUAAGUAGAAGCAUAUGAUCCUCUCUCAUAGUAAUUUUCAGUAGCAUCAUGAAUGAAUUCAACAAUGUAAAUAUCACAUAGGAUAUUCUUUUCAUGAUCCACAUGCAUGCAAAGUUGAUGCUCUUCAAAAAUAGUGGGAUUAUCAUCGAAUAAAGUCAUGACUUCUCCAAUCCCACUUUCAGUAUUGUUGCAAAUAUCAUAUUCAUCAUGAGGUUUGAACAAAUUUUUAAGAUCAUAAGAAAGAUCAUCACCCCAAUCAUGAUUAUUACAACAAGUAGUGGACAAAGCAAAACUAGCAUCCCCAAGCUUAGGGUUUUGCAUAAUUUUAGCAUGAUUAUCACUAAUAGAAUUUAUAGUGAAACCAUUGCAAUAAUGCUUAUCAUCCAAGGAGACCUCGUGAAUCACUUCAUAAAUUUCUUCCUCGCAAUUUUGAGAUUCACGCAACUCAAGCAAAACUCCAUAAAGAUAGUCAAGUGCACUCAACUCACUAGCAAUUCGUUCCACAUAAGUGGGUCUCUUAAAGAGAUUAGCUAGUGGUUAAGGAUCCAUAUCAAUAGAUUUUUAGCAAGCGAAGAUGCAAGCAUAUUGAAGGCACAAAGCACACAAGCAAAGGAAAGGCAAACGGAAAAGGCAAAAGGAAACAGCAAAUGUGAAGUGGGGGAGAGGAAAACGAGAGGCAACUGGCAACAAAAUUAAAUGCAAGAGAAGAGUUUGUGAGACCUACUUGGAUAGAUCUUGAAUUCUCCUCCCCGGCAAUGGCGCCAGAAAUACUUCUGCUACUGCAACAAAAGACCUUCCAAUGGCGCCAGAAAUAGGCACGUUGACGGGAGAAUAGUUGGCUUGAUCCUUCUGUUGCGGCUACGCCUUAAGGGACUUCCUAGGCAAGUAUGCAAAGGAUUUACCCCGUGGCCUUGGAGCCUUGCGUUGGUGUUCCCUCGAAGCGGAAAGGGUGAUGUAGUGUAGCGGUGGUCAGUAUUUCCCUCAGUUUGAGAACCAAGGUAUCGAUCCAGUGGAGGAGUAUCACAAGAGCCUGCACAAACACAAAAAGCUUUCUCCCAACGCUAUGAAGGGGUUGUCAAUCCCUUAUAGAUUGUUUGCCAAGUGAGAACUGAAAGCAACAAAGUAACAAAGCAAAGUAAAAGCGGAGGUGUAAACGAUGGAUGUGAAUAGACCUGGGGGCCGUAGUGUUUACUAGUGGCUUCUCUCAUGAAAGCAAGUAGACGGUGGGUGAACAAAUUACUGUCGAGCAAUUGAUAGAACCGCGCAAAGUCGUGACGAUAUCUAUGGCAAUGAUUAUAUCUAUAGGCAUCACGUCCAAAACAAGUAGACCGAUACUUUCUGCAUCUACUACUAUUACUCCACACGUUGACCGCUAUCCAGCAUGCAACUAGUGUAUUAAGUCCAUAAGAAUAGAGUAACGCCUUAAGCAAGAUGACAUGAUGUAGAGGGAUAAUCUCAAACCAAUGAUGAAAACCCCAUCUUUUUACCCUUGAUGGCAACUAUUUAAUGUGUGCCUUGCUGCCCCUACUGUCACUAGGAAAGGUCACCACAUGGUAGAACCCAAAACCAAGCACUUCUCCCAUUGCAAGAAUCAUAUAUCUAGUUGGCCAAACAAAACCCAAGACUCGGAGAGACUUACAAGGAUAUCAAAUCAUGCAUAUAACAAAUCAGCAAAGACUCAAAUAUAUAUAUCAUAGAUAAUCUGAUCACAGAUCCACAAUUCAUCAGAUCUCAACAAACACACCGCCAAAGAAGAUUACAUCGGAUAGAUCUCCAUGAAGAUCAUGGAGAACUUUGUAUUGAAGAUCCAAGAGAGAGAAGAAGCCAUCUAGCUACUAACUACGGACCCGUAGGUCUGAAGUGAACUACUCACGAGUUAUUGGAGGGGCGAUGAUGAUGAUGAAGAAGCCCUCCAACUCCAAAGUCCCCUCCGGCAGGGCGCCGGGAAGGGUCUCCAGAUGAGAUCUUGCGGAAACGGAAGCUUGUGGCGGCAGAAAAGUAUUUUCGAGGCUCCUCUUGUUUUUUGCUGAAUUUUUGGGAAUAUAUAGGCCAAGGAUCUAGGUCAGGGGGCGGCCAGGGAGGCCACAAGCCCUGACACCGCCGCCUCCCCCUGGUGGUGGAGUGGGAGCUUGUGGGAUCCCUGGAGCCCACCUAGCUUGGCCCAGAGGCCCCCUGAUCUUCUUCCGUUCGGGAAAAAAUUAUUUCGGGGUUUUUAUUCCCUUUGGACUCCGUUCCAGAAUCAGAUCUGAAAAGAGUCAAAAACACAGAAAAAACAGGAACUGGCACUUGGCACUGAAUUAAUAAGUUAGUCCCAAAAAAGAUAUAAAAGGUACAUAAAACAUCCAAAUAUGACAAGAUAACAGCGUGAAACCAUCAAAAAUUAUAGAUACCUUUGAGACGUAUCACCGGCAGGCCCCUUGGCGAGUCGGGCCCCACCCCCUUUUUCCCUCACUAGUGCACACUCCUGGCUGGACUAUAAAGCCAAACCCCAGCCCCUCGAGAGAGGGGCUGGCGAAUGCUCGAUCCACAACCCCCCCCCCCCACUAUAGCAUGCCAGGGAGGCAGUGAGAGCUCCGUACUCCUCCCUCACGAACAACUCGAGGAGCACCACUGUAUUGUUAUCACAUAUAGUCACACCAACAGGACUAGGGNCCCCAUAUAGCAUGCCAGGGAGGCAGUGAGAGCUCCGUAUCCUCCCUCACGAACAACUCGAGGAGCACCACUGUAUUGUUAUCACAUAUAGUCACACCAACAGGACUAGGGGUUUUACCUCACCGAAGGGCCCUGAACCUCGGUAGAUCGACAUCAUGUGUCUCGCUCCUACACCUGUUCCCAGAUAAAGGGAGCACGACAAGGAGGAAGAGGGAGGGAGGUAGGGGGAGGUAGUGGGAGAGAGAGGGAGAGGGAGAGGGAGGAAGGGGAGAGAGAGAGGGUGUAUGGAUGGAUGGAUGGAGGGAGGGGAGGGGGAGAGAGAGAGGGAGGGAGACAAAAGAAGGACCUACAUAUGAUGUUCAUUGACUUGGAGAAGGCCUACGAUAAUAUACCACGGAAUGUCAUGUUGUGGGCCUUGCAGAGGCACAAAGUUCGAGCAAAGUACAUUACCCUCAUAAAGUACAUGUACGAUAAUGUUGUGAUAAGUGUUCGAACAAGUGAUAGCGACACUCAUGACUUCCCGAUUAAAAUAGGACUACAACAACGGUCAGCUUUGAGCCCUUUUCUUUUUUGCCUUGGUGAUGGAUGAGAUCACAAGGGAUAUACAAGGGGAUAUCCAUGAUGUAUGCUCUUUGUGGAUGAUGUGCUGCUAGUCGAUGAUAGUCGGACGGGGGUCAGUAGGAACUUAGAGCUACGGAGACAAACCUUGGAAUCGGAAGGGUUUAGAUUUAGUAGAACUAAAAUCGAGUACGUGAGGUCAUGUUUUAGUACUACUAGGCGCGAGGAGGAGGAUGACGUUAGUCUUGAUGGGCAUGUUAUGCUGCAGCACGACACCUUUUGAUACUUAGGGUCAAUGCUACAAAAAAAUGGGGAUAUAAAAAAAGAUGUGAACCAUCGAAUCAAAGCCAGAUGGAUGAAGUGGCACCAAGCUUCUUACAUUUUUUAUGACAAGAGAGUGACACAAAAACUAAAAUGCAUGUUCUAUAGGACGACAAUUUGGCCCACAAUGUUGUAUGGAGCUAAGUGUUGGCCGACUAAAAGACGACACAUGCAAUAGUUAGGUGUGGCGGAGAUGCGCAUGUUGAGAUGGAUGUGUCGCCAUACAAGAAAGGACCGAUUCUGGAAUGAUGAUAUGCGAUAUAGAGUUGCGGUAGCACUAAUUGAAGAGAAGCUUGUCCAACCUCGUCUCAGAUGGUUUGGACAUAUUCAGGACAUGCCACCAUAAAAUCCACUGCAUUGAAGAUGGCUAAAGUGUGCUGAUACUGUCAAAAGAGGCUGUGGUAGACUGAACUUGACAUGGGAGGAGUCCGUAAAAAGAAAACUGAAGGACUUGAGUAUCACCAAAGAACUAGCCAUGGACCCGGGUGCGUGGAAGGCUGCUAUCCAUGUGCCAAAACCAUGAGUUGGCCGCGAUAUCUGAUGGGUCACCUCUAGCCUACCCUAACUUGUUUGAGACUAAAUAAUUUGUUGUUGUUGUUAUUGUUGUUGUUGUUGUUGGUGGUGGUGGUGGUGGUGGCGGUGUUGUUGUUGUUGUUGCUACUGCUACUGCUGCUGCUGUUGUUGCCGCUGCUGCUGUUGAUGUUGUUGUUGCUGUUGUUGUUGAUGAUGAUGAUGAUGUUGUUGUUGUUGUUGUUGUUGUUGUUGUUCUUGUUGUUGUUCUUGUUGCAAAGAGGACGAGGAAGCACACACCAUCUAUCCAUCGACGUGCAGAAGGCCCAAGUCUAGCCAAACAAAAGACAACAAAAAAUAACUAAUAACCAACACAUGUCCACUCAGCUAGCCCCAAGCCCAUAGACAACCAUCGUUUGACCCAGAGGAACAAGAACAAUUUUAGACGUGACCUGCCAACAAAAACACGCUGCAACAACCAAAGUUGAUGUCACGUGGAUGAGACCAAUAUUUUAUCUAGGUGAGUUCUAGAUAGCCCCUUCUUCUUAAUGAAAUCCAAUUAUCUAAAAUGGACGUAUGCUUCAGCUUUUCCUUAGGAAUGGUUUCCCUUGCCCCUUCCGACAACAAUAAGGCUUUGAAGAGCCCUCUUUUCCAAACCAUGUAUGUUCUCCAAAAAUCCUUAUACGCCCUAAACACGCUCCACACGUGUCUAAUUCACUAAGAUUGCCUCGUUUAUAUCUAGCAUUGAUUCAUCUCUCUUUGUCUUUCAUUCUCUCACAACCAUGGGAAAUCAAAUUCGCCCCUCCCACACAACCAUAGCCUAUAUUCUUCCCUAUGUUGAUGAUAUAGUACUCACACCUUAUCCACCAUUUAUUCACUAAAUCAGUUCUACACUCAACUUUGAAUUAUUUAUGACCGCUCUUGGGCCCCUUAGUUGCUAUCUUAGCACUUCCAUUUCUCGCUCUACCGACAGUCUUCAUCUCUUUCAAUGUCAAUAUGCCCUAGAGCUCAUCUAGAGCAGCAAUUUGGGCGGCUAUAACCUCGCCACCAUCCCCAUUGAAUCAGGCUCCAAAAACUCCAUAUGCGAAGGCGGUCCACUCAAGAACCCUACUAACCACCGUACUCUCAUCGGUGCUAUUCUAUACCCCAAUCUCUACCUCUCAUGACUUUACGUACGCUAUUCGACACACAUGCUUGUUCAUGCAUGCUCUCCGCACUUACAAACUCAAUCUCGUUAAACGGAUCCUUUGUUACGUCAAAGGUACACUCAACUUUAGCCCUCUAAUUUCUCCCUCGUCACACCUCUAUUACGGCCUAUUAGGAUGUUGCUUGGUCGGUCCUCGACACUCGCCAUUCAAUGAACGACUUCCUUGUUUAACCUGGUGACAAUCUUAUUUCAUGAUCGUCAAAAUGUACACUAAACGUGUCAGGUCUAGUGCAGAAGCGGAGUACUGUGUUGUCGCCUUGUUGUGGCUGAGACAUGCUCGACCGAGCAGAUUCUACAUGAACUUCACAGGCCGCUAGACAAAUCUUAAGUUAUUUAUUGCCACAAUAUUUUUGCAAUUUACGUACAUUGGUGCCAACCCAGUGCAACACCACUGCACCAAACACAUUGAGAUCGACAUGCACUUUGUUUCCGACAAAGUUUAAGUUGGCGACAUCCAUGUUCUUCAUGUUCCAACAUAUAUACAGUUCGCACAUUUUCACCAAGGGCAUCUCUUUCCCUGUGUCCUUGGACUUCCUCAGCAGUCACAAUCCUUUUUAUAGCAAAGAACAGGUGUGAAAGUUCUCUUAUAUAUAAAAACGCUCCCAAGGACACCUGUGAAUUUAUGUCUAAUCAUGUUCAUCAUAUUAAGUUGAUCCGCGUUCACUACUUUGAUGAUUUGAUAUGUGGGUGGACUGGUUCUAAGGUGUUCUUCUUAUUUGAACUAACAACCUACUUAUGAUUACCCCCUCUCGCAAGAAUCGACAACUAUGAAAGAAGAAUUAAGAAUAAUCUAACCAUAGCAUGAAAAUGUGGAUCCAAAUCAGCCCCUUAUGAAGCAACGCAUAAACUUGCGUUUAAGCUUCUGUCACUCUCGCAACCCAUCAUCUAUUUGUUACUCUACAUUGACUUCCGUCAGGACCAUAACAUGCUGAAGUGUCAUGUAGUCGACGUUCACAUGACACCACUAAGAGAAGUAACAACAUCCAUAUCAGAAAAAUAUCGAACAGAUACCAAAUUUACAUGAUUACUUAUAAGAAGACUUCUCCCAUGUCCUCAGGAACAAUAAUUACUACUCACACAUCAUAAACAUGUUCAAGAUCAUAGGUGUAAUAAUAAUAACUAAGGAUCUGAACAUAAUACCUUUCACGAAGUAAUCCAACAAGCAUCAACUACAAGAUGUAAUCAACACAACUAGUAACCCACAGGUACCAAUCUAAGGUUUUGAGACAAAGAUUGAAUACCCAUGGUGAACUAGGGUUGGAUAUGAGAUGGUGCUGGUGAAGAUGUUGAUGCAGAUUGGUCCUCCCACGAAGGGGGAAGCGUUGGUGAUGACGGUGGCUUCGAUUUCCCCCUCCCAGAGGGUAAUUUACCCGGCACAAUCUCUCUGUCGGAGAGCAAAAGGGCCUCUACCCAGGUUUCCGCCUCGACAUGGCGGCGCUUCGUCCCAAAAGAUAACUUAUGAUUUUUUUCUAGGGUCAAACACACCAUAUAGGAGAAGAUGGUCGCGAGAUGGUCAGUUGGGGCCCCACAAGACAUCUGGGCGUGGCUAGGGGGCGCCCUGUUGGCCCUUCUCCGAUAUAUUUUAGGCCCAGAAAUUCACAAAUAUUUCAGAAAAAAUCUCCGUAAAGUUUCAGGUCAUUUGGAGCAAGUUGAUUUUUUUGCCUUUUUCACGGUUUCCCGGUCCACAAUUCCAGCUUCAAGAUAUUUCCCUCUCAGUGAUGUACCUUGUAUAUUAAGAGAGAAAAGGCAUAAUAAUUAUGUGAUAAUAAUGAAUAAUGGACAGGAUCAAUACAAAUAUCAAUAGUAACUCAUGAUGCAAAAUGAGCGUAUCACCCGGCCCUGCCCACACGUCACCGAUGGCGGCGGGUCGUUCCUUUCACGCACGCGUAGGGGGAACGGGGGACCCCUGAUGGUGGCGGUGUUGCUCGGCUGGCGGCGGGGUUCCCGCCGGCCUCGAGCGCCCUUGAUGUGGCGGCGUGGUCACUAGCUACGGAGCGGCGUGGUGUGCUGCUGGUUGGCGACACUCGCUCGACCAAGAUCUGGGCCCUUUAGGGCCCCAUCAGGGUUUUGGUGGGCCGAUGGUUCGGGGCGCGGCUGCAUUGCUCCUUGGUGAUGGAGGUGCGGCGUGACUGGCUGUGGGUGGUGACGGCUCCGGUGGCCGACGUGCUGCAGCGCGGCAGCAGGGAAUGUACGGACCCUUUGGGGUCCGGUCGGGCCUGACCCUUUGGGGUCCGGUCGGGCCUGUGGAGUCCUCGUAGGUCCCUGUCAUUGCGUCCGGUCGUCUCCACGCGGCGGUAGAGGUUGUUCUCUCAUGUUGAUUGCGUUAUGGUUGCCCCCAAGCCCAUUGUCGCAUCGUCCUCCCUCCAGGUCUCGUGUUGGUGGCCUCAGUGAGACGGCGAAGUUGGUUCGAUAACUAUGGUGGCACAGGAUGGUGGGUGGCAUGUUGGGCGGGGCACUUCCGAUCGUCUCGGGUGGUGGUGGUUGUUUCGGGGCAGGAGAAAUCCCUGGCAGCUUGUCUGUCGCCGACGCAGCUACGCACGUGGUGUCGCCAGAUCUUCCCGAGGGGCGUUGGUGAUACCACUUCUCCACUACCAUCCGCGUACCAGGGGAAACCCUAGGAAUUGUCCGGGCAGCAGCAGUAUCGUUCUCGCAUUCCUUCGUAAAGGUGUUGUUUGGUACGCGAGGCUUCGAAGUGUUAGGGGUGUGGUGGUACUUCUCUAGAGGUGGAGCGGUUGUCGGCCACCUUCACUUCGUUGAUUUGUCCACAUCGGCAUUUGUUUCUCUUUGUUUCUCUUGUUUUUUCUUUCGUUUUUGUUUAUGAUGCGGCCCUGCAAGAUGGUUGUAUGAGAUGAUUGCUUUAUGAUAUAAAACGGGGAAAAAAUCUUUUGUCGUCAAAUGGUGGCGCGGCUGGGGUUUCCAGGAAAAACAAAUUGCACACAACGUUUGCGUUUCCACACAAAUUGCACAACUCGCUAGCUUGAGUACGAGCGGCCCUGUCCAAAGACUCCGACCCGUGCUUACUUGGCAUUUGAUCUAAUUUCUGCAACUCUUCCCUGAGCCGGAGUAUUAAAUCACCGGCUCAUCUUAAUUGUUUGAAUUAACUAAUCUUAAUUAGUUCAUGACAUUCCAACCGAUUCGAUUGGCCCUUGGAGACAUCAAACAAAGUACUAUAGCAAGACGGAGAUGCAGGAACAUAGUCAUGCAAAAGAAAACAAAUCAAAAAUACAUAUACUCCUGUUGUUCAACCAUAAUCAUAUAUACUUUCCGCUAGAUGUAGAAACUAAACGAGAAAAGAUUGCUGGUAAACCUGCGAGGCAUUCAUCUUGGUUACUUUUGUGACCUAAUUCUGACCCGUGAGUAGUAUCCAAAUACGGCAGGGUCCAGAGUCCUAGCAUGCCCAAUGAUUGGAGCCCAUUUCUUAUGAGUGCAUCACUAACUGGAUGCGGUUAGGGGUCGGCAUCGCUGACAGCACAUACAUAUUGUAUGAAAGGACUACCAAAUCAAUUACUUACAUGAUUUAGUCGCUUUCAUGUUGUAGUAGUAGUAUAUGUUAGACAUAAACAUAUUAUGCACUUUGGCAGGCAGUAUAAUACAUGGAUUGGCUUAGACUUAGCCUUGAUUGUGUCUCAAGUUGAUAUCAUGCCCAUGAAUUGCGGUCGGUGUCGGGUCCCCUCCUGCAUACAGCAUCAGCUAAUUAAGUUUCUAUAUGCUCUUAUGGAAACUUGGUUUCUCUUUCGCAAACAACUAAAUGCAUAUUUUAGCAAAUGCCAUGUUCAGCACUGGGUACAGACAAUGGAUUCAUAUGGGCUAAUUUGCAGACUGAUAUGUGCAAUGGGUGCAGACAGUGAAUGCAUUAUUAUGGGCUAAUUUGCAGUCGAUUUCAUGUCACGUGUAACUGGGUACGGGAUUCCUAACUGAUCGCGGUCAGUUAAUGCUGCUACGAACCUGAAAAUGAUCUAUUAUAGCCUAAUACAAAAAGCUAAAAAUGUUUCUGAAAAGUUAUUCAAUCUUAGUCUCCUUAUCCUACGAAGCAAAGGAUUAUACAGCUCAUGACGCCGAUCGAUCAACAUACAUGAGCCCCUAGUUAGGCGUAGUUCAUCUCGUAGCGCUAUUAAAGGCGUCUACCCAUCCGUCUUUUCGGUGCAUCUCCAAUAGCAGGUGCCAUCAAUUAAGCCAGUGGAGUAUAUUGCUCUGAAUUUUGUGGAUCCUCACGCCGACCGCCGGUUAGCUGCCUACCUUUUCGACCAAGACAGCAGGAGCACUCUGUUUCACGUAAUGAAAUGAUAUAUCUACCAAAGCAUGUUUUUGUAGAAGCGCAAACGAAAUAUGUUGUGCAGCGGAAAGGCUGUUAUUCAAUGUUUCUAAUGUGAGUCAAACCAGAUGCAUCAUGCAUAUAACAAAUUUCCUUUUGAAACGAGGCAAAAUACUUGCAACUUUUAUUAAUUAUAAAAAGAAUGAUAAUUCUCUCGUUAAUUAGGCAUCUCCCAAUGCUCCAUCUUAGAUGUUACAAGGUAAUUAAGAGAAGAGAGAUGAGUGUGACAACCCCAAAAAGAAACAAUGUCAAGAGCAUAAACCUAGGCAAAACACUUAAAUAAAAAAAUCCAUGAAUGCAUGAAUAACUUCAGUUGCUAAAUUAAUAAAUGAAGGAUGCUUAACAACAACAAGUUAAACACCUACGCAUUAAGGGUUUUAGUUGCUAAGUCUUUUACUAUGCUUAGCACCUUAUGUUGACACCGAUGCAUUGGAAGUAGCCUUUAGAAAGUCAGCCUAUAGCCAAGUAUUUAAUAAAUUUAUUUUUCACGAUAGAUAUGGUAAUGACCUAUUCAUUCUUAAGUUUAUGGUUACGACAACUCUCAAUGUAGUUUCCCUAGCUAGGAUUCAGUGUCACCUUGACCACGCUUACUCCAUGCCCCGUUUUGACAUCGUAGUCAAUUACGGUAAUUCUGCAGUUUAACUAAACUUUUACAUACUUUUGCUAUUUGUUCAAUAGUGAUAUUCGCCUACAUAGGAAAUUCUAAGACUAGAUAGUAUUUUAUUUAUUUUUGCAAAAAUAGUUUAUAACUAUUAUAAAAGUUCAUCUAGAAGUCCGAGUAAGUCCCUUUGGUCCAUAGGAUCGGAAUAUCAUAGGAAUAGAAAAAUUAUAGGAAGUGAGAUGAUAGAGAGACGUGUCUUUUGAAGCAGAGGAUAUCAAUUUUUUCAUUGAAUCUAAGCUAAUAUUUUUGUUCCAUUGAAAUGUGACGGAUUGAUUCCUAUCCUACAAAGGAAUAUGUAUUCAUUCCUACAAACCAAAAGGCUUCAUUUUUUUUUCCUUUGAAGAUCCUAGCCGAUAGAAUUCCUAGAAACAAAGGAGGCUUUAAUUGCCAAAAUAACCACAAUUGCGCAGUUUUUUAUUACAAAAUCUUUGUUUUCUAAGAGUUUCUAAAAGACACGUCAUUCCUGAGUAAUUAGAUUGCUAAGAAGACUAAAAGACGUUUAACCAUGUAUUUGAUGCAAAAACUGGCUGUUGAAAAACAUAGUAGAAAACAAAAAACAAAUACACUAUGAUAAAGAUUCCGGAUCACUAUGAAGCCGCGUACAGAGAUUAGGCUGACUCGUUACUUACUUUGAAUACAACAAAAGAAGGGCCGAUGUAGAUCAUUGAUUAAGUCUCUCGAACCGUUCAUGAACCAUCUCUCAAACCGAAGAUAAUGCGCAAUAACUAAUUUAUUUUGCCUUAGUUGUGUAUGUUGAACAAAAAUAAUAAUCUCGAGAAAAAUUUAUGAAGUAUGAUUUCUAUCUUUUCAUACAAGUAUUCAAAACAAUAUUUUCUUGGGGAAGGGGGUAUUUUAAACAAUAUUAGGGGUCAAAGUUACAACUUUUGACUUAAGACAUGACUAAAACAUCAACCCUUUUUUGCAGAGUGGAGUACACCAUAAUAUAUGCAGCUCCACAACCACUAGCGGUGGCUCGAUGAUAAUAAACACUUACAUUCUUCGAAUGCGCAUGAAAUUUGAAAUGCCAAUUAAUAGUCAAUAUUCAUCUUUAGAAUAAUUAAUUAAUUGUGUGUUUAGAGUGCAAGAUGGUGUCAGACAUUCAUGCCACCACACCAUUCACGUACACAUGUGCUUGUUCAGAAUAAUUAUUACAAUCUGAACUUUUCACAAUUGAGACAAUUAAGUUCUUCCGUCGCAAAGAGCUCAUUGUUUUCCUAAAAUCAAAGUAUGCAUUGUAACAAUAUAUGCAUAUGCGUGAGAGGGUUCCUCUUCCGCUCCCAUUCUCCUCCGGCCGGGUCUAUGGGCCCACGGGUCUGAUAUGCUCCUACUAUUGUAUUUGGUCGGUUACCGUCAUUGACGAUGAAGGUUGUGCCCUCCCACGUGUUGAUGGUGCAGCUGCCCUAGUCCCAGCUCCUUUUUGUCGCUGUGAAAGCCUCACUUCACGGUGUCGUGGUGAGACGGCGUGGAGGCUUCAAGACCGCUUGGCGUAGGAUGGUGGUCGGUUUGGUGGCAGGCUCCGACACAUCCGAGGUGAACGUUGGGAUUGGGGGAAACCCCUGUUGGCCUGGCCGACACCGAUGCGGUGGCGUUUGUGGGUGCCGCCACACCUUCCUAGCGGGCGUCGGGGGCUACCCUUCUUCUUACCUCGUCGUGUAUCAGGGGAAACCCUUGGCAGCAGCGUCGUCAUCGUCGCGGUCCUUCUUGGAGGUGUUGAUUGGUACUGACGCUUCAGAGCCUUGGAGCUUGGUGAGAGAUCUUUGGUGGGCGCAGUGGUCGUGAAGCUUCUUCAUUUCUGUCGAUCUGCCAUUGUCGGCACAAUUUCUUUUGUUUUUUCUCUUUCUUUUCUUUUGGAUGUGGUUGUGCUGCUUCCACCCCAGCACCUAUCGUUGGUUGUAUCGGUUGUUUGCUUUGUAAUACAAAAUGGGGGGAAACACAUUUUUGGCAACAAUAUAUGCGUGUACCCCACCACAUAUCUCAUACUAAUCUAAGGGAUUACUUUCCAGCUAGGUAUAUAUGACUUGGGGCGACCCGGGGAACCCUAAGCCGCCACCGCCAGGGGGAAACUCACGUUUUCUCCAGCCGCCACUUCCGCUGGCCAUCGCCGUGGUGGCGGCGGCCCCCUUCCCAUGGAAGGUGUUAGGGGGAGAGGCUCUCUGGGUGCGGAUUCUUCUGGGUGAGAACCUAGAUUAUAGCCUUGCUUGGUUGGAUCUGGUGAGAGCAGUGCUUUAGUGUCGCUCUUUUUUGAAGGCGUUAUUGUUGAAGAACCUCGUCGUUCGUGUGUGUCAUGAGACGUUGGUGCAGAUAUGAUCAUUGACGUAGUUUGUCGUUGGCACAUCUUAUCGCUUUGGAUAAAUUUUCUCGUAUAUGCAUAGCUUUGGUCUUAUAUGACUUAGCUAUUGCCAACGUGUUUCUGUGUGCGUGUGUACACCCUAGCUAUGCAAAGAUCGGAUGUGUUCUAUCCUCUUGAUGCUUCAUUUUGAGUCAAUAAAUCCACCCUUUAUCGAAAAACAUAUCUCAUACUACCAUGUAUAUUCCUAUGGAUCGCAUAGUUUGCUUACGGGUUAAGGUCUUACAAUUAAUACCCAAGCCAAACAUCCAAGGCACCUAAUUAUGCAAAGAAGGCACCUAAUUAUGCAAAGAAAAACGAAUUUCCUUGGAAACAAAGAUAACUAAAAUCCACACAUGAUCCAUCCUAAUAUUUUCCCUACUAAAUAGUCCAUGACGCCUUCAUGAUGCGUCACCUAGCGGUCAGUCCAUUUGGAUGGUUGAAUCUCCCGGUACAAAAGACACAAAAAUGUUCUAAUUCAAGCACGACACUACCAAAUUCUCAAAGCCGUACUUUUAGUAAUAAGCCAUAGAAAACAUAGUUGUGGUUGGUCUAGCCAACAUGCCACAAAAAUCAUCGGCAUAAAUGUUGACGCUAAUGUACGUUGGCAUAAUUAGCAACCUCUACAGAAUUAUGAAAUGUUCAACUGUCGGCUAAGACUUGGACUCAUGCUUCAUGUUGAGAUGUUCUCUAGCUCUCUAGAAGUACGACUUUUGCACUCUGGCGAGAGAUGGUGUAGUAUCCCGCGGCGUUUCUUCUUCGAGAAGCAGUGACUGUCUCAUCCAGGUUUCUUUGAGAGGGUCUGCCACAUCUGGGGCGAGGCUCAGGCGCAGCAACCCCACCGCUGCGGCCCCUUGUGUGAUAGCCUGGAUGAGUAGCAGCACUUAGACGCGCACGACAUCAUCUGUGUUGAUGGGGGGCAAACAUUGGGAGUGAGAUGGUUCGUCGCAAGGAGCGCCUUCUCGAGGAAAUUAAGGGCCUAGACGUGAGGGCUGAUUCCAUAGGGCUCUCUAGCGACGAGCGGGCUUGAAGAUACGCGAUUGAGGAAGAGAUGAUCUUCGUGUUAUCAUGUGAGGAGAUGUAUUGGCAGCAACGCGACCAGCAAAAGUGGGUCCUGAAAGGUGAUGUGAGCACGGAAUUCUUCCAUGCAGUCGCUAAUGGUCGUAGACGGAGAUGUAUGAUCCGGCUUUUGAGAGAGGAGAACACCACAUUUACUUCUGAGAGGGAACUUCAGACGCAUAUUGAUGAUUUCUAUAGAGAUCUUUUUGGUUCGGUGUCAGGUGGGGCGGCAACUUUAGGGCCUGAUAUGUGGGGCUCGAUCGGCAGGGUCUCCGAGGCAGAUAACCUCGUUCUUAUCCGCCCUUUUAAUCUUGAAGAGGUGACGUUAAAUCCGAAUGACAUGAGGACCAAUACGGCACCUGGCCCGGAUGGUUUUCCUGUGACCUUCUACAAGAAUUUCUGGAAUGUGAUUGGCCCCCAAUUUUAUAACCUAGUUCAUGAAUUUACGUUGGGGCGUAUAGACAUUAAGCGUCUCAACUAUGGGGUUGUGGCGUUGUUACCUAAAAUCCAAGGGGCAGAUAACAUCCGGCAAUUCAGACCCAUCACGUUAAUUAAUGUGAGUUUUAGGUUGUUGGCCAAGGGGUUCGCUUCCCGUCUUUCGCUGGUGGCUCAUAAAAUUAUCGACCCAAACCAAACGGCCUUCAUCCAGGGAGAAGCAUUCUUGAUGGGAUUGCGGUCCUUCGUGAGGUGCUUCAUAAUAUUAAGGUGACAAAAGAAGAGGUGUUCAUUCUCAAAAUUGACUUCGAAAAAGCGUAUGAUCGAAUGCGAUGGGAGUUUCUUGAGGAAGACCUUAGGGCUAAGGGUUUUGACUCGACGUGGGUUAGUUGGAUGCGCUAAUUGGUUCAAGGGGGUCAGAUGGCCAUAAACGUCAACGGCGAGGUGGGCGCGUUUUUCCGAAAUAAAAGAGGGGUGAUACAAGGGGAUCCGGCAUCCCCUCUAUUGUUCAAUAUUCUGGCCGAUACGCUUGUCGCGAUCCUGGAUCAUGCCAAGACUGCAUGACAUAUUUCGGGAGUCGUGACAUGCAUCAUUCUUGGAGGUAUCACUCACCUGCAAUACGCCGAUGACACGCUCAUCUUCAUUAGGAACUCUCUGAGGGAGAUCACGAAUCUUAAAUUUCUACUUAUGUGUUUCGAGGAGCUGUCCGGGCUCAAAAUUAACUUCGCCAAGAGCGAAGCGAUUGUCACUGGAGGAGAUUUAGAAUCUCAGCUGAGAGCUGCCCAUAUGAUGAAUUGUGAGUUGGGGUCCAUUCCGAUAAAGUAUCUUGGCAUGCCAGUUUCUUCGCGGGCCGUCACUAUGGAAGACUUGCAACCUAUGGUGGAAAAGGUUGAGGCCAGGGUGGAACCUUGGCAGGGAAAAUUGUUGGCCUCGGGCGGCCGCUUGGUUCUUGAAAGUGCAUUCAUGCCCUUAAUCGAGUUUUGGUGUUAAUGACAACACAUACAUAGGAAACUAAUCUUAUUUGUUGAGUGUAUCUCAGGAUGGCAAGUACUCUUAGUAGAUUAAGAAUUAUGUGCCAAGGUGGUCUGAGAAGAUCGGGACUUUUAUGUCAAGAAGGCUCGGGAUUGAGAAAAGAUGAUGUAACCUAUCCUUUAAAUUUACUAUUCUUGAGUAUAGGGAUCCCACACUAUUAAGAGGGGAUCACAGGUUUUGCGAUGAACUUGCUCAUACUACAUCUCUACUUUUCUGCUCAUACCACAUCUCCACUGCUCUGCUUUUAUCUCAAAACAGAACCAAUGCCUCGGACAUCCGGCUUCCUCCGGACGUCCGAGGGCCGGACACCCGACCACUUCGGAAAUCCGGAACCCUACACCAGAGAAAUUCAGAGCCAUAUAACUCGGACUUUCGGCUCCCUCCGGACGUCCGAGGGCCGGACGUCCGACCUCCUUCGGAAAUCCGGAACCCUGCACCAGAGAGAUUUGAGUCAAAUAACUCGGACUUCCGGCCUCCUCCUGUUGUCCGAGGGCCAGACGUCCGACCUCCUUCGGAAAUCCAGAACCUUGCACCAGAGAAACUUGAGUCGAAUAACUCGGACUUCCGGCUUCCUCCGGACGUCGGGUCCAUGUUCAACUACACAGUGGUUCCAGAUAUAUAUACAUCCUUCGGACGACCGACCUCUGUCGGACGUCCGACUCCUUGCGGACGUCCGGACAUCCAAGAACUGCCGGAUGUCCGACCACUGUCAGACUUAAGUGACCCCAACGGUUGUUUUACUCUCCCCACUAUAUAUACGCCCCCUCCCACUUCGUGAGAGGGUGUUCAACACAGCUAGAACACUUACAAGAGCACCUUUCUCCUCACUCACUCUUGCCUACACCCAAUCUUAGAUCCCAAGAGCAUUUGUGAGCCCCUUUGAGUGUUGUUCCAAUCAAAAGAUAGAUCGUCUCCUUCUCCUCCUCUCCACCAAAGUGAUUUGUGAUUUGAGCAAGUUUUGAGCAAUCCCCGUGAUCUUGUUACUCUUGGAGGUUGGAGACUCCUAGGCGGUAGGAGUCCUCGGAGAGGAAUCAAACCAUUGUGAUUACCCCCGGAAAGUUUGUGAAGGUUUGGAAGCCACCUCAAGGCUUACCACUAGUGGUUGAGAAACGCCUUCGUGGAGUUGUCUCAAAGGGAGAAUAGGGUGAGCCUUCGUGGCAUUAGUGUGCCUUCGUGGUAACAUCCGCCCCUCUAACGGUGACGUAGCUCCCCUUCAAGGAAGUGAACACCGGGAUACAUCCUCGUCUCUCUUGGAGUUUCGGUUAUCCCUAACCCUAACUCUCUACUUGUGUUAAUCCUUAUUACAUACUUGCAUUUGAUUAUUGUUUAACCGGUUGCCUUACUUCACUCUAAAUAGCUUACUCCUUGUCAUUGCAAUUAUUAGGCUCACGCUCAUAUUCCGCACCUUUGCCUAAAAUUGCUAAGUAACUAUUAAAAUUUGGAACUGUGCCCAUUCACCCCCUCCCUCUAGGUCCAUCUCGAUCCUUUUCAAUUGGUAUCAGAGCCUCGUGCUCUAUUCUUGUGGCUUAACCGCCCUAGAGCGAGAUGGACGGGACUCCCAUUACUGUAGCUCUAGUGGAGAGGGACGGGACUUCCACGGAAGUCAGGUCCUUCACCUCUGAGGACCUGGAACGGGCCCUUGCCAAGCAAAAAGAGGAGCAUGAUGCUUCUCUUGAGGCCUUGGUCCAAAUAAGACUGGCAUCAUUAACCACGGGGACAACCACGUCCCCGAGGGCCUCACGGCAAAAUGUGCACGGUUCUUCAUUUGGCCAACAACCUCCAGGCAAUAACCAAACCAGUGUUCCAUGGCUUUAUGCUAGAUCUCAAGUUGAGAAACCUAAGUACAAUCCUGGAGGAAAACCUCCUUUGCUUGAUGACAAUUCCGAUUUUGCUUUGUGGAGAGUUGGUAUGCAGGAUCAUCUUAGGUACGCCAAUGGUGAGAUGUUGGACAUCCUCGAGCAUGGCUACAAUCCUGCAGAUCCAAGGUGCCUCACUCCCAGAGAAACUUAUGACAAGCAUCUCAACGACACUCGAUCAUGUGCAUAAGAAAAGGAAUGAAUGACAAGCAACGGAGACCUUACAUACACAUCACAAGCGCCAAGGAACUGUGGGAUAGCAUUAUAAGGACCAAGACUGGUACCUCCACUCUUUGGCUUGCUCAAUAUGAAAUUGCCAAGGGGCAAUUGCAGAAUUUUUGUAUGGAAAAGGGUGAAUCUCCCAAGCAACUGCUAGAACGGCUCAUGACUCUCGCCGUAGACAUUGAGUCAUGUGACUGUGACAAGACGCAAGAUGGUUUCAACCUGACCAAGAGAUUUCUCGUGGACAAGUUACUUCAUGCUCUUGCUCCGUACCACCAUCAAAUGGUAUGGGACAUGAGGCAGCACCAUGGGUUCAAAGAAAUGACUCCAGAUGACAUCAUAUCCACUUUCCAAUUAUUUGAAGAGUCAAAGGCAAAUGCAACAAAGCACCUUGCCAUGCAUGGCACUUCAACAUCAAAGAUCAAUCUUGCUUUGAAAGCCAAGCAUGAAUGUGACGAAGAAGAAAGUGAAGAAGAAGAAGAGGGUGAUGAUGACUGCGAAGAUGGUGAUGAUGUUGACUCUAAUGAAAGCCCAUCUUAUGAGGACAUUGCUCUCUUUGUAAAGAAGUUCAGUGCAGGAAAAUUCAAGGGAAGAUUCCCAAAGAAGAAAGUAAGGAAAUGCUAUAACUGUGAGGAAACCAACCACUUCUCCAAUGACUGCCCUUAUGAGAAGAGAGAAGAUAAACCAAGGUUUCCGAAGACCUUUGUAAAGAAGAAAUUGCCAAACCCUAUGAACUCCAAGCUCAAGAGAAUAGAUGGAAGAGCAAUGGUUGCACAAGAAGAAUCAGAUCCAGAAGACGUUGGUGGGGUUGCCGGAGUAGCUCAGGAUACACAAAACACCUUGAGGCUAGUCAACAAAAGUGGCGAUGUUGUUCACUACAACUAUAUGAAAGACUACAAGGGCAACGCCCACAAGUGUUUGAUGGCAAAGACUAUCAUAGAAGAUGAGGAAGACCAAAGCUCCCAUGAUAAGGUUAAGGUAACUCCACGGUUAAACUCCUUCAGUCUAGCUUCUACCUCAUCUGAUGAGUACCUUGAUGCAGAAGAUCACUAUGAGGACAAUGACUUAGAUCAUCCUAUGUUUGCCAAAAUAAACAAAUUUAUGUGCUCUCUUAAAGGAAAGAAGCUCACUAUGUUUCGCAUACUUAUGGAAAUGGUGAGUAAGCACACCAAUACCAUCAAGGAACUCGAAACCCUCAUCACUGAGGAGAAGGAAAGAAAUGAAAUCCUUGAGCAGAAAGUCAUGUAUGAGGAAGCACAAAAUGAUGCAUUAUGCUCAAAAGUUGGUGAAAACCUUGAUAAACAUGCUAACGAUCUUGCCUCCUUGAAAAAGGCUGAAUCUGUGUGCAAAGAGUUAUUAAAUGAUAAAAACCGACUUGUGAAUUCUCAUGCUUCUCUUUCUAAGGACUGUGAGCGCCUAUCUGAAAGUGCAGUCAUGCCCUUCAUCGUGUUUUGGUGUUGCUUACAACACACAUAUAUAUAAUUAAUCACUAAACCUUUUUAAGCUAUUGUGAAUGAUCAUGUAUUGAUAAGGACAAGCUCAUGUGCUAACAAGGACAAGAUGAAGAUAAGCAUUCCUGAGCACUACAUGCUUGAUCCUUGUGGAUGUUCACAUGGUGGACAAAUGAAGAUAAAUAUAUAAGCUAGGCUUUCCACAUUGUGUAUGGGAGAGCUACUUGAAGACUUCAUCAUGUCUUGCUUUCAACAUUGAGCCAAGAAGGAACAACAACAUCAAGCUCAAGUGAAAGGGAUAACUCAAGGUAUCAGUUACUUUGAUGUUAGCGGUGCAGAGUGAUGAUCAGCAAAUAAAAGUACACACUCAAGUAUGGAUCAUCGGUAUCCCUUUUACAAUUCUUGAGUCUUUAGGGAUCCCGCACUAUUAAGAGGGGAUCACAGGUUAUGUGAUGAACUUGCUCAAACUAGAUAUCCACUAUUCUGCUCAAUACCACAUAUUCUCUACUCUGCUCCUAUCUCAAAACAGGUCUAAUGUCUUGGAUUUCCGGCUCCCUCCGGACGUCCGAGGGCCGGUCAAGGGUCGGACGACCGACAGGCUUCGGAAAUCCGGAGCCCUGCACCAGAAGAACUUGAGCCCUAUAACUCGGAUUUCCACCUCCCUCCAUACAUCCGAGGGCCGGUCGACCUACCAGCUUCGGAAAUUCGGAGCCCUGCACCAGAAGAACGUGAGCUCUAUAACUCGGAUUUCCGGCUCCCUCCGGGCGUCCGAGGGCCGGACGUCCGACCCCUUCGGAAAUCCGGAACCUUGCACCAGAAGAAGUUGAGUCGAAUAAACUCGCAUUUCUGGCCUUCUCCGGACGUCCGGUCCCUGUUCAACUCAUAGUGUUUCUAGACAUAUCUACAGCUCUCGGACGACCGACCCCUGUCGGACGUCCGACCCCUUGCGGACGCCAGGACUUCCGUUAACUGUCGGACGUUCGAACCCUGUGUGACUUAAGCUGUCCCCAACGGCUGUUUUUACACUCCCCACUAUAUAUACCCCCUCCCACUUCGUGAGAGGGUGUCCAACACAGCCAUAUCCUCAUAAGAACACAUUUCUACCUCACACACAUUUGCUCACACCACAUCUUAUAUCCCAAGAGCAUUUGUUAGCCCCUUUGAGAGUUGUUCCAAUCAAAAGAUAGAUCGUCUCCCUCUCCUUCUAUCAACCCAAGCUAUUUGAGAUUUGAGCAAGUUUUGAGCAUUCCCCAUGAUCUUGUUACUCUUGGAGGUUGGAGACUCCUAGGCGGUAGGAGUUCUUCGGAGAGGAAUCAAUCCGUGUGAUUACCCCCGGAAAAGUUUGUGAGGGUUUGGAAGCCACCUCAAAGGCUUAGCACUAGUGGUUGAGAAAUGCCUUCGUGGUGUUAUCUCAAAGGGAGAAUAGGGUGAGCCUUCGUGGCAUUGGUGUGCCUUCAUGGUAACAUCCACCUCUCUAACGGUGACUAGCUUCCCUCCAAGGAAGUGAACAUCGGGAUACAUCUUCGUCUCAGUGACCUUGGUUAUCCUUAACCCUAACUCCUUACUUGUGGUUUACUUGUGUUACUUGAGCAUACAUACAUUGCAUAUUGGUUGUGCUCACUAUAUUGUGUUGGCUAUUUCUUGUACAAGAUUAAUCACUCAAUCAUACCCUCUAUAUCCACACGUUCACACUUGCAGCUUUUGAUAUAUCGUGUGAUAUAGCGUGAUCUAGUAUAUUGUGUCAUUCACCUACUUGUCGUGUGAUAUAGCUCAAGUAAGUUUGUGUAACUUACUUGUGCUCGUUAGUAACUGUAUUGUGUCCAUCUUGGUAGAUCGUGUUGUUGAUACACGUUGCAGUGCCUAGUGCAUUUAGGAUUUGUGCUUGACAAGUACCCUCUUAGUUUAUUUCCACGUUAGGUUAAGCCAAAUCCAAAUAAGUUUUUAAAUAGCCUAUUCACCCCCCUCUAGGCGUCAUCGAGGUCUUUUCACUAUCCUUGUCUCUCAAGGACAAGGAAGAGAAACUCAUUGUUCUUACAAAGAGCUUUGAGGCACUCAAGGUUACUUAUCAUGACACUCUAGCUAAGGCUUACUCCUCACCUAUUAUGAAUGUUGAUACAUGCUCUGCUAACUCUAGUAGUGAACUGACAUCUAUCCUUGAGGAAAACUGUUCGCUAAAGGAACGGCUAGAUAGAGGUCUCAUGACAUGUGCACAAGGACAAAAGACUCUCAAUGAGAUCUUAAGUCAACACAAUGAAGUCUUUGCCAAGGAAGGGCUUGGGUUCAAUCCAAGCACCGCCAAGAAAAGUGUAUCUCCUCUCAAGUGCACCACCCCGCUUAAAGAAAUAUUUGUACGAGAGGGACACAAGUAGAAAGGUAAGGUUGUGAGUGGGUCGGCCACUAGGGGUGUGCCCACUCUCAACAAGACAACUGAAUUCAUGCCUCCAUCCUAUGUACUUCGCAAAUCAAAGGAAGGAGAGGUUUAUGCUAAAUUCAUUGGUCCCCGUAGUGCAUUCCGGUUUUAUGCUAUUUGGGUCCCUAAGACUCUUGUAACUAAUGUGAGAGGCCCCAUGAUGAAAUGGGCACCUCAAACCAAGUCUUAAUUCGUGUACAGAUUGUUUUCUCCGGAGGAGUCAAAUGGGUGAUCGAUAGUGGAUGCACCAAUCAUAUGACCGGAUAUAGUAACUUGCUCUAUGACUUCAUGCAAGCCAUUCGACCAUACAUGUGCAUUGUAUUUGGUGGAGGGUCGAAAGGGCAGGUAAUUGGGUUGGGCAAGGUGGCAAUCACUAAUGACAUGUCUCUUGCAAAUGUCAUGCUUGUCCAAUCUCUUCAAUAUCAUUUGCUUUCAGUUCGCCAAUUGGCUUCCGUUGGUUAUGACACACUAUUCGGACUAACGGAUGUGAAAAGUCUUUAAGAGAGACACUCUCGAAGUGGCCUUUGUUGGAGAGUUGGAUGGCAACCUUUACACGAUUGAUUUCUCGAAAGAGAGCACUUUCCAUACAACUUUUCUGAUGGCCAAGGCUGACAUGGGAUGGUUGUGGCAUCGCCGGCUUGCCCAUGUCGGCAUGAGAAAUCUUCAAAAUCUCUUAAACGACAAUCACAUCCUUGUACUAACUAAUGUAUCUUUUAAGAAAGAUCGUGUGUGCAGUGCAUGCAUAGCUGGGAAGCAACAUCAAUCAAAACACCCACCCAAGAAUAUUGUAUCCACUUCAAGGCCGUUAGAGCUCCUUCAUGUGGAUCUGUUUGGGCCUCCUUCAUGGGCAAGUCUUGGUGGGAAAACGUAUGGCCUAGUCAUUGUUGAUGAUUACUCAAGGUACACAUGGGUAUUCUUUCUCAAGUCCAAGGACGAGACGAAGAUCACCUUCAUUGAUUUUGCCAAACAAGUCCAGCGGAAGUUUGACAAGGACAUCAAGGCAAUAAGAAGUGAUAAUGGCUCCGAGUUCAAGAAUUACACCCUAGAAGAAUUUCUUAGUGAUGAGGGAAUUGAACAUCAGUACUCCGCACCUUACACCCCUCAGCAAAAUGGUGUAGCAGAGAGGAAGAACCGGACACUUGUGGAAAGGGCAAGGUCCAUGUUAGGCGAAUACAAGUCACCACAUAGUUUUUGGGCUGAGGCUGUCAACACAGCAUGUCAUGCAUCAAACCGGCUCUUCCUUCGAUCAAUAUUGGAAAAGACUCCAUAUGAGCUCCUAACCGGGAACAAGCCCAAUGUCAAGUACUUUCGUGUAUUUGGAUGCAAGUGUUUCAUCCUCAACAAACGGGAACGGUUAGGAAAAUUUCAAUCCAAAACAAUUGAAGGGAUUUUUGUUGGCUAUGGAUCAAACUCUCACGCCUACAUAGUCUACAACAAAACCACUGGAUGUGUUAUAGAAACCUGUGACGUGACGUUUGAUGAAUUUAACCGCUCCCGGGGAGCAAGUUGAUCUAAAUGAUGCAGGUGAAGAAGAUUCCUCGCAAGAUAUCUUGAACAUGGGUGUAGGUGCACUUCUUCCCAUGGAACAAAGACCCCAUGAUGAUGAUGAAGAUGAUGAGAGUAUUUCUCAUCCUCAAGACAGUUCACUGUCCGUACCUCCACAAGAUACUAGCACACAUAUCAUGCCAGUUGUUGAGGAUCAAGUGGGAGAACAUGUCUCUCACCCCGAUCACACUCAAGAACAAGUUGACCUUCAAGAGCUAGACCAAAGUAUGGAUAUGGUUGAUGAUGAACCUCAAAAGGUGCAACGCGAGGAGGAAUAUCUUCCACCGCACGUUAAUGAUCCAUAUGUUGAGGACGUUGAUGAUGGAAACGAAGUUGAACCUCGUGAAACCCUGACCUCCAUCAUGCCACGUGUGGCCGGUCGUGUUGAUAUUGAUCAAAUCCUCACCGGCGUGUAGGAAGGUAGAGUGAGUCGUAAACAAUUAACAAACUUUUGUGCUCACUUUUCGUUUAUCUCUAGUACUGUGCCACACAGGGUUCAGGAUGCAUUGUGUGACAAUGACUGGCUCCUUGCUAGGCAAGAAGAGUUAAACAGUUUUACACGCAACAAAGUAUGGUCAUUGGUAGAACGACCAACUGAGGAACACAAUGUCAUUGGAACUAAAUGGAUCUUCAAGAACAAGGAAGAUGAGAAUGGGACUGUCCUCCGCAACAAGGCAAGGUUAGUAGCACAGGGGUACUCCCAAGUUGAAGGUUUGGAAUUUGGUUUGACUUUCGCACCUGUUGCUCGUCUUGAAUCCAUUCGCUUUCUAUUGGCCUAUGCUGCUUUCAAUGGUUUUACUUUGCAUCAAAUGGAUGUGAAAAGUGCUUUUCUUAAUGGUCCUCUACAAGAAGAGGUAUAUGUAUCACAACCACCUGGGUUUGUUGACCCCCAUCACAAAGACCAUGUGUACAAACUUCACAAGGCUCUGUAUGGCCUCAAACAAGCACCCCGUGCUUGGUACAAUCAUGUUAAGAAGUUCUUACUCGAUGAUGGCUUUGUGGUAGGGGUGAUCGAUCCCACUCUUUUUACUAAGAGGGAAAAUGGUGAUUUGAUCUUAUGCCAAAUCUAUGUAGAUGACAUAAUUUUUGGUUCUCCUAACAUCCAUUUAUGCAAGAAGUUUGCGGCCUCCAUGACCAAGACCUUUGAGAUGUCACUCAACACGGACUUGAAGUUCUUUCUUGGGUUUCAAAUACAACAAUUUUAAGAAGGAAUUUUCUUGUCUCAAACUAAAUACCUCAAGGACAUUCUUGAAAAAAUUGAUAUGACAAAUGCUAAACCAAUGAAGACACCCGGCCACAGAUGUCGUUCUAAAUGAAGACACCAACGGUAUUCCUUUUGACCCAUCUACUUACCGCUCUAUGAUUGGUCCGUUACUUUAUCUUUGCGCAUCUAGACCGGACAUCAUGUUAAGUGUAGGCAUAUGUGCUAGAUUUCAAGCUUCCCCUAGGGAAAGCCAUCAUAUGGCGGUUAAGCAUAUUCUUAGAUACCUUGUUCACACCCCAAAGUUAGGCCUAUGGUACCCUAAGGAUGCAAAGUUCGAUCUUAUUGGGUACUCCGAUGCGGAUUGGGCCGGUGACAAAGUGGGACGGAAAUCCACUUCCGGUGCAUGUCAGUUUCUUGGACGUUCCUUGGUAAGUUGGUCCUCGAAAAAGCAGAAUUGUGUUUCUCUCUCCACGGCCGAGGCCGAAUAUAUUGCAGCCGCAAGCUGUGCAACCCAACUGCUAUGGAUGAGGCAAACCCUAAAGGAUUAUGGCAUCACGUAUCGACACGUGCCUCUUCUCUGUGAUAAUGAAAGUGCCAUAAAGAUCUCCGAGAACACCAUUGAUCACCCUCGCACAAAACAUAUUGAUAUUAGGUAUCAUUUCUUGAGAGACUAUGUGCAAAAGGGUGACAUUGAUAUUGCCCAUGUGGGUACCGACAUGCAGCUCGCUGACAUUUUCACCAAGCCACUUUGCGUAGCAAGAUUCUGUCAACUUAGGCGUGAACUUGGUAUCUUGGAGCUUGAUAACAUAACUUGAAAUCCUGUACACAUGCACACACUCACAUUAUGUUCUUGUCUUGAUGUCAGCAUGCAUUUAGGUGGAGUCACUAGGACUCACGUCAUAAUUUUGUGUUUUAACCCUACAAUAUGCAUAAAUCAAUUGCUUUCCCCAAGUAGUAUAUAUAAUUCUUGUAGGCAACUGUGUUGGGUGUCCCUUGUGAUAAACCAUGUCAAAUCACCUCAUCAUCCAAAUCCCAGAAUUUGCCUCUGCCUACCUCUCUCUCAGUCGUCCGACGAGUCUCGGACGUCCGAUGGCUAAACACACUCCGGACGUCCGGCAGAUGUCGGUCGUCCGACGUCUAAACACAUUCUGGACGUCCGACGCCCGUCGGACGUCCGACACAUCGGGAGCUCUAUAAAUAGAGGGGCGCGGGCUGGGCCUUGCCCUAGCCCCCACGCGCCUCCUUUUCUCCCAGCCGCCGCCGCCAGCGCCACAGGAGCUCGACCGCGCCGCCACCGGGGGCCAUGCCCCGCGAUCUGGCUGAUCUCCUCCGCGGGAUUCGUCCCCCUUUCCUAUCCUCCCGCGAUCUGCAGGCCUUGUUCCAUCAUGCCCAAGAUUAAGCACACUACCCGGAAGAACUCUGCUGGCUCAUCCGCUCGUGCCCCUCUUGGCACGGGGUCGGAUGACUCUGAUGGACCAUGCCGUCCCUUCAAAUGGGUCGCCCGGCGUCCUCCUCCACAGCUCCACUCCUCGUCUGAUGGCUCAGACUUCGAGGAUGAGCUGGCAGCUGAGGAACGUACUGAACACGUUGCCGCUCGGAAGACUAUGCCGAAGCCUGGGACUCGCAUGCCCUCAUAUAUGCCACCGCCUCCUCCUGAACAGCCCGAAGGUGAAGCUCGUCGCAUCUCUCUUGAACCUCCUCCUACUUUAGGUCAUGAAGUCAAGGACUUCACCACGGUUCCUAAGUCUUCCUACUUCACAUUCCGCCGCGAUGUUGACCAAUUUUCUGUUGUACGUGACUCUAUGGACGCACGUUUCCGCACAAACGUCCAAGCGGACGUCUUUUCUACUGACAUCAUUCCUAAGGGUCUCUCCGUCCAUCAUUAUAUUGAUCUUGAGCAUAUUCGCACGCACCCGGCGAAAUACCCGGGUGCCAUUGAGCCCAUUGAGUCAUCAGGGCUCGCUGCCCCCUUUGCUUUUUGAUGCGAUUUUAACAGUGCUGCUAUUCAUCAAUUUUAUGCCACAUGUUUCUUUGGCUCAAACAACACUGUUAGCUGGAUGACUUCUGAUGUUGAGUUCACAACCUCUUAUGAUGAGUUUGUUGCCGCACUCGGUUUCCCCGACUCCGGCUUCAAAAUCCAUAAGAAUGAUCCUAACCAUGCACAUAAGCCCAUUGAGGCAUGUGGGCUUCACCUCAAACCCCUUCGUGAACUUGAUGCAGACGAACGGAUGAAGGAUCUUAAUCAAGUAUCCAUCUGGCGCUCUCCCUACUUUAUCAUUUUUCAGUGUCUUAUCCGCACCAUCUAUCCCAAGAUGGGUGAUAGGGGAUCCUGCAGCGGCUACUGUAUUGACAUCAUGUCACAUUUACCAGAGUCCCCCAAGAGCAAGAUUAAUGUGCCUCACUUUCUCUAGCAUGAGAUUCGGCUCGUUAGUUAUCAAUACAAGCAAGCCUUCCCUCAUGCCCCCUUCAUCCAGGCUUUUAUUCACCAUGUUGCUGAAUUCACUGUUGCUCUCACUCACACGCAUCACAAGUGGGUCAUUCCCGCUCACAUGGCGGAUAACUAUGCUCCCAAGAAAACCCCAUCCACCUCCACUCGCCGCACUGCUGCCCGGUCAGCAACCCCUUCAUCCAGCUCAGCUCCUCUCGGUCGCUUUGCCAAAUUCAUUGGCAAGGCACAUUCUGCUAUGAUGAAGGCCUUCUCUUUCCAGUGUGGUCAAACUCAUGAUGUGGUUUCUCGCCUCGUCUCCUCCAAGAAUGCCCUCAAGGCUCGUCUGAGAGACUCGGGCGCUCUUGAUGUGAGUGACGAUGAGGCUCUUCCUGCUGCUCCUCCUUCUGACUUCGGCUUCCCAUCUGGUCCUGAGUGGGCUGAUUUUCUUGACGAGGCUGGUGGCAGUGGCUUGCCUGACGAUGAGGAUGAUGAUGAUGAUGUUGUUGAUGAUCUCUGAGCAUGGUUGAUGCUGUUGGUACCUCCCUUUUUGGUACUUGGUGCCAAAGGGGGAGUAAUGUAUCCUAGUUUUAGUCUUUGGAGAUCUAGUCUCAAUUUGCAUGUUUGUGUAAUGUAAUGGAUAAACGACUGUGAUGCACUAUGUAUGGCUACCUAUGAAUGUUGUGAUUGCUAUGGAUUGCUAUGAUAUCAUCGUAUGCUAUUAUGUUUUGCUCCAUUACUUCAUAUGAUGAUAUAUUAUCUUUACUAAGUCACAUGAUAUUUUUGAUACACACAUUAAAAGGGAGCUCCGAUAUUUUAGCAUGCACAUACUAAGGGGGAGCUCCGUACUAAACCUCUCCAAAGCUAAAAUGUAUGUUAAAUCUUUUGAGAGCUAUGUAUAUGUUGUCAUCAACUACCAAAAAGGGGGAGAUUGAAAGUGCAGUCAUGCCCUUAAUCGAGUUUUGGUGUUAAUGACAACACAUACAUAGGAAACUAAUCUUAUUUGUUGAGUGUAUCUCAGGAUGGCAAGUACUCUUAGUAGAUUGAGAAUUAUGUGCCAAGGUGGUCUGAGAAGAUCGGGACUUAUAUGUCAAGAAGGCUCGGGAUUGAGAAAAGAUGAUGUAGCCUAUCCUUUAAAUUUACUAUUCUUGAGUAUAGGGAUCCCGCACUAUUAAGAGGGGAUCACAGGUUUUGCGAUGAACUUUCUCAUUCUACAUCUCUACUUUUCUGCUCAUACCACAUCUCCACUGCUCUGCUUUUAUCUCAAAACAGAACCAAUGCCUCGGACAUCUGGCUUACUCCGGACGUCCGAGGGCCGGACGCCCAACCACUUCGGAAAUCCGGAACCCUACACCAGAGAAAUUCAGAGCCAUAUAACUCGGACUUCCGGCUCCCUUCGGACGUCCGAGGGCCGGACGUCCGACCUCGUUCAGAAAUCCGGAACCUUGCACCAGAGAGAUUUGAGUCAAAUAACUCGGACUUCCGGCCUCCUCCUAUUGUCCGAGGGCCGGACGUCCGACCUCCUUCGGAAAUCCGGAACCUUGCACGACAGAAACUUGAGUCGAAUAACUCGGACUUCCGGCUUCCUCCGGACGUCCGGUCCCUGUUCAACUACACAGUGGUUCCAGAUAUAUAUACAUCCUCCGGACGACCGACCCUUGUCGGACGCCCGGCUCCUUGUGGACGUCCGGACAUCCGAGAACUGCCGGAUGUGUGACCACUAUCAGACUUAAGUGACCCCAAUGGUUGUUUUACUCUCCCCACUAUAUAUACCCCCCCUCCCACUUUGUGAGAGGGUGUUCAACACAGCUAGAACACUUACAAGAACACCUUUCUCCUCACUCACUCUUGCCUACACCCAAUCUUAGAUCCCAAGAGCAUUUGUGAGCCCCUUUGAGUGUUGUUCCAAUCAAAAGAUAGAUCGUCUCCUUCUCCUCCUCUCCACCAAAGUGACUUGUGAUUUGAGCAAGUUUUGAGCAAUCCCCGUGAUCUUGUUACUCUUGGAGGUUGGAGACUCCUAGGCGGUAGGAGUCUUCGGAGGGGAAUCAAAUCAUUGUGAUUACCCCCGGAAAGUUUGUGAAGGUUUGGACGCCACCUCAAGGCUUACCACUAGUGGUUGAGAAACGCCUUCGUGGAGUUGUCUCAAAGGGAGAAUAGGGUGAGCCUUCGUGGCGUUGGUAUGCCUUCGUGGUAACGUCCGCCCCUCUAACGGUGAUGUAGCUUCCCUCCAAGGAAGUCAACACCGGGAUACAUCCUCGUCUCUCUUGGAGUUUCGGUUAUCCCUAACCCUAACUCUCUACUUGUGUUAAUCCUUAUUACGUACUUGCAUUUGAUUAUUUUUUAACCUGUUGCCUUACUUCACUCUAAAUAGCUUACUCCUUGUCAUUGCAAUUAUUAGGCUCACGCUCAUAUUCCGCACCUUUGCCUCAAAUUGCUAAGUAACUAUUAAAAUUUGGAAUUGUACCUAUUCACCCCCCCCCUCUAGGUCCAUCUCGAUCCUUUUCAGUCCUAAUAAACGAUUGCCUCACGAAUAUCCCCAUGUUCAUCAUGGGCUUUUAUCUUCUCCAGGUUGGGAUUCAUGAGAAACUGAAUAAGGUGAGGUCGAGAUUCUUCUGGGCCAAGGAGAACGGGAAACAAAAGUACCACAUGGUUAGUUGGGAUCACAUUUGCCAACCCAAGGAGGUUGGAGGUUUGGGGUGAUAAAUACUAAGGUUAUGAAUUGGUGCCUCAUGACUAGGCCUGGGCAUUCGGUUACCCGGAAGAGUUCGGUUCGGUACUUCGGGUUAUUUUUAAUUUCGGUUUUGAGAAUAUGCUACCCGAUCGGUUAACUAAAAAAGAGAUAACCUAGAAUUCGGUGCACCAGAUAUUCGGUUCCGUGCUCGAGUUGACCGAGUAGGACCGAUACACUUCAGUGUAGAAUCACCGCCGCUCGCCAAAGUUUUUUUUGAAGGGUCCGCCGCUUGCCAGACUUGAUGGCAGAGAAAUGCAACUAUGCAAGAUAGGUUUAGAUAGCAGCAGGCAACGAGCGCAUUCUUUCAUGGGGCAGUGUGCAACUAAAAAAGCUGAUGGGUGUCUGCGCAAGAAAAAAACUGAUGGGUGACAACGUGUCACGGGAAAGAGCAAGGAGACGUCGCUAUCGAACUAUCCAUGAUGCCUCGAGUAUAUCCAGGAGAAGGUGUAAGGCAUGUUUCUUUUUUUCUUUUAACAAAGCCUAUGUAUGUUUUAUAGUCGUCUAGGAAAAGAAAAAUUGACGUGCACUACUUGUUUGAUGGGCUAAUCGGCCUAGCUGGAUGGGCUUUACUUAAUAUUAUAUAGAGUAGUAAAAUACUUCGGUUCACUCGGGAGAUUCGGUCAGCGGACUCCAGUGACCGAAUUCACCGAACUAAUUUCGGUUUUUGCCAUUUGCUAACCGAACAAACAAUUGAAGCUUCGGUUCUAGGUUAUUUCAGCUUCGGUCUCGGUUUUUUCGGCUUCGGUCUUCGGUUCUCGGUUUUUAUGCCCACCCCUACUCAUGACCAAGUGGUCGUGAAGGAUUCUAACGAGUACAGGUGGUUUAUGGCUCGAUAUCUUCACGAGAAAGUAUUUGGCCGAGGACGGUAUAGACUUUAAGAGAAACAUUAGGCUAUCUCAUUUUAUGAGGGACGUGCGGAAAGUGCAAUUUCUUCUUCGGCUAGGGACGAAGUUUACCAUCCACUACGGGUUGUCAGCGUGUUCUUGGUUAGAUAGGUGGUGUGGUAAUGAACGUCUAUGCUCUUCCUUCCCGGCUCUGUUCGCGAUAUUAUCCGAGCCUAAUGCUAAGGUAGCCGAAGUGUGGCGGCAUGGGAGGUGGAUGCCCCGGUUCAGCUGCUCCCUAGGAGAGGAGGAAGGCACCGAAUGGGAGGACCUUCGUACCAAGCUUAGCACGCACCGCCUGGACUCAGAGAGGGAGGAAGUGAUUUGGCAGCUUGAGCCAUAAGGUAGAUUUUUGACUGGCUCCCUUUAUAGGGAGAUUUUCUCCUCAAGGACCCCUUGCGACCUGUCGGGGCCAUGGAGGGCCUGGAUCCCAGCCAAAGUUAAGAUCUUCAUAUGGCAGGUGGCUCGACAGCGGAUCCCCGAUGGGGACCAAGUUCUUAAACAUCAUGGACUAGGUGAUGGUAAGUGUGUCAGGUGCCAGGACCCCGAGGAUUGUGAUCAUAUUCUCUUUCGAUGUUUGAUGGCUCGUUUUGUCUAGAGCGCUAUAUGCGAGGUGAGUGGGUCUACUUGGAAUCCAAGUGGGUUCUCCUCAUUCUAUAGAUUGUCCUUGGCCACGACUAGGAGGGAUCGGCGGCUGGCGUGGGUUGGCUUAGGCGCACUGGCCUGGGCCCUGUGGACCACAAGAAACAAAGCUCUGAUUCAGGGAUCCUUUCUUCGACAUUCGGCUGAUCUUCUAUACAAAAUGGUCUCUCUAUUGCAGAUGUGGAAGCUAUUGGCUCGGGCAGGAGAUUGGGGGCUCAUGGAGGGUCUCGCCUCAAGACUUCGGACAAAAUGUGCUGACCUUCGCAGAGCUCUGUGAGACGUCCGGCUCGCCGUCGGUGCAUUCUCUCAGCCUUUUAGCGUAGUGUCACUGCGUUAUUGCCUACGGGCUUGUACCUUUUUUUCCUUUUUUCGCUUUGCUGAACUGUUGUUUUCCUGGACGUGUAAGGGCCUCAGUCUAAGGCCUGGCAAGCGUCUCUUUUCUAAAAAAACUAGAAUUACCCAAAGCACUUGUCACAACUGAACUAGGAUUUGAUCUACAUUCUUGUACAAUAAAGGCCAUUCCAAAAAGUAAGGAGUAAAUAUGUUAGUUAAAGUGAUAACUUCUUUUUUCAGACAAAUAUAUGAGCCAUUCUUCCAGGGUCACUCCAUACCACCAAGGAGUAAAAACAGAGACCACCUCACUUCGAACACUUAUAUAGAAGUAUAAUGCAAUCAAUGACCUAAUUUUAGCUUACUUAGGGCAUCUCCAAUAAUUUGUAUGUAGUAUUGUUGGUAAAAUUAUCCAUGUCAUCAACCAACAAGGGAUCAUACAACUACUCCAAUAGUUACAUCCAAAUUAUUCAAUAGGAGAAGAGGGAAUAAAUGCAAUUGCUCUUUGUGUAACCUUUGAGCUUGUGCAAGAGCUGUUGGUUAAGAACAAGUACAAUAAGAUACAGUAAGCAGGCUGUAAGGAUUAAAAUACUAUAUUUUUGCUGAGUUGGAUGAGAGAGAAGAGGACAGAGAAGGGAAGCAGACUCUUCGUGAGGAGCUAGCUCUAGCACGUGCUCGCACGUGCUCCUAGGUGCUUUGUGAGAAUGAAAGGUGUGCCAUAUAUGAUAAAAGUAGUACUCUUUUAUAGCUAACUAUUGUACAAGUUAGCUUUUUUUUGCAUUGAACUUAUGAGCUUUAUUCAACCAAAGGAGUUCGCUGGGCAGUCAGCCAAUAGGCUACUAACCAGAAAACUGGGAGUCUCAGAGAGCCAACUCUCGGUUACAGACACGCUACAUGCACGCUGUGCACACAAAUGUGCUGGACCAUUGGCUGAUCUACUAACAUGCUGAAUUACAAAAGAAUGAAAAACUGGGAGUCUCAGAGAGCCAACUACUACAUGCACGAUUUCGUUUAUAACUGGUGCCACAACAGAGCGACUGUUGUGGCGAUUGUUCCAGAGAUUCACCAUCUCCAGACUGUCGGUCUCCAUUAUCACAUUGGCGAAACCUCUCAGAUUUGCAAAGAUAACUCCAUCCCGUAGGGCUAAUGCCUCGGCGAUCAUAGGAUCAGUGACCCCUGGAUGGGGCUUGCACCAGGCGCCCAACAAAGAUGUCUAUGAGCGGGCGACACCCCCCGCACCACUCUUCUCUUCUAAGAACCGCACUGCUGCGUCGGUAUUGAUCUUCACUUGGUCUAGCUCAGGUAGUCGCCAGCCAUGUCCUGGUAGCAUUGCUUCUUGCUGAUUUGGUACGUCAAGCAAAGCCAGGGCCUCUCGGGUGAGUUUUAUGGAGCUCACCGGAUCGAACCUCUCUCCGUCGUGCGUCCAUCUGUUGCGGGAACUCCAGAUGGACCACAUUAUCGUGAUAAUUGUUGCUCGUUCCUUCGUGGUGAACGUAGACCCACAUAGAAUGUCGCCAGCCCAGGAAGACGGGUGCAGUCUCGGCAGUUUGACGUCCAGCACAAGACGAGCUUCAUCCCAGAACUGCCUCGCAUGCGAGCUAUGAAUUAGCGCAUGCUCCAGGUCUUCCUCAUGUGCUCGACACAGUUUGCAAAAACUGACAUCUCUAAUAUGUCUGAUAUGCAGCAUCUUCUCAUCAUGUAGGAUGCCUCGCAUGACACGCCACCAAAAUACCCGCACCUUAGGGACAAUUUUGAGAGACCAAAGUGCUUUCCACAUGUGUGUUUGAUCAACUGAAGUUCCGGUUCCGGGCCCUUCGCCUAGAGCUUGUUGCUCGUUGCGGUUCAGCAAGGCUCGGCACGCUGAUUUCACACUGUAAUUGCCUGAUUUCUCGUGUGCCCACGCAAGGAAGUCCUCUCCUCCACCUCGCCGGAGUGGUAUAUUUAGGAUAGCAUCGGCGUCUGGUGCAGCAAAUGUUCCUCGAACUAGCUCUUGUCUCCAAGUCCAGUUGCUGGUAUCGAUUAGAUCACUAACCUGCUCCACGCUUGUGAUUGCACGCUUGAUAAUUGGGGACCAAGAAACAGUGGUUGGGAUCCAUUUGUCGGUCCAUGCGUUAAUGGUGGAACCGUCCCCCACCCGCUGGACCACUCCCACUUCAAGAGCUUCCCUUCCAGCGAUGAUGGCACGUCAUACGGCCGAUGCAGAGUGUGGUGCUUGGGCCUGCAUAAAAUCACUAUCGGGGAAGUAUCUUCCCUUCAAUACUCUAGCACAUAAUGAAUGCGGAUUGGUCAUAAACCUCCACCCAUGCUUCCCCAAUAGUGCCAAGUUAAACAGAUGGAAGUCACGAAAUCCCAUACCUCCUUUGCAUUUUGGUACCGUGAGAUUUUUCCAUGAAAUCCAAUGUAGGGAUCUUCUGUCAAUCGAGCUGCUCCACCAGUACUUGGCCAUUUUGGAAGUCAAGCUCUUGCAGACUUUCUUUGUCAGAAGGAAACAACUCAUGUUGAACGUGGGGAUUGCUUGAACUAUGGAUUUCAAAAGUACUUCUCUCCCCACGCACACAAAAAGCCUUUCAGACCAUCCUUGCAUCUUGCCUCUUGAUCGGUCACCUAUGUGAUCAAACGUCCCACUAUUAAUCCUGCCAACGGCAGUGGGAAGACCAAGGUAUCUGUCGCUGAACGUUUCAACAUUCACCCCCAGAGUGUUUUUCAGAACCUGCCGGAUAGUGUGUGCGGUAUUCGGACUGAAGAAGAUGGCACUCUUGGCACGAUUCACGCAUUGUCCCGAUGCUUCCCCAUAUAUCCGCAGUAUAUCAUUCAGUCGCUGUGCACUGGGAGCAUCAGCACUGAGGAAGAUCAAGCAAUCAUUUGCAAAAAGAAGAUGACUGACCCAUGGCGAUCGGAAGCUUGCUCUGACGCCUCUGUCAAUGUUUCCACCAUAGUAUUUCAGGAGAGAGGAAAAACCUUCAGCACACAACAGAAAUAGGAAUGGUGAAACUGGACAUCCUUGCCUGAGGCCUAUCGAGGGAAUGAAAUAAGGUUGUAGCUCUCCAUUUACUCGCACCGAGAAGCGCACAAAAGUAACACAUUUCAUUAUCAACCUGACAAAUGCAUUGCUGAAACCAAGCCUAAGUAGGAUAGCCUCGAGAUAGUGCCACUCCACACGAUCGUAAGCUUUCAUCAUAUCUAGCUUUAAUGCACAAGCAGUAUUUCUCCCCUUCUUCCUUCGUCGCAAAGUGUGGACACUUUCGAAAGCAACCAGAACGUUGUCAGUGAUUAAACAGCCAGGAACAAAGGCGAUUUGUUCCUCGCAGAUAAUAUCGUCCAUGUAGCAUCUCAAGCGGUUUGCAAUUGCCUUAGCCGCUAUUUUAUACAACACUGGGCAUAAUGCAAUGGGACGAAAUUGAGAUAUCAUCUGGGGAUGUCGUACCUUUGGGAUAAGAGUUAUAGACGUGUCAUUUAAGCCCAUAGGAAGAUCUCCACCAUUCAAAAAACCCAACACUGCAGCUAUCACGUCAUUCUUCACAAGCUGCCAAUGUCGUUGAAAGAAUCCCGGUGCUUUGGAUGGAGCCAUUUGAAACAGCGCUUCAUGAACAUCCUUUGCAUCAAAAGGACUAUCGAACACCUGGUUCAUCCCCGGAGUGACUUUCACCGGGACGUGAUCCAACAGCUCAUCCAUAUCAAAAACCCCUUGCGAGGUGUACAAGUUUUGGUAGAAUGACUGUAUUUCCGCUUUGUCUUCCUCGGGGUCAGCACAAACCGAACCGUCAGCUCGUCGAAGCCCACAAAUUAUGUUCAAUCGCUGACAUUGUUUAGCUUGCGCUUGAAAAUACUUUGUGUUGCGAUCUCCUUCGUGGAGCCAACUUACUUUGGACCGUUGCCGUAGCCAGAUUUCUUCCUGUUUAAGCGCUUCUCAAAGCUUUGCGGCGGUCCUUUUCUCCUCCUCAGAGGGACCUCGUCCAAUGGACUGUUCUCGGAUUUUUUCCAACUUCUUCUGAAGCUGUCUCACAUUGCGUGUAAGGCAGCCAAAUUCCCGCACCCCCCAUGGCUCCAGCGUGCGCUGGAGUACCCCCAACGAAUCCGCAAUGCCUUGCAGGCCCGGGGUGCGAGUUUGUUUCAACCAAGUGUCUGUGACAAGAUCCUCAUAAUCCCUAUGGGUCUACCAAACAUUUUCAUAUCUGAAUUGUUUCUGUCGACGUGCAUCACGAUCGUGCGGCUUGUCUCUGAUUUCAGCAACCAUGAAGCAAUGGUCAGACUCAACUGCACUGAUAUGACGCACUCGAAUUGAUUCGUACCGCUGCCGGAAUACUUCGUUUGCGACAGCCCGAUCCAGCCUUGCCUUAACGUUGUUAUCUCCGGCUUGUCUGUUGUCCCAAGUGUAGGGUAGACCGGACCAGCCCAGGUCUUGGAAACCUACUUCUUCGACAACGUCUCUGAAUGCGCGCAUUUGCCAGUCUGGUCUGGCCGCCCGGCUGAAAUGCUCAUCGCCAUACAGGGUCUCGUUAAAAUAACCCAUGCACAGCCAACCAGAAUGUGGCAAUGCAUAUAAGGUUUUGAGAAACCACCAGCUGUGAUGUCUAUUCUCCGCUCUAGGCGCUCCAUAGAAUCCUGUAAAUCUCCAUUCCAUGGAGUUAGUGUCUUUCAUCCGCACUACAGCAUCGAUAUGGCCGGAACUAUAGUUUGUCAAUUGCACAUCAUAAUCCUUGGACCAAAAGAGGCCAAUACCUCCUCUUAGUCCUUCACUAUCCACUUCGAAGCAUCCCACGAAACCCAGCUGGUGCCGCAGAUCUUCCACACGCUUCGCCCUGAUUUUGGUUUCCAUAAUGAACAACAGGGCAGGAACUUCCUGCUUCACAAUGCUGCGAAGCUCGCGAACUUCCUCGGGGUUCCCAAGCCCCCGACAGUUCUAGCUCAUGCAAUUCAUUGAGAACGGCAGGGCUGCACCGCAGCCUCUGCCGAAUUCUCGGGAGUGGGUCCCUUUUUCUUUGCAUCUCUUUCACUGUCAUCAUGAGACUCUUCUUGGCUUCCUCUUCCCAUGGACGUGCCAUCAUGUAAGGCGCUACUGGAUGGGUUAUUUCCAUCGGUGAGAAGAAGUUGACGAUUUACAACUGGCCGAUAAACCUGUCGUGGUACCUCCUUCCGUUUGUUGGUAUGAGACUUAUCUUUUAAGGGAGAAGUCACCUCGACAUGUUCCUUGCCAGCAUUGGAAGAGUUCCUGGAUUCCCUCUGACUGCUCGUGCGUGUAGGCUGUUCUUUAGACGAGCUCUCGCUGGAGACCGGUUUCUUCUUCUCUUCCGGCGCUCUCAGUUUGGGGCCGAACUGCAACUCCCCGUUCUCGUCUCUCGGUCCCGGGUUGGGGCAGAACAACUCCGAGUGCCCUAAUCGGCCACAAGAGAAGCAAAAGUGUGGAACUUGUUCAUAUUGUAUGUCAUAUAGAUCAGUUUUCUUUCUCUUGGCUGAGGUUAUCAAGAUCCACCUCCUCAGUGGCUUGUUGACCUCGAUUGAAACCCUAGCACGCAGAUAUCCACCGACAUGAUCAAACUGAACAAAGGUUGCAUCUGUUGGAAUUAUGCCCUAGAGGCAAUAAUAAAUAUAGUUAUUAUUAUAAUUCCUGUAUCAAGAUAAUCGUUUAUUAUCCAUGCUAUAAUUAUAUUGAAUGAAGACUUAUAUACAUGUGUGGAUAUAUAGACAAAACACUGUCCCUAGCAAGCCUCUAGUUGGCUAGCCAGUUGAUCAAAGAUAGUCAGGGUCUUCUGAUUAUGUACAAGGUGUUGUUGCUUGAUAACUGGUUCAUGUCAUUAGAAGAAUCACGUGAUGGACUAGACACAAACUAAUAGACGUAGCAUGUUGAUCGUGUCAUUUUGUUGCUACUAUUUUCUGCGUGUCAAAGUAUUUGUUCCUAUGACCAUGAGAUCAUAUAACUCACUGACACCGGAGGAAUGCUUUGUGUGUAUCAAACGUCGCAACGUAACUGGGUGACUAUAAAGAUGCUCUACAGGUAUCUCCGAAGGUGUUCGUUGAGUUAGUAUGGAUCGAGACUGGGAUUUGUCACUCCGUGUGACGGAGAGGUAUCUCGGGGCCCACUCGGUAAUACAACAUCACACACAAGCCUUGCAAGCAAUGUGACUUAGUGUAAGUUGCGGGGUCUUGUAUUACGGAACGAGUAAAGAGACUUGCCGGUAAACGAGAUUGAAAUAGGUAUGCGGAUACUGACGAUCGAAUCUCGCGCAAGGAUAAAGGGAAUGACAUACGGGAUUAUAUGAAUCCUUGGCACUGAGGUUCAAACGAUAAUAUCUUCGUAGAAUAUGUGGGAUCCAAUAUGGGCAUCCAGGUCCCGCUAUUGGGUAUUGACCGAGGAGUCACUCGGUGUUGGGGAACGUCGCAUGGGAAACAAAAAAUUUCCUACGCGCACGAAGACCUAUCAUGGUGAUGUCCAUCUACGAGAGGGGAUGAGUGAUCUACGUACCCUUGUAGAUCGUACAGCAGAAGCGUUAGUGAACGUGGUUGAUGUAGUGGAACUUCCUCACGUCCCUCGAUCCGCCCCGCGAACAAUCCCGCGAUCAGUCCCACGAUCUAGUACCGAACGGACGGCACCUCCGCGUUCAGCACACGUACAGCUCGACGAUGAUCUCGGCCUUCUUGAUCCAGCAAGAGAGACGGACAGGUAGAAGAGUUCUCCGGCAGCAUGACGGCGCUCCGGAGGUUGGUGAUGACCUUGUCUCAGCAGGGCUCCGCCCGAGCUCCGCAGAAACGCGAUCUAGAGGAAAAACCGUGGAGGUAUGUGGUCGGGCUGCCGUGGAAAAGUCGUCUCAAAUCAGCCCUAAAACCUCCAUAUAUAUAGGUGGGAGGGAGGGGACCUUGCCUUGGGGCUCAAGGAGCCCCAAGGGGGUCGUCCGAGUCCAAGGGGGGAGGACUCCCCCCCAAACCGAGUUGGACUAGGUUUGGUGGGAGGGAGUCCCCUUUCCUUCCCACCUCCUCCUUUUUUUUCUUUCUCUCUUGAUUUUCUUCUCCUUGGCGCAUAGAGCCUUUUGGGCUGUCCCACCAGCCCACUAAGGGCUGUUGUGCCACCCUCAAGGCCUAUGGGCUUCCCCGGGGUGGGUUCGCCCCCCCCCCCCGGUGAACUCCCGGAACCCAUUCGUCAUUCCCGGUACAUUCCGGGUAACUCCGAAAACCUUCCGGUAAUCAAAUGAGGUCAUCCUAUAUAUCAAUCUUCGUUUCCGGACCAUUCCGGAAACCCUCGUGAUGUCCAUGAUCUCAUCCGGGACUCCGAACAACAUUCGGUAACCAACCAUAUAACUCUAAUACGCAUAAAACAACGUCGAACCUUAAGUGUGCAGACCCUGCGGGUUCGAGAACUAUGUAGACAUGACCCGAGAGACUCCUCGGUCAAUAUCCAAUAGCGGGACCUAGAUGCCCAUAUUGGAUCCUACAUAUUAUAUGAAGAUCUUAUCGUUUGAACCUCAGUGCCAAGGAUUCAUAUAAUCCCGUAUGUCAUUCCCUUUGUCCUUCGGUAUGUUACUUGCCCGAGAUUCGAUCGUCAGUAUCCGUAUACCUAUUUCAAUCUCGUUUACUGGCAAGUCUCUUUACUCGUUCCGUAAUACAAGAUCCCGCAACUUACACUAAGUUACAUUGCUUGCAAGGCUUGUGUGUGAUGUUGUAUUACCGAGUGGGCCCCGAGAUACGUCUCCGUUCACACGGAGUGACAAAUCCCAGUCUUGAUCCAUACUAACUCAACUAACACCUUCGGAGAUACCUGUAGAGCAUCUUUAUAGUCACCCAGUUACGUUGCGACGUUUGAUACACACAAAGCAUUCCUCCGGUGUCAGUGAGUUAUAUGAUCUCAUGGUCAUAGGAAUAAAUACUUGACACGCAGAAAACAGUAGCAACAAAAUGACACGAUCAACAUGCUACGUCUAUUAGUUUGGGUCUAGUCCAUCACGUGAUUCUCCUAAUGACGUGAUCCAGUUAUCAAUCGACAACACCUUGUUCAUAAUCAGAAGACACUAACUAUCUUUGACCAACUGGCUAGCCAACUAGAGGCUUGCUAGGGACGGUGUUUUGUCUAUGUAUCCACACAUGUAAAUGAGUCUUCAUUCGAUACAAUUAUAGCAUGGAUAAUAAACGAUUAUCUUGAUACAGGAAUUAUAAUAAUAAUUAUAUUUAUUAUUGCCUCUAGGGCAUAAUUCCAACAGUCUCCCACUUGCACUAGAGUCAAUAAUCUAGCCCUCACAUCACUAUGUGAAUUACAUUGUAAUAAAUCUAACAUCCAUACAGUUCUGGUGUUGAUCAUGCUUUGGCCGUGGAAGAGGUUUAGUCAGCGGGUCUGCUACAUUCAGAUCCGUGUGCACUUUGCAUAUAUUCACGUCCUCUCCCUCGACGUAGUCGCGGAUGAGGUUGAAGCGUCGUUUGACGUGUCUGGUCUUCUUGUGAAACCGUGGUUCCUUUGCUAAGGAAAUGGCACCAGUGUUGUCACAGAACAAGGUUAUUGGAUUCAGUGCGCUUGGCACCACUCCAAGAUCCGUCAUGAACUGCUUCAUCCAAACACCCUCCUUAGCCGCCUCCGAGGCAGCCAUGUACUCCGCUUCACAUGUAGAAUCUGCUACGACGCUUUGCUUGAAACUGCACCAGCUUACUGCACCCCCAUUAAGAAUAAAUACGUAUCUGGUUUGCGACUUAGAGUCGUCCGGAUCUGUGUCAAAGCUUGCAUCGACGUAACCUUUUACGGCGAGCUCUUCGUCACCUCCAUACACGAGAAACAUCUCCUUAGUCCUUUUCAGGUACUUCAGGAUAUUCUUGACCGCUGUCUAGUGAUCCACUCCUGGAUUACUCUGGAACCUACCUGCCAUACUUAUGGCCAGGCUAACAUCCGGUCUAGUGCACAGCAUCGCAUACAUGAUAGAACCUAUGGCUGAAGCAUAGGGGACGGAGCGCAUAUGCUCUCUAUCUUCGUCAGUUGCUGGGCACUGAGUCUUACUCCAUCUCGUACCUUGUAGAACUGGCAAGAACCCUUUCUUGGACCGUUCCAUUUUGAACCUCUUCAAAACUUUAUCAAGGUAUGUGCUUUGUGAAAGUCCUAUCAGGCAUUUUCAUCUAUCCCUAUAGAUCUUAAUGCCUAGAAUGUAAGCAGCUUCUCCUAGGUCCUUCAUAGAGAAACUUUUAUUCAAGUAAUCCUUUAUGCUCUCUAAAAACUCUACGUGUUUCCAAUCAGUAAUAUAUCAUCCACAUAUAAUAUUAGAAACGCCAGAGAGCUCCCACUCACUUUCUUGUAAAUACAAGAUUCUCCUACCACUUGUAUAAACCCAAAUGCUUUGAUCACCUCACAAAGCGUUUGUUCCAACUCUGAGAUGCUUGCACCAGUCCAUAAAUGGAUCGCUGGAGCUUGCACACCUUGUUAGCAUUCUUAGGAUCGACAAAACCUUCGGGCUGUAUCAUCUACAACUCUUCCUUAAGGAAACCGUUAAGGAACGCCGUUUUGACAUCCAUCUGCCAGAUUUCAUAAUCGAAAAAUGCAGCUAUUGCUAACAUGAUUCUGACGGACUUAAGCAUCACUACAGGUGAGAAAGUCUCAUCGUAGUCAACUCCUGGAACUUGUGAAAAACCCUUUGCCACAAGUCGAGCUUUAUAAACGGUCACAUUGCCGUCAGCGUCCGUCUUCUUCUUAAAGAUCCAUUUGUUCUGAAUAGCCUUGCGGCCCUCAGGUAGUAUCUCCAAAGUCCACACUUUGUUCUCAUACAUGGAUCCUAUCUUGGAUUUCAUGGCUUCUAGCCAUUUGUUGGAAUCUGGCCCCACCAUUGCUUCUUCAUAAUUUGCAGGUUCAUUGUUGUCUAACAACAUGAUUGACAAGACGGGAUUACCGUACCACUCUGGAGCAGCACGUGAUCUCGUCGACUUGCGUGGUUCAACAGAAACUUGAACUGGAGUUUCAUGAUCAUCAUCAUUAACUUCCUCCUCAACUGGCGUCGCAACGACAGAGGUUUCCCCUUGCCCUGCGCCACCAUCCAGAGGGAUGAGAGGUUCGACAACCUCGUCAAGUUCUAUCUUCCUCCCACUCAAUUCUCUCGAGAGAAACUCCUUCUCGAGAAAAGCUCCGUUUUUAGCAACAAACACUUUGCCCUCGGAUUUGAGAUAGAAGGUGUACCCAACUGUCUCUUUUGGGUAACCUAUGAAGACGCACUUUUCCGCUUUGGGUUCCAGCUUUUCAGGCUGAAGCUUUUUGACAUAAGCAUCACAUCCCCAAACUUUAAGAAACGACAACUUUGGCCUUUUGCCAUACCACAGUUCGUAUGGUGUCGUCUCAACGGAUUUUGAUGGUGCCCUAUUUAAAGUGAAUGCAGCUGUUUCUAAUGCAUAGCCCCAAAAUGAUAACGGCAAAUCAGUAAGAGACAUCAUAGAUCGCACUAUCUCCAAUAGAGUACGAUUACGACGUUCGGACACACCAUUACGCUGUGGUGUUCCAGGCGGUGUUAACUGUGAAACAAUUCCACAUUGUCUUAAGUGAGCACCAAACUCGAAACUCAGAUAUUCACCCCCACGAUCAGACCGCGGGAACUUGAUCUUCUUGUUACGAUGAUUUUCCACUUCACUCUGAAAUUGCUUGAACUUUUCAAUUGUUUCAGACUUGUGCUUCAUCAAGUAGACAUAACCAUAUCUACUUAAAUCGUCAGUGAAGGUGAGAAAAUAACGAUAUCCGCCGCGUGCCUCCACGCUCAUUGGACCACACACAUCGGUAUGUAUGAUUUCCAACAAGUCACUUGCACGCUCCAUUGUUCCUGAGAACGGAGUCUUAGCCAUCUUGCCCAUGAGGCAUGGUUCGCACGUGUCAAGUGAAUCAAAGUCAAGUGACUCCAAAAGUCCAUCAGCAUGGAGUUUCUUCAUGCACUUUACACCAAUAUGACCUAAGCGGCAGUGCCACAAAAAUAUGGCGCUAUCCUUGUUAACUCUAACUCUUUUGGUCUCAAUGCUAUGUAUAUGUGUAUCGCUGUCAAGAUUCAGUAUGAACAAUCCUCUCACAUUCGGUGCAUGACCAUAAAAGAUGUUACUCAUAGAAAUAGAACAACCAUUAUUCUCUGACUUAAAAGAGUAACCGUCUCGCAAUAAACAAGAUCCAGAUAUAAUGUUCAUGCUCAACGCAGGCACUAAAUAACAAUGAUUUAAGUUCAUCACUAAUCCUGACGGUAACUGAAGUGACACUGUGCCGACGGCGAUUGCAUCAACCUUGGAACCAUUUCCUACGCGCAUCGUCACUUCAUCUUUCGCCAGCCUUCGCCUAUUCCGCAGUUCCUGUUUCGAGUUGCAAAUAUGAGCAACAGAACCGGUAUCGAAUACCCAGGCACUACUACGAGAGCCGGUUAAGUACACAUCAAUAAAAUGUAUAUCAAAUAUACCUGAUUUUUCUUUGCCCGCCUUUUUAUCUGCCGGAUACUUGGGGCAAUUGCGCUUCCAGUGACCCAUACCCUUGCAAUAGUAACACUCCGUUUCCGGCUUAGGUCCAGCUUUGGGUUUCUUCGUCGGAUUGGCAACAGGCUUGCCGCUCUUCUUCGAAUUUCCCUUCUUGCCUUUGACGUUUCUCUUGAAACUCUUGGUCUUAUUCACCAUCAACACUUGAUGCUCUUUACAGAGUUCAGACUCUGCGACUUUCAGCAUCGCAAACAACUCGCCGGGAGACUUGUUCAUCCCUUGCAUGUUGUAGUUCAACACAAAGCCUUUAUAGCUUGGCGGCAGUGAUUGAAGGAUUCUGUCAGUGAUAGCUUCUUGCGGGAGUUCAAUCCCUAGCUCAGCUAGACGGUUUGAGUACCCAGACAUUUUGAGCACAUGUUCACUGACAGAUGAGUUUUCCUCCAUCUUGCAAGCAUAGAAUUUAUCGGAGGUCUCAUACCUCUCGAUCCGGGCGUUCUUCUGAAAGAUAAACUCCAACUCCUGGAACAUCUCAAAUGCUCCAUGACGCUCAAAGCGACGUUGAAGUCCCGGUUCUAAGCCAUACAAGACUGCACAUUGAACUAUUGAGUAGUCCUCCUUACGUGCUAACCAAGCGUUCUUAACAUCCUGAUCAGCCGUAGCGGGUGGUUCAUCUCCUAACGCAGCAUUAAGGACAUAAUCCUUCUUCCCAGCUUGUAAGAUUAGCUUAAGAUUACGAGCCCAGUCUACAAAGUUGCUUCCAUCAUCUUUCAACUUAGCUUUCUCUAGGAACGUAUUAAAAUUCAGGAUGACUGUCGCGUGAGCCAUGAUCUACAACACAAAUAUAUUCAAUGUGGACUUAGACUAUGUUCAAGAUAAUUAGAGUUUAACUUAAUCAAAUUAUUCGCUAAACUCCCACUCAAAAAGUACAUCUAUCUAGUCAUUUGAGUGGUUCAUGAUCCACUUACACUAGCUCAAGUCCGAUCAUCACGUGAGUUGAGUAUAGUUUCAGUGGUAAGCAUCCCUAUGCUAAUCAUAUCAUCUAUAUGAUUCAUGAUCGACCUUUCGGUCUCAUGUGUUCCGAGGCCAUGUCUGCACAUGCUAGGCUCGUCAAGCUUAACCCGAGUGUUCCGCGUGCGCAACUGUUUUGCACCCGUUGUAUGUGAACGUUGAGUCUAGCACACCCGAUCAUCACGUGGUGUCUCGAAACGACGAACUGUAGCAACGGUGCACAGUCGGGGAGAACACAUUUUCAUCUUGAAAUUUUAGUGAGAGAUCACCUCAUAAUGCUACCGUCGUUCUGAGCAAAAUAAGGUGCAUAAAAGGAUUAACAUCACAUGCAAUUCAUAAGUGACAUGAUAUGGCCAUCAUCACGUGCUUCUUGAUCUCCAUCACCAAAGCACCGGCACGAUCUUCUUGUCACCGGCGCCACACCAUGAUCUCCAUCAACGUGUUGCCAUCGGGGUUGUCGUGCUACUCAUGCUAUUACUACUAAAGCUACAUCCUAGCAAAAUAGUAAACGCAUCUGCAAACACACACGUUAGUAUAAAGACAACCCUAUGGCUCCUGCCGGUUGCCGUACCAUCGACGUGCAAGUCGAUAUUUCUAUUACAACAUGAUCAUCUCAUACAUCCAAUAUAUCACAUCACAUGCAUACCCUGCAAAAACAAGUUAUAUGUCCUCUAAUUUUGUUGUUGCAUGUUUUACGUGGUGACCAUGGGUAUCUAGUAGGAUCGCAUCUUACUUACGCAAACACCAUGUUCACUAACGCUUCUGCUGUACGGUCUACAAGGGUACGUAGAUCACUCAUCCCCUCUCGUAGAUGGACAUCACCAUGAUAGGUCUUCGUGCGCGUAGGAAAUUUUUUGUUUCCCAUGCGACGUUCCCCAACAGUGGCAUCAUGAGCUAGGUUCAUGCGUAUAUGUCUUCUCGAGUAGAACACAAAAGUUUUUGUGGGCGGUGAUGUGCGUUUUGCUGCCCUCCUUAGUCUUUUCUUGAUUCCGCGGUAUUGUUGGAUUGAAGCGGCUUGGACCGACAUUACUCGUACGUUUACGAGAGACCGGUUUCAUUGCUACGAGUAACCCCCUUGCUCAAAGAUGACUGGCAAGUGUCGGUUUCUCCAACUUUAGUUGAAUCGGAUUUGACCAAGGAGGUCCUUGUAUAAGGUUAAAUAGCAAUUCAUAUAUCUCCGUUGUGGUGUUUGCGUAAGUAAGAUGCGAUCCUACUAGAUACCCAUGGUCACCACGUAAAACAUGCAACAACAAAAUUAGAGGACGUAUAACUUGUUUUUGCAGGGUAUGCAUGUGAUGUGAUAUAUUGGAUGUAUGAGAUGAUCAUGUUGUAAUAGAUAAUAUCGACUUGCACGUCGAUGGUAUGGCAACCGGCAGGAGCCAUAGGGUUGUCUUUAAACUAACGUUUGUGCUUGCAGAUGCGUUUACUAUUUUGCUAGGAUGUAGCUUUAGUAGUAAUAGCAUGAGUAGCACGACAACCCCGAUGGCGACACGUUGAUGGAGAUCAUGGUGUGGCGCCGGUGACAAGAAGAUCGUGCCGGUGCUUUGGUGAUGGAGAUCAAGGAGCACAUGAUGAUGGCCAUAUCAUGUCACUUAUGAAUUGCAUGUGAUGUUAAUCCUUUUAUGCACCUUAUUUUGCUUAGAACGACGGUAGCAUUAUGAGGUGAUCUCUCACUAAAAUUUCAAGACGAAAUUGUGUUCUCCCCGACUGUGCACCGUUGCUACACUUCGUCGUUUCGAGACACCACGUGAUGAUCGGGUGUGGUAGACUCAACGUUCACAUACAACGGGUGCAAAACAGUUGCACACGCGGAACACUCGGGUUAAGCUUGACGAGCCUAGCAUGUGCAGACAUGGCCUCGGAACACAUGAGACCGAAAGGUCGAUCAUGAAUCAUAUAGUUGAUAUGAUUAGCAUAGGGAUGCUUACCACUGAAACUAUACUCAACUCACGUGAUGAUCGGAAUUGAGCUAGUGUAAGUGGGUCAUGAACCACUCAAAUGACUAGAGAGAUGUACUUUUUGAGUGGGAGUUUAGCAAGUGAUUUGAUUAAGUUAAACUCUAAUUAUCUUGAACAUAGUCUAAAGUCCACUUUGAAUAUAUUUGUGUUGUAGAUCAUGGCUCACGUGAUAGUCACCCUGAAUUUUAAUACGUUCCUAGAGAAAGCUAAGUUGAAAGAUGAUGGAAGCAACUUUGUAGACUGGGCUCGUAAUCUUAAGUUGAUCCUACAAGCUGGGAAGAAGGAUUAUGUCCUUAAUGCUACGCUAGGAGAUGAACCACCCGCUACGGCUGACCAGGAUGCUAAGAACGCUUGGUUAACACGUAAGGAGGACUACUCAGUAGUUCAAUGUGCAGUCUUGUAUGGCUUAGAACCGGGACUUCAACGUCGCUUUGAGCGUCAUGGAGCAUAUGAGAUGUUCCAGGAGUUGAAGUUUAUCUUUCAGAAGAAUGCCCGGAUCGAGAGGUAUGAGACCUCCGAUAAAUUCUAUGCUUGCAAGAUGGAGGAGAAUUCGUCUGUCAGUGAACAUGUGCUCAAAAUGUCUGGGUACUCAAACCAUCUAGCUGAGCUGGGGAUUGAACUCCCGCAAGAGGCUAUCACUGACAGACUUCUUCAAUCACUGUCGCCAAGCUAUAAGGGCUUUGUGUUGAACUACAACAUGCAAGGGAUAAACAAGUCACCCGGCGAGUUGUUUGCGAUGCUGAAAGUCGCAGAGUCUGAACUCCGUAAAGAGCAUCAAGUGUUGAUGGUGAAUAAGACCACUAGUUUCAAGAGAAACGGCAAAGGAAAGAAGGGCAAUUCAAAGAAGAGCGGCAAGCCUGUUGCCAAUCCGACGAAGAAACCCAAAGAUGGACCUAAGCCUCAAACAGAGUGCUACUAUUGCAAGGGUAUGGGUCACUGGAAGCGCAACUACCCCAAGUAUCUGGCUGAUAAGAAGGCGGCCAAAGAAAAAUCAGGUAUAUUUGAUAUACAUGUUAUUGAUGUGUACUUAACCGGCUCUCGUAGUAGUGCCUGGGUAUUCGAUACCGGUUCUGUUGCUCAUAUUUGCAACUCGAAACAGGAACUGCGGAAUAGGCAAAGGCUGGCGAAAGAUGAAGUGACGAUGCGCGUAGGAAAUGGUUCCAAGGUUGAUGCAAUCGCCGUCGGCACAGUUUCACUUCAGUUACCAUCGGGAUUAGUUAUGAAAUUGAAUAAUUGUUAUUUAGUGCCUGCGUUGAGCAUGAACAUUAUAUCUGGAUCUUGUUUAUUGCGAGACGGUUACUCUUUUAAGUCAGAGAAUAAUGGUUGUUCUGUUUCUAUGAGUAACAUCUUUUAUGGUCAUGCACCCAAUGUGAGAGGAUUGUUCAUAUUGAAUCUUGAUAGUGAUACACAUAUACAUAACAUUGAGACCAAAAGAGUUAGAGUUAACAAUGAUAGCGCCAUGUUUUUGUGGCACUGCCACUUAGGUCAUAUUGGUGUAAAGCGCAUGAAGAAACUCCAUACCGAUGGACUUUUGGAGUCACUUGACUUUGAUUCACUUGACACGUGCGAACCGUGCUUCAUGGGCAAGAUGACUAAACCUCCGUUCUCCGGAACAAUGGAGCGUGCCAGUGACUUAUUGGAAAUCAUACAUACCGCUGUGUGCGGUCCGAUGAGCGUGGAGGCACGCGGCGAAUAUCGUUAUUUUCUCACCUUCACUGACGAUUUGAGUAGAUAUGGUUAUGUCUACUUAAUGAAGCACAAGUCUGAAACAUUUGAAAAGUUCAAGCAAUUUCAGAGUGAAGAUGAAAAUCAUUGUAACAAGAAGAUCAAGUUCCUACGGUCUGAUCGUGGGGGUGAAUAUCUGAGUUUCGAGUUUGGUGCUCACUUAAAACAAUGUGGAAUUGUUUCACAGUUGACACUGCCUGGAACACCACAGCGUAAUGGUGUGUCCGAACAUCGUAAUCGUACUAUUAGAGAUGCUGCGAUCUAUGAUGUCUCUUACCGAUUUGCCGUUAUCGUUUUGGGGUUAUGCAUUAGACACAGCUGCAUUCACUUUAAAUAGGGCACCAUCAAAAUCCGUUGAGACGACACCAUACGAACUGUGGUAUGGCAAAAGGCCAAAGUUGUCGUUUCUUAAAGUUUGGGGAUGUGAUGCUUAUGUCAAAAAGUUUCAGCCUGAAAAGCUAGAACCCAAAGCGGAAAAGUGCAUCUUCGUAGGUUACCCAAAAGAGACAGUUGGGUACACCUUCUAUCUCAAAACCGAGGACAAAGUGUUUGUUGCUAAAAACGGAGCUUUUCUCGAGAAGGAGUUUCUCUCGAGAGAAUUGAGUGGGAGGAAGAUAGAACUUGAUGAGGUUGUCGAACCUCUCAUUCCUCAGGAUGGUGGCGCAGGGCAAGGGGAAACCCCUAUCGUUGCGACGCCGGUUGAGGAGGAAGUUAAUGAUGAUGAUCAUGAAACUCCGGUUCAAGUUCCUAUCGAACCACGCAGGUCGACGAGACCACGUGCUGCUCCAGAGUGGUACGGUAAUCCCGUUUUGUCAAUCAUGUUGUUAGACAACAAUGAACCUGCAAAUUAUGAAGAAGCAAUGGUGGGACCAGAUUCCAACAAAUGGCUGGAGGCCAUGAAGUCCGAGAUAGGAUCCAUGUAUGAAAACAAAGUGUGGACUUUGGAAGUACUACCUGAGGGCCGCAAGGCUAUUCAGAACAAUGGAUCUUUAAGAAGAAGACGGACGCUGACGGCAAUGUGACCGUUUAUAAAGCUCGACUUGUGGCAAAAGGUUUUUCACAAGUUCAAGGAGUUGACUAUGAUGAUACAUUCUCACCCGUAGCGAUGCUUAAGUCCGUCAGAAUCAUGUUAGCAAUAGCUGCAUUUUUCGAUUAUGAAAUCUGGCAGAUGGAUGUCAAAACGGCGUUCCUUAACGGUUUCCUUAAGGAAGAGUUGUAUAUGAUGCAACCCGAAGGUUUUGUCGAUCCUAAGAAUGCUAACAAGGUGUGCAAGCUCCAUCGAUCCAUUUAUGGACUGGUGCAAGCAUCUCGGAGUUGGAACAAACGUUUUGAUGAGGUGAUCAAAGCAUUUGGGUUUAUACAAGUGGUCGGAGAAUCUUGUAUUUACAAGAAAGUGAGUGGGAGCUCUGUGGCGUUUCUAAUAUUAUAUGUAGAUGACAUAUUGCUGAUUGGAAACAAUGUAGAGUUUUUGGAGAGCAUAAAGGAUUACUUGAAUAAAAGUUUCUCUAUGAAGGACCUAGGAGAAGCUGCUUACAUUCUAGGCAUUAAGAUCUACAGGGAUAGAUCGAAACGCCUGAUAGGACUUUCACAAAGCACAUAUCUUGAUAAAGUUUUGAAAAGGUUCAAAAUGGAACAGUCCAAGAAAGGGUUCUUGCCAGCUUUACAAGGUAUGAGAUUGAGUAAGACUCAGUUCCCAGCAACUGAUAAAGAUAGAGAGCAUAUGAGCACUGUCCCCUAUGCUUCAGCCAUAGGAUCUAUCAUUUAUGCAAUGUUGUGCACUAGACCGAACGUUAGCCUGGCCAGAAGUAUGGCAGGCAGGUUCCAGAGUAAUCCAGGAGUGGAUCACUGGACGGCGGUCAAGAAUAUCCUGAAGUACCUGAAAAGGACUAAGGAGAUGUUUCUCGUGUAUGGAGGUGACGAAGAGCUCGCCGUAAAGGGUUAUGUCGAUGCAAGCUUUGACACAGAUCCGGACGACUCUAAGUCGCAAACCGGAUACGUAUUUAUUCUUAAUGGGGGUGCAGUAAGGUGGUGCAGUUCCAAGCAAAGCAUCGUAGCUGAUUCUACAUGUGAAGAGGAGUACAUGGCUGCCUCAGGUGCGGCUAAGGAGGGUGUCUGGAUGAAGCAGUUCAUGACGGAUCUUGGAGUGGUGCCAAGCACACUGAAUCAAAUAACCUUGUUCUGUGACAACACGGGUGCCAUUGCCUUAGCAAAGGAACCACGGUUUCACAAGAAGACCAGACACAUCAAACGACGCUUCAACCUCAUCCGCGACUACGUCGAAGGGGAGGACGUAAAUAUAUGCAAAGUGCACACGGAUCUGAAUAUAGCACACCCGCUGACUAAACCUCUUCCACGGGCAAAGCAUGAUCAACACCAGAACUGUAUGGGUGUUAGAUUUAUUACAAUGUAAUUCGCAUGAUGAUGUGAGGGCUAGAUUAUUGACUCUAGUGCAAGUGGGAGACUGUUGGAAUUAUGCCCUAGAGGCAAUAAUAAAUAUAGUUAUUAUUAUAAUUCCUGUAUCAAGAUAAUCGUUUAUUAUCCAUGCUAUAAUUGUAUUGAAUGAAGACUUAUAUACAUGUGUGGAUACAUAGACAAAACACUGUCCCUAGCAAGCCUCUAGUUGGCUAGCCAGUUUAUCAAAGAUAGUCAGGGUCUUCUGAUUAUGUACAAGGUGUUGUUGCUUGAUACUGGAUCACGUCAUUAGAAAAAUCACGUGAUGGACUAGACCCAAACUAAUAGACAUAGCAUGUUGAUCGUGUCAUUUUGUUGCUACUGUUUUCUGCGUGUCAAAGUAUUUGUUCCUAUGACCAUGAGAUCAUAUAACUCACUGGCACCGGAGGAAUGCUUUGUGUGUAUCAAACGUCGCAACGUAACUGGGUGACUAUAAAGAUGCUCUACAGGUAUCUCCGAAGGUGUUCGUUGAGUUAGUAUGGAUCGAGACUGGGAUUUGUCACUCCGUGUGACGGAGAGGUAUCUCGGGGCCCACUCGGUAAUACAACAUCACACACAAGCCUUGCGAGCAAUGUGACUUAGUGUAAGUUGCGGGAUCUUGUAUUACGGAACGAGUAAAGAGACUUGCCGGUAAACGAGAUUGAAAUAGGUAUGCGGAUACUGACGAUCGAAUCUCGGGCAAGUAACAUACCGAAGGACAAAGGGAAUGAUAUACGGGAUUAUAUGAAUCCUUGGCACUGAGGUUCAAACGAUAAGAUCUUCGUAGAAUAUGUGGGAUCCAAUAUGGGCAUCCAGGUCCCGCUAUUGGGUAUUGAUCGAGGAGUCACUCGGGUCAUGUCUACAUAGUUCUCGAACCCGCAGGGUCUGCACACUUAAGGUUCGACGUUGUUUUAUGUGUAUUUGAGUUAUAUGGUUGGUUACCGAAUGUUGUUCGGAGUCCCGGAUGAGAUCACGGACGUCACGAGGGUUUCCGGAAUGGUCCGGAGAUGAAGAUUGAUAUAUAGGAUGACCUCAUUUGAUUACCGGAAGGUUUUCGGAGUUACCGGGAAUGUACCGGGAAUGACGAAUGGGUUCCGGGUGUUCACCGGGGGGGAGGGCAACCCACCCCGGGGAAGCCCAUAGGCCUUGGGGGUGGCGCACCAGCCCUUGGUGGGCUGGUGGGACAGCCCAAGAGGGCCCUAUGCGCCAAGGAUAGAAAAUCAAAGAGAAAGAAAAAAAAAGGAGGUGGGAAAGGAGAGAAGGACUCCACUUUCCAAUCCUAGUUGGACUAGGAUUGGAGGAGGACUCCUCCUCCCUUGGUGGCGCAGCCCUUGGGGCUCCUUGAGCCUCAAGGCAAGCCUCCCCUCCCUCCUCCUAUAUAUAUGGAGCAAUUAGGGCUGAUUUGAGACAACUUUUUCAAGGCAGUCCGACCACAUACCUCCACGGUUUUACCUCUAGAUCACGUUUCUGCGGACCUCGGGCGGAGCCCUGCCGAGAUAAGAUCAUCACCAACCUCCGGAGCACCGUCACGCUGCCGGAGAACUCAUCUACCUCUCUGUCUCUCUUGCUGGAUCAAGAAGGCCGAGAUCGUCGUCGAGUUGUACGUGUGCUGAACGCGGAGGUGCCGUCCGUUCGGCACUAGAUCGUGGGACGGAUCGCGGGACAGUUCGUGGGACGGUUCGCGGGGCGGAUCGAGGGACGUGAGGACAUUCCACUACAUCAAUCGCGUUCACUAACGCUUCUGCUGUGCGAUCUACAAGGGUACGUAGAUCGGAAAUCCCCUCUCAUAGAUGAACAUCACCAUGAUAGGUCUUCGUGCGCGUAAGAAAAUUUUUGUUUUCCAUGCGACGUUCCCCAACAGCAUCCUUGUCGAUUUGCUGCGCGAUAAGUUUCCCCAUGUCGCAUUGAGAAGAUUAUAUGGAAGGUUUGGAACCCUAGCCCAUAGACUGAGACGAUCGAACUGUACCUCAUCGGGCCGCAUGCAGUCCCUGAACUCUGCUAAGAUCACCGCGUUUUUGCUGAUAUGCCACGGGGAUCCAUCCCAGACCCUAUCCCGAUCUCGACGGGAUUCGAAUUCUGCAACAAAGGUGUUCUCUCCCAUAGAUCGGAAUUGGAGUCCUCUUGGGUUUCCCCAAGCCGGCCGAAGUGCAUUGGUGAUGGUCUGGAUGUGAAGGAGAUGUCGAUGUAGAACCCUACCCGCCAAUAGCCACUUCUCCGGAUUGCCUUCAUCCGUGUCAUUGAUCACCAACGGAGUCGCUUCCUCGUCGGUGAUCCCAAGCUUCCCUAGCAGUUCUUUGAGCAAAGCCCUAGCCGUCCGAGGGGAGGCUGGGUCUGGCCCCCGACCAGCGCCGCUUGCAGAUGUCGCCAUCUCCUGGCGGAGUCUCCGGUGCGCUCCGCCGGAAUAUUCCCGCGAGCGCCGUCUACGUCGCCGAAACCCUAAUCGCCAGAGCUAGUUAGGUUUUCGCGAAAACUUGGAUCUAUCUCCAAGGCUGUACAAAUUAGCUAUAAGAUGACUUAUAGCCAGCGGUUGGCUAUACUAUUAACCAUGCUUUAAUCUACAUACAACUUUCCUCUCUCUCUUCAUUUAUUUAUUGUCACAUCAUCAUAUAUCCUACGUAACAAAGUUUACCAACAACUAUCGUAUAUCCAUUAAAGAUUGACCUUACCGCUGCCAAGCAAGCAAACACGACUGCAGAGAAACCUGCCGAGCGAGCCAAGGCAAAGCAUCCAGAACCAUGUCCUGGUCCAAGGCGGACGAGCUCCGGCGGCGUGCAGGCAAGUAGUGGCUAUGGAUCCAGACGGGAUCCAGGAGCAUCUCGACCACCCGAUCCGGCGAACCGACGCCACAGCCGUCCGUCCCCACAGGACCCCGGACACGCGAGGCUGACUCACAGAGCACGCAGCCCUCAACCCCGCUGGGUCCCGCUGCCACGUGGCACGAAACAGCAAGCGUCCCAAUUGGGCAUCCUGGCCCGCAUGUCAGAUCCCGGCACACGGCCGCUGCCGGCAGCUGCUGACUCGCUGCGCCCAUCCCAAGACGCCAUCUCGGUAGUACGUACCUAAAGAAAAUUAGACGCCAUCUCGGUCGCGUCCAGAAGCCGAGAACGAGCCUUCUCCGCGUAUUACUACUAUUUACGCCGUCCAUGACAUGUGGGGUCGGCAGCGAGAACCCCCACAUGCCAUGGAGACCAGCUCGUUCUUACCCGAACACGUUUUAAUUAAACCCCGGGGUACACGCGACCGCACGUCGCCCGAGCGUCCAGUCCCGCCCGCUGCGAGCCCUACUUCCCUCCCCCACGCACCGUACGCCCCAGCGCCACUGACACCCGGGGUCCGCGAGGUAAGGCCCCACCUGCAGUCGUUAAAAAAUGGCCGCCGCGUGUGCCUUUAAAAGCAAAAGGCCUCGUCUCCUCCUCGCCACUUACCACUUCUUCUCCCUCUCUUCGUCUUCCUCCUCCCAUUCUCGCGUACACAACGAGAUAACGUGUGAGGUUUCUCGGGGAGAGCCAAGCGACCAGCCAUGAUGGAUGCGGCCGCGGCGACGAUGCUGGAGGCCGGGGUGNNNNNNNNNNNNNNNNNNNNNNNNNNNNNNNNNNNNNNNNNNNNNNNNNNNNNNNNNNNNNNNNNNNNNNNNNNNNNNNNNNNNNNNNNNNNNNNNNNNNNNNNNNNNNNNNNNNNNNNNNNNNNNNNNNNNNNNNNNNNNNNNGGUGGUCGUCGGGUGGCGGCGCGAGCACGCGGCUCGGAGGCGGCAUCGGCCCCUCCGUGUCCUGCCCUCCGCCGAGUGAAAAAAAAAGUUUGGAACGGAGAGCUGUAGUAGGUGUGGCCGUGCGUGUGAAUGUGAAUAUGCCUGGCGGAGAUGCCGAUCCCCGGGCAAGCGGGUGAUUGCUAGGGGUGGUUAGGCCCCGGGUAGGCGGUGUUGAUGAUGAUUACUAUUCAAACUUUGCUUAUCUGGAAAGCAAGAUCGGCUCCGCUCCUGCGUUGCGGUUGGGUCAAUCUUCGUUUGUACCGAUAUUCUUUUGAGACGGAAAUGCUCGAUUGCGCAUCGAUCGCUCCUUCUCACAAAAUUUCCAAUGUUGUGGAAAGCUGUUAGUACUGCUGCUCCUUUUCGGUGGAUUGUAUCGAUGUUAAUAAAACUACGUUAUCCAUUGAUCCAUCUCCUUAAUAUUUCCCAUUGUUUGCAUUUGGUUGUGUACAAUAUACAUGCACUGUACUAGCUCAGCUCGUCAAGAACUACGCAUUAUGUGCUCAUAGGCAUUCAAGAUUACUUACCACGUUUACCACGCGGUCGUCGAACACACACGUCGAUCGAUUGACUAAGCAGAAUUGUCACCCUUGACAGCAAUUCACAAAUUUCCACCUGGUCCGGCCCAAACCCUAUUCAGCAAUCAAGCUAGUUUCCUAGCAGUUUCUCCAAGCUUAUCAGAGGACGCAAAUUACGUGUAUAAGGCACAGGUAGUUUCGACGAUUUAACCUUGGAUGAUCGAUUGCGUUCGUUGACCAUUACUAAGAGUCAAGUCCAUCAUCAUUAUCGCCGCGUGAGAAUUCCAUUAAACCUUUUUAUUCCGCUUUAUUGACCAGCUGUCAGUGUUCAUCCAUCAUGGGCACUCACACACGAGACGGGACACGCCCACGAAACAAAUCCCCGUCAGCGAACAACUUCGUCAAGUCCAUUAAACUGGCCUUUCGAGCGCAUCCAUCGCUUUCCAAUCAACUCUGGCCAUCAACUUCAACCGACGGUGCACGAGACACACAGCUUGAGUUUUUCGUUUUGGCUUUUCU